UCUCACCCCUUGUUUCCCACUUCUCGACCAUGGUCCGACCCGGCGCCUAUUGCGGAUUGGGGACGCUACAGGGCUAGCGACUGCUUCAACCCACAUAGCAUCCAAAUAAUAUUCCUUCCAUAUCUUCUUCAGCCAUACAUCUUCAAAAUAAACCAUCAGCACAUCUCUUGUAGAGAUAUGGUUCAUCCCAAAAAUAAUGUCUUACGUCUCGCAGAAACUUUUUUUCCUAUAUCCAAAAAAUGGUGGUGGUUUAACGUCUGCUGCUAAAUAAUUGGCUAUAUGCCUAAACCAUGGGGUGUUAAAAGCGUCUGACCGUCGCAUAAGUUUCUGCGGUGGUACUGUAUCAGAGUUUACGCGAACCGUAUCCAUUGCAUAGAUGUUUUCUUCAACCAAACUAUCAUUUAGGGGCAAUUUUUCUUCAACAAGAAUUCGUGAAAGAUGAUCUGCAACUCCAUUAUCUGCUCCUUUCCGAUCUUGAAUUUCGAUAUCGAACUCUUGCAGUAGGAGGAUCCAUCUUAUCAACCUCGGUUUGGCGUCUUUCUUAGACAUUAGGUACUUGAUUGCUGCAUGAUUGAUAUGAACUAUGACCUUAGAUCCUACGAGAUAAGAACAAAAAUUUUCAAAGGCAAAACGACAGCUAGAAGUUCUUUCUCCGUUGUUGCAUAAUUGCAUUGAGAUUCGUCUAGAGUCCUACUUGCAUAAUAAAUUAUGUGCAGCAUCUUAUAUUUUCUUUGGCCAAGAACAGUUCCGACUGCAUAGUUACUUGCAUCGCACAUGAUUUCGAACGAUUGUUCCCAAUCAGGUGGUUGCAUGACUGGAGCAGACACAAGGGCUUCUUUUAUUUUCUGAAAAGCGACUAAGCACUCAUACUUUCUUUUAUAAUAUGGAGCUGACACAAGGGCUUCUUCAACCAUGGUUCUUUCUCUCUGUUUUUAUAUUUCCUCGGGAUCCUUUGUAAAUUCCGGCUCUUUGUAAGCUAAACCGCUCCUAAGUGUGAUGGCUUUCACAUGGUCAGAGGGGUUGGUUUCGCUUGAGCUUUUGAAAGAACAUUUAUUUGGCUCCUUCUUGGAAUCAUCAGUGUUCUUAGACUUAUCUUUGAUCAUUAAACUAAUAAUGGUGGAAAGUUUAUCAUUGAAAUCUUCAUGCAACCUUUCAAUUUUGGAAUUAAGAUCAUUGAUGUCCAUAGUCUUAGAUUCCCAGAAGAGGGAAAACUUGAAUAGGGAAUGGAAUCAGAUUGAAUAGCCAGCAUUGGCAGGGAGGAGGCGCGGUCGUAGAGCUCGCGACCGUGGGUGAAAGAGACUUGGUCGCCGUCAGGAUUGACACGACCACGGUGGAAAUAGGCUUGGUCGUGGUCCACAAGAUUGGACCCGCGGUUGUCAGGGACAAAAGGAAAAUCUUGAAUUUGAUAGACUUCUUCAGUGUUGAUCAACUCCUGGUUGUAAAAACUAAUUUGGUUGUUCCAAUCGUCAAAGUUACCCCUAAUGUGUGCCUUGUUCGGUUGUUGCAAUUGAUGCGUGCUCAUGUCAACUACGUGAGGGAACAAGUUUUACCCUUAACAAAACAAAUGAAAGCCGCAAGUGCACAACUAAUCAGUUGUAGUAUUUAGGGAUCGAAUCCACAGAGAUUUGUGUGCCUGGUAUUCUUCUACGGUUUUUAACUUUAUGUCUAGACUAAAUUGGUUUUAAAGGUUGGUUGUUUUUUUUGCGAAUUAAACUAAAACAAAAGAAAGCAAAUAAAUCUAUCCUAAAAAGCAAGUAAAGAAAAUCGAAUGAAAUGUAAAUGGAAGAAGUAAAAUAUCGAACUAAACAAAAAUAAGGCAAGUAAAAUAUCGCAUGAAAGGUAAAUAAAGCAAGUAAAUAACGAACUAAGGAAAUUGAAAUGCAGGUCUAAGAAAGCAAGUAAAAAUCGAUGGAAUUUUAAACUAUGGCUAAAAACGCUGAGCUUUUGGGAACUCUAAGGGAUCAUAAUCGGUUUUAACACUAAGGUAGAUAGAUUGGGAUUGACGGAUAACAAUAUAUGGGUUCUAGAGCUAGAAUACGGCGGUAUGACUACGUCACUGUCGUGAUCAUAACCAACUGUUUCUUGCAACCCUGACCAGUAGGUUUCCACUCUGGCCCUGGAAGGGAGAGAACGCAAGAGCUCCACAAGACUCGUCAAUACUCACGAUCUCGCCGUAGGUAGGUUUCCACUCCUACGGAAAAAUCGCCUGUUUCAUUCUAGGGCUGAUACUUAAUGAAAAUUUUCGCAACACUAACUAUCUAGAUCAGACACUAGGUGAUCAAUCAAACAUACAUGCAAUAAGAACAAGAAUAAACAGAGAACAGGUCGAAAUCCCAGAUCUAUAAACCUAGAUGUCUUAAUCGAUUAUGAGAGCCCCUUUCGGGAACCCUAAGCCCAACUCGAGAUCUACUCAGACAUGGCUGAGUUCGACAUCAUCAUUGGUUUUAAUAAAAGUAAUGAAAAACAGUAAAGAAAAGAGAUAAAGAAGGCUUCUCUAUUGAAGAACUCGGACUUGAACAAUCUUCUACAAAAAUCUCAUAAAAAUGGCUAAAGGAAAAGGGUUUCUGUAAAGUAUGAAUGGCUCUCUCUAAAAACGACCUAAAUGACAUGUAUUUAUAGUCUCAAAUACUCCAUGGUCUCUAGGGUUCCGGAAUUGAGGCUGGGAAUGACUUUGGGCUUCAGAUAAGUGGGCUUUAAGUCGGAGCUUGAAUGCCGCGGUCGGGAGUGUUGUGACCGCGACAAUUGGCUUGUUGGCCGCGGUCGGGAAGCUUCUAACCGCGGCAAAUAGCUUGUUGGCCGCGGUCGCGUGAGUUGCUGGCCGACUCCGCGUGGCUCCGAGGCUAAUGAAAUAUCUUGAGAUCCAACCGUUGGAAUGUCUCCAAACCAAGUGCAUUUGAAAGCUGGUUGAUUCUUCUAUAAGUUGUCCAAUUUUGAGGGUGAUCAGACGGUGAGAAGGUAUUCGUCUCUCCAUGAGAGUUAUGACGGUCUGCAUUUAUCCAAAAGAGUCUUUUUGUUCUAUUUUGUGCCUCUUUAUCCCAAAUUACCUGAAAAGUCUUUUAAAAUCCGGAAACAUAGAAAUCCUUUGAAAACCUUUGAAAAUGGAGUAAAAACACCUGUAAAAGAUAUUAGAAUGAUCCUUAAAAAUGGCCAAAAUCCGGUGUUAUCAGCAAUCCAAGUUGAUUCAUUAUUUGAUGAGUAUUUUCUACCAAGGCAUCAACCAAAAAAGGCUUGGUUACGUAUACUUCAUGCAAGGUUGUUGACUUAAAUACAAGCAUCUUCUGCUGAUCUAGUGGAGAAGUCUCCAUUACUUGCGGUGUCAAAAGAAUGUUGUAAUUCGUGAUCGAUGUCUUGGUAGAAAAUACUCAUCAUUUAUUAUUCAUCGGAAAAUCCGUGGUGUGGACAAUCUCUUUUGUAUUCUCUAAAUCGAUCCUAAGCUCGUAGAGCAUCUCACCCUUCCUUUGCUCAAAAUUUCUUAUCUUGUUCUUUAGGAGGUUGGAACGAGUACUAGUAUAAAAACGAUUCAAGAAAGCAGCUUUACACUAUUCCAAUGUUUUUAUAGACGCAGCUUGCAAAGCUUGUAGACCCUUUUAUGGCUUUGUCUCUCGAAGAGAAUGGGAAAAGGCUACACUUAUGGUAAUCCCUAUUUGAUGUAAUGGUUGCAUAUAAUUCUUCAAACGACUCAAUGUGAUCCAUUGGGUGUUCGGUUAACCAUAGUAUCGAUUUUGUUGAACUAAAGUGAUGUAGGGUACCUUUAUUUCGGUUUUGCCAUCCUUUGGUAAGCUGGUUAAAUAGCUCUUUGAUCUCCCAUGAACUGUUCGAGUGAGUCAAAACCACCAAUUAGCUCAUCAUCAUCCUCGCUGUGUUUUGUUGGUCCGAUCAGCUCCUCCUCAUCAUUGAUCGGGUUGUUAAGCUCAUCAUCUCUCAGGUCAUCUUCCACGAGAGGUAGUGGAUCGCCAAGAGGCUCGGGAACAUGUUCCCAGUCUCCCAUUGAGGAGUAACCUGAAAAGUACAAAAGAAAAAGUAAAAGUAAACAAGUGUUCUAAUGGAUUUAAGCUGGAUUCGCAGCAAAACAAAUCAAAGUCUCCAGCAACGGCGCCAAAAACUUAAUGCAAUUUAGAACGGGGUUGGUUUUACUAAGCUUCAGGUUCUAAAUUUAUAACUCCUAAAUGUCUGCAAGUGCACAGAUGUGCGGUAUAAUACUUAGUUGUUUCAGUACAAAUCCACACUAAUGCUAAAAUCAGAUUAGAACUAAACGAUUUGGGUUUUAGUUUUCGGUGUCACGAAAUCUAAAUUAGAAAGCAUGAAACUAAGGCUGUAAUCUAUGAAAAAAAAAACGCUGGGUUUAAGGGUAUUCACAGAGAUUCAUGGACUAAAUCUAUGAUAAAAAUAAAUGAUAGAGGUAAUCGACUACGGUUUGUUCUAAAACUCGAGCAUGGAUGUAUGACUAUGUCACUCUCAUGAUCAUAACCAACUGUCACCCACGGUCCUGACUAGUAGUUUCCGACUCUGUCCCCAACCACAGGUGUACGUAAUCUUGCACUAGACUCAUCUACAUUCACAACUCACCCAUAGGUAGCUUUCGUCUCUUAUAGCAGAAUUACUUGUUACUCCUUAGAUCAGAUAGAUAAUGAAAUUUUUUUGCAACAUUAAGUAUCUAGAUCGAAUUCUAAGUGGCCAACAGAAAAACACGCAAUAAGAAUAAGAGUAAACAAAGAACACCUAGAAGAUUAUGAACCAUAAAUCUUACAAUUCAUAGAAAAAGACACAUGAAAUUCCUUUUAAAAAAUUCCUUUAAACCCAACUGGAAAACUACUCAAAGAUAUUAGUAUUUGAAUCUGUAGGAAAUUAAAUAGAACAAGGGAAAAGAACGAAAAACAGAGGUGAAGAUGGAGAAUCAAUGGUGCUCUCCUCGGUGGCUCCUCUUCAAAGAUGGCUUCUCCCUAGGGUUUUUUUUGUUAAAAAAAAAAGAAUCGAGCACACCCUCUUAGAAUGACCAAAAAGAGGUUUUUAUAGCUUCUGGAGUUGUCUUCAACGCUUCGAUUUUCAAAAAUAAUGAUGGGAUCGACCUGGGCUUGAUUUAGGUCUCUUGGGCCAUAGAUGAUGUCCAGCCGCGGUCGUGGUGUACGUACCCAAGGGGAACCAUAGUCUGCCGCGGUCGCGGCUCAUGUUCUGCUUCGAGACCGCAUCGGGAAUAUCUGAAGAUCUAACCGUUGGAUUGUCUCCAAAUCAAUUGCAUUAGAAAACUGGUUGCCUCCUAUGUAAUGUCUCAAAUUUUGGGGAUGAUCGGACGGUGAGAAGAUUUUCAUCGCUUGCCAUACUUCUGACGGUCUGCAUUUAUCUAAAAUUGUUCAUUUGUUCCAAAUUGCACAUCUUUAGUCCAAGUUUUCUGAAAAGUCUUUUGAAACUCUAAAAUAUUAAAAACAUUUUAAAACUAUGGAAAACAGAGUCAAAACAUACAGUAUGUAUAAGACAUCAAAACCAUCCAUAAAAAUGGUCAAAAUCUAGUGUUAUCAGUAAACGAUAAGAACAGCCACAACAUGCAAGGAGAGUGGUAUGAGCUUCUGAGUGCACGAAGUCGCUGCGAUUAGUGGCAGCAUGCUGCGACAAGUAAACAGAUGUUUCUUGUGACAAAUAUAACUAAAGAGGCCUGCUAGAGCGAUUGAGAAUGUAACGGGCCGAAGGCUCUAGCUGGGCCUAGUGGGCUUCAUUGGAUCAAAGGCAGACCCGGAUUCACUUGGGGGGUGUGGGGGGCUUCUUUUAUCGAGUGGGUUUAUCGAGUCGGGUUUUUGAGGGUAUAAAUACAGGCUUUAGGGAUUUUAAUUGAUUAUUCACACAUUCAGUUAAGAAACCCAAACGGGUGUUUACCUCAAUCGCAAUUUUCUUUCUCUUGUUUAUUGCUUUCUUCGGUUUGAUUCACGAAAAGUGGUAUCAUAGCUCAAGGUUUUUCCGCGAAACAUUGUCAUGACAAAGGGAAGUUCUCUUAUGUUUGAUGUUCCUAGGUUAGAUGGAAAAGGGAAUUUUGGUCUGUGGCAAAGUCGAGUCAAGGAUCUGCUGACGCAGCAAGGUGUGAAAUAGGCGCUAUUAGAGAAAAAGCCGAACAAGAUCAAGAAGGAUGAUUGGGACGAUAUGCAGGAUCAAGCUGUUUCGACGAUUCGACUUUGUCUCUCUGACGAUAUUACCAAUCAGGUGAUGAACAUCAUGACUUGCAAGGAGAUAUGGGAUAAGUUAGAGAAGGUCUACAUGUCGAAGUCGUUGUCCAGCAAGCUGUAUCUGAAACAGAUGUUGUAUGGGUUGAAGAUGGCAGAGAGUGGCGAUCUUAUUGCUCAUGUCAACAACUUCAACCAAAUCAUUGGAGAUCUGGAGCGUGUGGAUGUUAAAAUUGAGGACGAGGAUAAAGCCAUGAUCUUGUUGUGUUUUCUUCCUCUUCAGUUCGAGACUUUGGUGACAGCUAUUACAGUCGAAAAUGACUAUAUCGCUGGAAACGGUUUGUACUUCACUGCAAUCCCAUUGGGAAAGGCAACAGAACAUUACCAUGGUGGACAAGUCUUAAGGUGAUGAUUUAUACGUGAGUAUCAACCAGCAACGAGGAAGGCAAGAAAAGAAGCAGGAUGGAAGUAAAAGGGACAAGUCGAAGUCUAAGCCAGGGAAGAAUUCGAUAUGCUUUGGUUGUGGUUAGAAAGACAAUUAUCGAAGGGAUUAUUCUAACAGAAAGCAGAAUAGUGGAUCUGGUUCUGCAAACGUGGUCUAGAAGGAGGAUUCAGAUGACAGUGUAGGCGAUUUGUUGGCUGUGACAUCUGGUGAUCACACAGACUCUUGGAUACUGGAUACGGGUGCAUCAUUCCAGAUGACUCCUCACAGAGAAUGGUUUGAGACGUAUAGGGCUGGGAACAUGGGCUCUAUUCAGUUAGCAAACGACAUGUCAUGUGGUGUUGUUGGUACUGGAGAGGUCAAGUUUUGGAUGCAUGAUGGCAUCAUCAGAACAUUGACUAAUGUUAGGCAUGUUCCAGGGGUGAAGAAGAAUUUGGUCUCUUUGGGUACUCUUCACAAAAACGGAUUCAGACUCAGAGGUGAUGAAGAUGAAGACGUUUUGAAGGUUUGUAAGGGAUUUAUGGUGGUGAUUAAAGGGAAGAUGACAGCUGGGAACGUCUACAGGAUGUUAGUGAGUGUGGUUGUAGGUGGAGCUGCAGCUGCUGUGUCUGAAUCUGAUAGCACAACUCUUUGGCAUAUGCACAUACGACAUAUAGGAGAGCAUGGGUUUCUUGAACUCCAUAAAAUGGGUCUUCUGGAUGGGUUAAAGAACUGUAAAAUGGAUUUAUGCAAAUUCUGUGUGAUGGAAAAGCAGUCCAAAGUUUCGUUCAAGACAAGACAGCACACGAAAAAAGGUCUUUUAGACUAUGUUCAUUUCUGAUGUGUGGGGUCCGACUCGGGAACUGUCAUUGGGAGGGUCUAGGUACUUCAUCAUCUGACUUCUCCAGAAAAGUUUGGGUUUACUUCUUAAAGCAGAAAUCUGAAGUUUUUGUCAACUUCAAGGUUUGGAAGGCUGAAGUCAAAAAUCAGGUGGAGAAGAAGGUUAAGUAUCUAAGAUCAGAUACUGGCAUGGAGUAUACUGACGGGGAGUUUCAGAAGUUCUGUGAGGAACAUGGCAUUGAAAGACACUUCACUGUCAGGAAAACAACACAGCAAAAUGGUGUCAGUGAGAGGAUGAACUGAACUAUUGCAGAAAAGACAAGGUGUUUGACAUUGAAUGCAUGACUUCCUAAACAGUUCUGGGCAGAGGCAGUAAACAUGGCGGUGUAUCUUAUCAAUAGGUCGCCUAGGAGUUCUCUACAAGGGAAGGUGGCUGAAGAGAUUUGGAUUGAAAGAUAUUGAUCUGUCAAACUUGAAAAUAUUUGGAUGCCCAGCUUACAUGCUGGUUCCAAGUGACGAAAGAUCUAAACUGGAUUUGAAUUCCAAGAAGUGCAUAUUUCUGGGUUUUGUCAAAGGUGUGAAAGGCUUUAAGUUAUAUGAUCCUGUUGAUAAGAAGAGGGUAUUCAGUCGAGAUGUGGUCUUUGAUGAGCAGUAUAUGGUGCAGCAGGCGAGAACAGAUCGAGUUCUUGUGAUCAUUUAGACUGAAACAGAUUCCGGCACAUCACAGGAAGAGUCUAGUGAGACUAGACUAGCAACAGGACGUGAUAAGCAACCUGUUGAGGUGAAUCAGGACGUUCAGCAUAGUAAGGCAGAGGAGAGUUUGGCACUUGAAAGACCAAGACGCAUCAUAAAACCGCCUGAAAGAUUCGGGUUUGAAGACAUGGCUAGUUAUUGUCCGAUGGUUGGUUCAGGUGAUCCAGCAAAUUUUCGAGAGGUUAUCUCAAGUUUUGAGAAAGAUUUCUGUUAUUGGAGCUAUGACAGAAGAGAAUGAGAGCCUGGACAUAAAUCAAACAUGGGAUCUAACGCCUUUACCAAAAGGCAAGAGGGCGAUAGGAUGCAAGUGGGUUUUCAAGGUAAAACCUAAGAUAUCUGAGAAGGAACCAGUUAAGUACAAGGAAAAAUUGGUGGCAAAGGGUUACUCACAGAGGAAAGGGGUUGAUUAUGACAAAAUCUUCUCCCUUGUAGUUAGGCACACUUCUAUUAGAGCUGUGCUGGGUUUGGUAGCAAGCUGAGAUUUCUAUCUUGAACAGAUGGAUGUAAGGACAACAUUUCUUCAUGGAGAUCUGGACGAAGAGAUCUAUAUGGAGCAACCAGAGGGAUUUGUGAAACCAGGAGAGGAGAAGCUUGUGUGCAGACUUAAGAAGUUUCUGUAUGGAUUGAAGCAGGCUCCUAGGCAAUGGUACAAACGUUUUGACUCCUACAUGUUGAAGAUUGGCUACACAAGCUGUGAGUAUGACUGCUACAUCUAUGUAAGGUUUCUGGAUGGUCAUUCUCCCUUAUUCCUACUGAUCUAUGUUGAUGAUAUGCUCAUUGCUGCGAGAGAUAUGGAGGAUACUGAUAAGCUGAAAGAGUUAAUGUAGAAAGAGUUUGAUAUGAAGGAUCUUGGUGCUGCAAAGAAGAUCCUUGGGAUGGAAAUUCACAGAGAAAGAAGCUCAAGGAGAUUAUGGCUUUCUCAAAAGAGCUAUAUUCAGAAAAUUGUAGACAGGUUUGACAUGAGAGAUGCAAAAGCAGUGUCUACACCUUUGGCGAUGCACGUCUCAUUUUCAGCGAUGCAGUGUCCUAAGUCUAAUCAAGAGAUCAUAGCUAUGUCGAAAGUUCCUUAUGCAAGUACAGUUGGCUAUUUGAUGUAUACUAUGGUGUGCACUAGACCUGAUUUAGCACAAGCAGUUAGUCAAGUGAGCAAGUACAUGUCCAAUACUGGAAGAGAACACUGGAAAGCCGUCAAAUAGAUUUUCAGAUACUUAAAGGGUACAAGCGAUCUUGGACUUAUGUUUGGUGAUCAAGACUGUGGCUCAGUUGUGGGAUAUAUGGAUUCAGAUUAUGCUGCUGAUCUUGACAACAAAAGGUCUACUAUAGGGUAUAUCUUUACUCUUGCUGGAGGUCCUAUUUGUUGGAGAUCUGUGCUACAGUUUGUUUUGGCAAUGUCUACCACAGAACUGAGUAUAUGGGAAUGGGAGAAGCAGCUAAGGAAUCAAUUUGGGUCAAGGGACUUGUGACAGAACUGAGUGUUGAACAAGGUGGAGUUCAGCUAUACAGCAACAGUCAGAGUGCGUUGUUUCUAGCCAAGAACCCGGUUUAUCAUGCAAGGACGAAGCACAUUCAUGUCAGAUUUCAUAAGAUCAGAGAGUUGUCUGCAUCUGGAGAAGUCUUGUUGGAGAAGGUUCACACGUCAGAGAAUGCAGCUGAUAUGUUGACCAAACUCGUUACUGUGGAGAAGUUCAAGCAUUGCUUGGAUUUGCUCCAUGUCUUCAAGUGCUGAAGAAGGUGAAAUCCCCACCCCCUCCCCAAAGUGAUUGGAGUUUGAAGGUGAUUUUAUGAAGGUUUUUUGUCAGGGUGGAAAUUGUUGUUUCUAGUGACAAAGAUAACUAAAGAGACCUUGCUAGAGCGAGUUGAGGAAUGUAACAGGCCGAAGGCUAUAGUUGGUCUAGUGGACUUCAUUGAGUCAAAGGCGGAUGCGAAUUCACUUGGGAGGAUGUGGUGGGGCUUCGCCCCUCACGGUACGGUUUUCUUAAUAUGCUCAAUAAAAGAUUCACUACAAAAAAGAGAGGCUUUUCCGUCGAAUUAUUUACGAUGAUUUGUAGUCGUCGUAAAUUUACGACGACAUUACGUCGUAUUUACGACGAUCAAAAAUUUCGUCGUAAAUUCGACGUAAAAAAUAACCCUCGUAAAAUCGUCGUAAUGUUACGACGAUUUUACGACGAAUAAAGAACGAAUUUUAUUUCGUCGUAAUCUUAUCGUAAUAUUUACAUUGAUAAUAUGACGAAUUGUCCUCUAUCUAGUAAUUGACGUAAAAUCGAUGUAAAUGUGAUGUAAAUUUUAUUUCGACGUAUAUUUGAUGUAAAUAUGCAAUGGUAAUAUGUUGGUAACCAAACAAAAAAUUCUAUAUAUACCCUUCCUUCUCUCAUUAUUCCAUCAUCCCAAAAAAACAUAUAAAGACACAAAUUUUUUGAGUCUUUGAAUGUUUAAGUAAAAUUUUUGGUAGUUGAAAUUUCUAUCAAAUUUCAGAAACAAAAAGUCAAAUAUUUGUUUUUGAAAUAUCUAUAUACGAUCUACGAAAGUGGAUGUAUACGCCCAAAAAUGGUGAUGGGUCGUUGACUGAAGACUUCAAAAACGGAUUGGAAAUAUUCAUGUACCAAGCCGGCCUUCUGGAAACUGUAAUUGAAAGCGGCAAAGUGUAUUGUCCUUGUGUGAAAUGCAAAAAUAGGAAACAUAUUCUUAUUGACACUGUCUGGCAGCAUUUAUUGAAUAGAGGGUUCAUGCCCCAAUACUUUAUUUGGUAUCAGCAUGGAGAGGGAUAUGGUCAAAGUAGUGGUCAGAUGGCUGCACGGAGUAGUAGUAAUCAUCAAGAACAUGUGGAUUUUGAAGCGUCCAAUGAUUAUCAAAGUAGUCAAGUUCAGGGUGAAGAUCAUGAUAGGAUGCAUGAAAUGAUUACUGAUGCAUUUCAUGAAACACAUGCUGAUACUGUUGAGGAGCCCAAUGCAGAUGCGAAACGCUUUUAUGAUAUGUUAAACGCAGCAAAACAGCCUCUGUACGAGAGAUGUAGGGAAGGUUUAUCAAAAUUAUCAUUGGCAGCUCGGAUGAUGACAAUAAAAACAGAUCACAAUCUAUCUGAAGUUUGCAUGAACGAUUGGGCAGAUCUUAUUAAAGAGUAUUUGCCAGAUGAUAAUUUGGCUGCUGAAACGUAUUAUGAAAUUCAGAAGCUGGUUUUUAGUCUUGGAUUGCCUUCUGAGAUGAUUGAUGUUUGUGUUGAUAAUUGUAUGCUUUUUUGGAGAGAUGAUGAGAAGCUUGAAGAAUGUCGUUUCUGCCAAAAGCCAAGAUAUAGACCGCAAAUUGCUGGGCGUAAGAAGAUUCCUUACCAACGAAUGUGGUAUCUUCCUAUCACUGAUAGGUUAAAAAGACUAUAUCAAUCCGAACGGACAGCUGCGUCGAUGAGAUGGCAUGCGGAACAUUCACAAACAGAUGGCAAAAUGACUCACCCGUCUGACGGGAAAUCUUGGAAACAUUUUAACACCGUACAUCCAGACUUUACUAGGUCUAAGCGAAAUGUUUAUCUUGGUCUUUGCACUGACGGGUUUAGUCCAUUUGGUAUGUCUGGUAGGCAAUAUUCAUUAUGGCCUGUGAUUCUUACGCCAUAUAACCUUCCUCCAGAUAUGUGCAUGGAAAGAGAGUUUUUGUUUCUAAGUAUAUUAGUCCCUGGUCCAAAUCACCCGAAGCGGGCCCUUGAUGUUUUUUUGCAACCACUCAUACAUGAGUUAAACCAGUUGUGGCAUGUUGGAGUACGAACAUAUGACUGUUCGAGUGGUAAAAAUUUUACGAUGCGAGCGGUGCUUAUGUGGACAAUAAGCGAUUUCCCGGCAUACGGAAUGCUAUCAGGUUGGACAACGCAUGGGAGGUUAUCAUGUCCUUAUUGUCUUCAUAGGACUGAUGCAUUUCAGCUUAAACAUGGUAGGAAAACCUGUUGGUUUGAUUGCCACCGUCGGUUUUUACCACCAAACCAUCAAUAUAGAAGAAAUAGGCGUUUGUUUAUAAAGAACAAAUUGGUUCGUCUCCCUCCACCAGUGUACCUAACUGGAGUAGAGCUUGAAGCGCAAAUAGAUCAUUGUGGUGGACUUGAAACGGUCCCCUUGGAGGAAAUUGGCACACUCCUGCGAAUAUGCCUGACGGAUAUGGGGUUCAUCAUAAUUGGCACAAGAAAAGUAUAUUUUGGGAUCUGCCUUACUGGAAAGAUCAUUUGCUUAGACAUAAUCUUGAUGUUAUGCACAUUGAGAAGAAUUUUUCCGAUAACAUCAUGCAUACUGUUUUGAACGUCCAAGGAAGAACCAAAGACAGCGUUAAAUCACGGAUGGACUUACCCGAUAUAUGUAACAGAAUUGAGUUGCAUAUGGUGAGUAAUGGGAAAGCACCUGUUCCUGUAUUUCGGUUGGGUGCUGAACAAAAAACAGCAUUGUUUAAUUGGGUAUCAUCAGCCGUGAAAUUUCCUGAUGGAUAUGUAUCUAAUCUGGCUAAAUCUGUGGAUAAAGGACAAAAGUUUUCAGGGAUGAAAAGUCAUGAUUGUCAUGUGUUUAUGCAACGGUUACUUCCUUUUGCGUUUGCUGAACUCCUACCGGGACAUGUCCAUGAGGCACUAGGAGGCAUUGGAGCUUUUUUCCGUGAUCUAAGUACAAGGACAUUAUCAGAAGAUGUAGUUGCACAACUGUCUACAAAUAUUCCAAUAUUAUUGUGCAAUUUGGAGAAAAUAUUCCCACCUGCUUUCUUCGAUGUUAUGGAACAUUUACCUAUACACCUCCCUCAUGAAGCAGAGUUGGGAGGACCUGUUCAGUUUAGGUGGAUGUAUCCGUUUGAACGAUUUAUGAAGCAUUUGAAGGGUAAGGCCAAAAACUUAGCAAAAGUUGAAGGGUCUAUCGUGGCGGGAAGUCUGACAGAAGAGACUUCUCAUUUCACGUCUUAUUACUUUGCUCCAAAGGUUCGUACACGCAAACGGGCUCCAAGACGUUACGACGAUGGGGGUGUAGGACAAAGUUAUGCAGUAGAAGGUGUGCCUGAUAUAUUCUCACCAAUUGGACGUCUAAGUGGGAAACUAAAAGAAACUUGUUGGUCAAACGAACAAGACUACCACAGCGCACAUACAUAUAUACUUCUGAAUUGCGAGGAAUUGGCACCUUACGAGAGGUACAUAAUUAUAACCAUGUAUGAUUAAAAUUUGAUUGAACAUACGAAAUGUCCUUAACAAUGUUUCAAAAUUUCAGCACUUUCGUCAGUCAAGUCCGAGAAUGCAUUGACGGUGUUUCAGAAGAUGAAAUUAACAAGCGAAAAGACCAACAUUAUGCAUUGUGGUUAAAAGGUCAAGUCGAGCAUGAUGACAUGACAUAUGCAGUAUGGUUUCAUGAGUUGCUCUUAGGUCCUAUUUCGAAGAUAACUACUGCAGCUAUGUAUUUCACACGUGGCUAUGUUUUUCAUACUUAUAGUCAUGGCACUCAACGGGCAACUACAAACUAUGGAGUUUGUGUACGAGGUGAAGUAGACUUUUAUGGGAUCAUCAAAGAGAUAAUUGAAGUGGAAUACCCCGGAUUAGUCAGAAUGAAAACUGUUCUAUUCAAAUGUGGUUGGUUUGAUCCUACGGUAGGUCGUGGAGUGCGAAUUAACACAUUUGGAGUGGUAGAUGUAAACGCAUCUCGGCGAUACAAUAAGUUCGAGCCAUUUAUACUUGCAUCUCAAGCAGAACAAGUCACCUUUGUUCCAUAUCCUCGAGUUCGGAAUACGGGAAUUUCAUGGCUGGCGGUUGUCAAAGUUGCUCCAAGGGGUAUAAUUGAUGGUGUAGAUCUCCCGCCAAUGCAACAAGAUGAUUGUGUCGACAUUACAGAACCGGAUAUUGAAGAAAAUGUUCUUUUAAUUGAUCCACGUAAUCGACAAGUUGAAGAUCUACAUGGGGACGAAACUGAAGAAGGUGCUGAUUUCAAACAAGCAGUGAUGAUGAUGACAAUGAUGAUGACGACACCGAGGAAAAUGUUGAUGAAGACUAAUUAAAUAUUUUGACAUUUAAUUGCAUGCUUUGAACGUUUCAAUGUAACAUUUGUCAAAUUUAAAUUUUUGAAAAAUUAAAGCCAAUUAAUGAAGACUAAUUAAAUGUUGAUGAAAAUUUGUUUAAGUGUUGACUUGGACAUAUGUUGACUAUUACGACGAAUUUACGACGAUUAUUUAGAAAUCGUCGUAAAUUCGUCGUAAUAUGCAAACCCUAAACCCUAUAGGGUUUAGCUUUUCCAACUUACAGAAUGGUUUUUGGGUUCAUUUUCCUAAGUAAACUGAUGUAUUAUAUAAGAGUAUGUAGUAUAAGGUUCAGGAACUUGUAGAAAUGUGGUUUUUAUUACGACGAAUUUACGACGAAUGGGAGUGAUCGUCGUAAAUUCGUCGUAAUAUACCAUCAAAAAUACGACGAAAUGUAACCCCUAAAUCUUAUAAUCAAUCUUUUAUGGGGUUCAGAGGGGAUUUUGAUGAGGAGAAUGAAAUGGCUUACCAUCUCAUAAGGUAAAACAACUUUCUAAACAAAAAAAAAAAAAUUCAAAAUUUGACAUAUAUGUGUUUAUCAAGUAAUCUUAAGAUGUUAUAUACAUUUACACAAGAUGUAUGGAUUUAUCUUACAUCUUACUAAAUUCUUCAUUAAGUUAUGUAAACAUGCUAGAAAGUUAUACAGACCACAUUUAUCAUGAAUAGACAUGCUUGUAUGUCCUUAUGGAUGUUUCAAUUUUUGAAUUUCAUCAGUUUUCGUAUAGUUCGUCGUAAAUUCGUCGUAAUGUUACGACGAAUUUACGACGAUUAGUGGAUACACAGCCGUCUUAAUUUUUUUGAUUUAUACGAGUCGUCGUAAAAUCGUCGUAACAUUACGACGAUUUUACGCGAAUAGCACGGAUCGUCGUAAACUUGUCGCAAAGCCCAGAUACAGCCACGUGUGUUUGUCUUACUCGCUUUGUUGUACGGUGGGAUCUUUGCGACGAAUAUACGACGGAUUCGUCGUAAAUUCGUCAUAAUAUUUACGUCGAAUUUACGACGAAUAUAAAUUCUAUAUAUAGGACCUCACCUCUUCCUCAUUUCGUCGCUUAUCUCUCCUUCCUCUCUCUCUGCUUCCUCCUUCCCACCUCCUCCUUUUGACGAAAAAAAAAGGUAAAUAAUUUUUUUUAAUUACUUAAAAUUAUAAUAAUUUUAAAUAGUUUAGAAAUUCAAACGGUUUAGGUCGGGAAUUAGUUUAGGCUCAGAAUUUGUUAGAUUUAGGAUCGUAAUUAAAAAUUAAUUGUAAUUAAUUUGAAAAAUAAUUUUUUUUCGGUUUUGCAGACGAUGACUCGACGGAGGACGCAUUACAUCAAUUUCAUGACGGACGGACAUUCUUCCCGGGCGUCUGCCUCGGGAAACACCGAGACCGAUGUCCCUUCAUCUUCCGGAGCCUCCCAGGUUCCGAAUACCGCGGAGCCGUCUCCACCACCGCCUCCACCACCACCUCCACCGCCGGCUGUCGAACCGGUACCCGCCCCGGCUGCCGAACCGGUACCCGUCCCUCCUCAUCCGUAUGCCCAGUUUACGGUUGAGGAUUUACUAGCCUUACCGGGACGGGGGGCUUUACGACGUCUGGUUCCCGGAAAAGCGGAACCAGGCUUUUAUUGGUAAGUAAAUUUUUUGUUUUUUAUAGUUUUUAAAUUAACGCUUUAAUUUACUUAAAUAUUAAUGUAAUAAUUUUUUUUUUGGUUUCAUAGGUUUACUUUGGAUAAUUGUGUCGGACGGAGCGUUUCCGACACAAUUAAGAGUCAUUUCGUGGAGCCGCACGUCAAUUGGAGCAAGGUGUCGCAAGAGACGUGCGACACCUGGUACAAGUGCUUCGCGGUACGUAAUAUUUUUAAAAUCUUAUUUAUAUCAUUUUAAAUUGUUUUAAAUUUAAUUAAUCUUACUUUUAUAUUGUCAAUCUAAUUUUUUGUUUUCUUUUGCAGCAACGGUGGAACUGGGACAUCGGGAUCAAUGAGACGGUCCGCGAAGCUUUCGAGGAAAAGGCGAAGAAACGCCUAGUCAACACCGUUUCCGAUUGGAAGCGGAAAUGGGAGACCAACGGCGACGACGCAAAGCCGAGCUCCAUGUCCACUUGGUGUUGGAACGGGUUGAAGGCGUAUUGGGUGGACCCGCAUGCUCAAACCACCGCUGCUAAGUGUUCGGCCGUCCGAAACCGGGUCGAUCCGGUGACUGGUGAGAAGUUAGUGACCCCGCACACUUCUGGCCAAAUAUCUUUUGCAGGAAGACGUCUCAUGAUGGUAAGUAAUUAACUAUAAAUUAUUUCAUUAUUAUUUUAAUUUUAUUUAUUGCUAGAAUUAAUUAAAUAUUUUUGACUAAUAAUGUUUAUUAAUUGGUAGGCCGAGGAGAACGGAAGAGAACUACCUCCAAUGACGAAGCUCUUCGAGACCACUCACCGGAAGAAGGACGGGAGCUUUGUCGACGCUCGAGGAGAUCUACAAUGCCGCUAUGCAGCGGAUCGCCGAGCGGGAGACCCAGGCCACACCUGACGGUACUAUCCAAGUACCGUUGACCGUCGCUGAGCAAGACCAGAUUUUCGAAGAGGUAUGAUAUCUAUUUCAAUUUUUUAAAAAUUUAUUAUAUUUAUAAUUACUUAAUAAAUAAUUAACGUUUUUAUUUUCCAUUUGUAAGUUGCUCCGAAGAAGAAGGGUCGAACCUUAGGGAUGGGCUCUAUUAGAGACUGUCCUGCCGCCACGGCUUCCGGAUUCCGCUCGCAGGAUCCGCAGCUUCGUCAGGAGCUUGCUACGGCCAAUGCUGAGAUCACCAGUCUCAGGCAUGAGCAAGUGGCCCAGAAGCAGGAGCUCACCGAGAUACAUGAUCUCUUCGACAUCAUUGCGGAAGCGGUUCCGCAGUUGACCACUGCAAUCCGAGCGAGGCAACAGCGAGCACGGAGGGUUUUUGAGACCGGUGGUAGUUCCGGUACUGGACCAUCGGACCACCAGACGCAGGGCGGUCAGUCUUCGGCUCCGGUCUCAGCAGCGACAGGCGGUCAGACUUCGGCUCCGGUAGUGCAGACGGGAAAAGUCGGCCUAGCAGCGACGGGCGGCCAAGACGGAGAGCCUCCUCGUGACGUCGAUCUCAACCUCGACGAUUACAACAUCAUUGUAUAGAUUAGGUUUUUUUGUAAAAAACAAUUUGUAUAAUUUUUUUUUUAUUUAUAAAUUAUUUUUGAAUUUAAAUUGAAAUUUAAAUUCAAAUUUUUUCUAUUUUUAAUUUUUUGAUUAUUUUAAAAAUUCAUUAAUUAAAUUAAAAUCGAAUUAAAUAAUUAAUUUAUAAAUCGACGUAAAUUCGUCGUAAAUUUAUGUCGAUUUAACGUCGAAUAUUUAACGACGAAUUUACGACGAAUAAGUUUACGUCGAUUUAACAUCGACAAUUAAAAAUUUAGUUUCCCUUAAUUGAAAUUGUUCGUCUCCUAAACGUUGUAAAAUCGAUGUAAUUUUACAUCGAUUUUACGUCGUUUUUAUGAUGGAAUUUUUUCGUUGUACAUCCGUUGGAAAAUUUACGACGCAUUUUCGACGAAUAGUUCCCGACGAUUUUACGACGAUUUUCCGGAGUUGGUAAUUUUACGACAAUUUUACGACAAUUUCGGUUUUACGACGAUCGUUUUACGACGAUUUUUAAUUCGUCGUUAAUUCGACGUAAAUGCUCUUUUACGUCGAUUUUACGUCGAUAUCUGCCGACGUAAAAGCCAAUCUUUCUUGUAGUGAUUUUCUUUAUGGAGUGAAUUUGAAAGUCGUGUUUUUAGGAUAUAAAUACAAGCUUUAAGGAUUGUAAUUGAUUAUUCACAUAUUUAAUAAAAAAAAACCCUAAACGGAUAUUUAUACCUUAAUUGCAAUUUUCUUUCUUUUAUUAUUGCUUUAUUCGGUUUGAUUCACAACAUAAACAAGUAACAUUUGGUCGCAGCUUCGGUCGCAUUCACUAGCAAUUAUCAAAUGAAGAUGGCCUUUCUCUUAUAUAUUGAUAUAAUAAUGAAUCUGUUACAUAUUCUUCUUACUCAAGAUCACUAGUUAGUGAAGUGUUACGUGUCUGUUUAUAUUUUCUUUCCACAAAUAUAAAUUCCUUGGCAGCCUAUUUAUAACUAGUUUUUUAUUUUCUCCAACCUUAAGAGUGGAAUAAUGAAAUAACACUGUUAAGCAAAUGUCGCAAAACCGAAAGAGAAUAACAUAAUAAACUAAAGACGAUCUUAUUAUGGAAACAACGAAGCGAUUACAACACAGGCCAUUACGAUAUGAAACUUUAUUCCCAUACUUUUCAUUUCUUAAUCCAUCAUGCCCCUUAAGAACACUUGGGGCACUUACACAUACACAUAUAAGUGUAUAUAUAGAUCCAACCAUGCAUUAUAUAGUUUUAGUGACCGGGUUGAGUCUGAACAGCUUCUCCGGCAUAAGAACAACACCUUGAGCAGCCACGGUAACCUCUGUAGCAGCAACCGUGACGGCAAUAACCUCCUCCACGGCCUCCUCCGUUGUAUCCUCCUCCGCGGUGUCCUCCUCCGUUGUAACCUCCUCCUCCGUUGUAUCCUCCUCCGUUGUGUCCUCCUCCAUUGUAUCCUCCUCCUCCGUGGUGUCCUCCUCCGUUGUAACCUCCUCCUCCGUUGUAGCCACCACCAUAUCCAUCGGGUUUCACAUUUUCCUCACUUUCUGACUUCGCUGUAGCUGUCAAAAAUAAUACAUUUCAAAGAUAUUAUUAGCACGUUCAAAUUUGCAUUCCUCACCCAGAAUUUAGAACUAUUUUUCUAUUUGCAAAAAAUAUUAAGAGAUAUAAGUUUGCAUCUCUAGCUAGUUUGUUUCAAAACAUUUACAACAUAAGAUAUACGUUCUAAACAUUUUUGCUCUAAAUGUUUGAGAUGAUCCCGAUACAUAUAAUAAGAAUUCAACAUCAUACUUAAGUGUAUUUUGAUUUUCGUAAGUCUCCAGCCUUAUAACAAACUAAAUAGUUGAAUGAAUCUAUCACCCAAUGGAAGAAGUAGACAGAAACAUAAAAAAUAAUGUUACAUACCCGACUGCCUUUCGGAUGCCGCUGCCCUUUCUGAGACGACGAAAAGAAGUGCAAAGAGACCCAACAGAAUUAAAGCCCUCGAAGCCAUUUUCUUCAACUGUUCAACUCUUUGUUUUAGAACGUGUGAUGAAUAAAAAUGUCACCAUGUAUGCCUCUAUUUAAAGAAAACGAGGAGGAGGGAAUGAGAAGAGUAAAAAAAAACCUAAUCCCUAGUCCAAUAAAAAUAACUCAAAAGAAAAGUUAAGAAAUUUAAUAAUUUAUGACAAUAAAAAUAGUAAGAAGAAGAUAAGUAUCGAUUGCAUAGGGCCCAUUUAUGGUUGGUUGUUGGAAUCAUUGUAAAUAAUUUUGAAACUCCUUAAAUGGCAACUCUCCACUAGUCUUUUAGAUGUUUCUAUAAAACGUCUCAAACACAGCGCAUUCACACGUAUAUAGUCAUAGACAUAUUAAAAAAUAUUAUUGGAUUAUUUCGAGAAUAAUAUUCAUUAUUGGAGAGUUGGAGACUUGGACUAUUGUUUAUGAAUCGUCCUUUACAAUCUCAACCGACAGAUUUUACGCAGAAGGAUAUAGACAAAUCAUAUGGACUUAAAAUCAGUAAGUCAUAUAGGAGCGAUACGUAGUAGUUAAUAAGGACAGACGCAAAAUAUUAAGUCAUAUAGGAGCGUACGUAGUAGUUAAUAAGGGCAGACGCAAAAUAUUGCACGGCUAUAUUGUUGGGAUAUCAAUCCAAGUUUCACAUCUAAAAUUUAAACUAAUGUACUCAAAUAUAUAAGUAAAAUGUUUAAUAGUUUAGUAUAAAAUUUUUUGGAAGAAAUUUAAAAACAAAUCCGUGCAUGCUUUGUCAUUUGAAUCCAAAGUGGACAAUAUCAUACUAAUAGAGAAUUGGACAUGGAUUUGAAAAGUUCAACAAUUGGUAUCAGAACCAGGUUCUGGAAAAAAUGGAUCUGGACAAAUGGGUGUGGACUGUGUGUUCGGUGUGGGAGGGAGAGCCCUCAAAGUAACCUUGCGAUUAGGGUGCUGGUGCUUUGUAUCAAAAGUCUUCCGAUUGGGCUUUUCAAGCUCAUGUCCAACUCCCUAUUAGUAUGAUAUUGUCUGCUUUGGGCCCAAAUGACAAAGCCCGCACAGAUUUAUUUUUGGAUUCGGGUUUGAGUGGUCCUUAGCUAGAGGAGAGGAUUGUUGGGAUAUCAAUCCAAGUCCCACAUCCAAAGUUUAGACCAAUAUGGUCUAGUAUAUAAGCAAGAUGUCCAAUAGUUUAGUAUGAGACCUUUUGAGAAGGAAUCCAAAAACAAAUUCGUGCGGGCUUUGCCAUUUAGGCCAAAACGGACAAUAUCAUACUAAUAAGGAGUUGGACUGGGCUUGAAAAACCCAAUAUGAAGACUUUCGAUACAAGGCACCAGCACCCCAAUCGCAAGGUUACCUUGAGGGCUCUCCCUCCCACACCGAACACACAGUCCACACCCACUUCUCUAGUCUACCUUUUCCAGAACCUGACUCUGAUACCAAUUGUUAGAUUUUCAAGUCCUUGUCCAACUCUCUAUUAGUAUGAUAUUGUCUGCUUUGAGUCCAAGUAGAAAAGCCCGCACGUAUUUGUUUUUGAAUUCCUUUCCAAAAGGCCUCAUACUAAACUAUUGGAUAUCUUUAUGUACUAGACCAUGUUGGUCUUUACUUCGGAUGUGAGACUUGGAUUGAUAUCCCAACACUUUUUAACAGUUGCGAAAAGGUUAGGAGAAGAGUUUCGUUGGUGCGUACGGUGAUACAAGAUGGGUGCCAAGUUUCGCAGGAGGUUGGGAGGCCACGGGUUUGUGUGAUCCUUGGCUUAAGGGGAGAAUUAUUGGGAUAUCAAUCCAAACCUCAUAUCUGAAAUUUAGAGCAAUAUGGUCUAGAAUAUAAGCAAGAUGUCCAAUAGUUUAGUAUAGGGCAUUGUGGAUAAGAAUCCAAAACAAAUCCAUGCGGGGUUAGCCAUUUAGACUCAAAGCAGAUAAUAUCAUACUAAUAGAAAGUUAGACAUGGGCUUGAAAAGCCCAACAUAUAUUAAUCACAGCUAUUCUAAUGGAAAAUUUUUUUAAUGAAAUUAUCUAUUCAAGUCAUUUAAGCGUAAGGCUUGAUAUUCAGUAAAUGAGUUGAGAAUUAGUUAAUAAUAUUAAUAAAGGUCAUUGAGUGUGGACAUGUUAGUUACUUUCCUGCUACUUGCAUUUGACUUAAGAGUGAAAUUCAUAAGAUUGUACAAACAAAUUGUCUAACACAUGAGACUUGUGAUACCAAGAACAAUACAUGCACACAAUAAGCCAUGGUAGCUCAAUUAUUCGUUUGGAAUGUAAAACAUCACAUACAUGUCUAAUUCAAGUUUUACUUGAUAUAAAAAUUAAACGGAUGAUAUAAAGGAUCUAAGAACACCUCCAUUAGUGAGAUACAUCAAUAUAAUAUUAAUACUGCAUUUAAAAUAUACUUUAACUUUGCAAUUUUAAGUUUUCUAAAAAACAUUCAUGAAAAGAUAUAUGUUACAUUAGUCUCUCAUAUGGUUUACAAAUGAUAAUCCAUUCUCAUUCCCCAUUCUUUCUUUAAUAUGAGAAAUCCAGUGAAAUAUUCUCAAUAGAGAUGUUUUAAAGCCUCUAAUUAAUUAGCAUGAAUAUUUUACUUAUUAAAAAUGUAUAAUUUCAAGCUUGUGACUCAUCAAGGAGAACAUCCAAAACGACUUAAUCAUAAGUACGAGUUGGGAUUAAGCAAGAAUUGGGAACUGGACAGAGAGCAAAAAAUUAGAAAAUACGGAACACAAAUAGUAAUAGUUAAUGGUAAUAGUUAAAGGUAUCAACUUAAUCAUAAGGACGAGGGUGAUCUUUGUCUUACACAUAAUUCUUUUCCCCCUUAUUUCCUCUUAGUUUGGUUGUAAGGAUUAUCUAGAGGGUUGUAGCCUGUAGGAUAUAUGAUCUAGAGAUUGUGAAAGAUCUCUCGAAAAUUCUCAAGAAUUAGUCUACAAAAUAAAUUCCUAAGAAUCCUUCCCCAAUCCAAAGGAUCACGCUAGCAAUCCCCAAACCUCCGCUUUUGUCACUUAUCUUACCCUAGAUGGAUCUUCAAUACAGAUCGUUUUAUCCAUUUGAUCAAUACCAUACAAUUUAGGUGUCUUUGUAUAACAAGGCGUAGUAUAUCCCUUAUUUGGUAUUCACGCAACACAAUGAAACACAUGACUAUAUCUUUGUGUUUUUCCACUCAUUUUCGAAUUCUUUCUCUUUGUGUUAGAUUUAUUUUUGAGAGGCUGUCUCUUUUUUUUGGACAAAAGAAUAGAUACCUACAACUGUUUUAUAACAUAAACAAUAUCUUGCAGUCCGCCGCGUUGAAUGUAUGAAAUAGAGAAAGCUAAAACCUUCCUUACACAUGUUGAAUUCCUCCAUGCGGUAUAAACAUCAUCGUCACCAACUCGAAAUAGUCUGUAACAAAAGAUGUUGUCUUCUGAUAUUCGAUUAUACAGUGCAUGAUCCAAAUGAAUGCUUCUACUUCAACGUGCAAAGGAAAGAUUUUCUUGUAGACUUUUGCUCCCAUUAAUAUCAUUCAAUAUAUUCUUGGAAGCAAUGCCAUCCUAGUCUGGAAAAAUUGUCGGUUUAGUUUUCUUGUAAGAGCAGUCUAUGUAGCAUCAAAUAAUUUAACCAAAUUUCCUUGGGUCAACGAUCUAUUUUUUUAUGGGAAUUAUCUAUAGCAUGAGAUGUCUCCCGACCUAUAUAUGCCUUCUUUCUAUAUCUCCACGAAAUCGGGUUAAGACCUAUUUGAGAGAUUAAUAUUUUUAAGUUUGUUUUUGUGGGGAUAUACACAGAGAAAAUAAUUUAAUGUACGUUAACAUCUGAUGAUGGCUGAUGCUACAGUAAAAAUUCUAUAUAUUAAUAAUGUUGGAACUUUAAAAUUUUAUUAAUUUAGCAAAUUAUUAAUUUAUAAAGAAAUUAAUUUAACCAAAAUUUAAAUUUAAAACCAAAUAAUUAAUUGAGUUUAUUAAUUUAUCAAAUAUUAAUUUAUAGAAUUUCUGUUGUAUAUAUAUGAUAGUUCUCGUGAUUCUUUCUAUCCUUUCUAAGAAAGAGAAGUUAUCAAAUACAUUUAAUGGUGGAUACGUGGAGUCUCGGUCAGGAUUGUUGAUCACCACACGUGAUAGUGAAAUUGUAAUUUGGUAAUAAUAAGGGGAAAUGUUCAGCUAAAAAAAUUAAAUGAAACUCAGACCAUGCAAGUGUUGGAACCUUACUCAAUGAAUUGAUUGCUUGUUUCGAUCCAAAAUUCAAAAAGCAAUAACUAUAGCUGAUGCUGACUAUUGAGAAGAAAGUUCUAAAUUGGCAACUCAAACUAACCACAUGAUAGUAUGAUACAUAAUGACAUUCUUUCAAUUUUAUAGCCUUUUCUAUCAAAUUGAAAAUAUGGAAAACCAAAUUAUAUUUUUAAUAUUUAAAACAAGAUACUAGCUAUUCUAUAACUUUAGUAUACCCAGGUAAAGAAAAUAAGAUUUAGAUUCUAUAUUGAAUAAGAAUCAGUCUAAUUAUGACUCAUAUAGUUAGAUUUCAAUUAAAACUCUUAUUAGUUAUUCAGAAAUUAUGUUUUAUAAUUUGUAAGUAAGAAAAUUUAAAAUUAAUCUAUAUUAAUCAUAAAUAACCCUCUUAAAUAAAUAAGAGGUUAUAAGACAAUAAUUUACAUUUUUCAAUUUGUAGUUUCUAUUUAUUUCUGUAUUUUACUUUUUAUUUUAUUUUAUUAGUUUCUUUUUUUGAACCAAAAAUUAUUUUGUUUUAUAUUUAAUUUUUUAAUAUUUAAAUAUAAAUAACUAAAAUUUAAAAACUUAAAUUAUUAUAUUAACAUAUGUUACAAUCUAAACUAAUAAUGACACAUAUAAUAUCUGUAAAAAGUUAUAAUUAUUCUAUGUGUCAUGCUAACGUAGAUCUUACCAAGUAGGAUUGUAACACUAGAUAGAUUCAACUCUGCAUAAUACGUAAAAAAUAAUAAAAUAUUUAGAUGAUCUGGUCAUCGAUCUAGCAAACCACCACAAGGUGAUCUCAAUGCCCAUAGACGAUCCAACCGAGCCAUCCGAAGCUGAUUGGAGCCUUGUUGAAGCUGUAUCGGUGAAACCAAAUACCAAAUCAACUGAGGGAAGGCAUUUUUACCAACCAACCAACCCCAGUGAAGACUGAUCAAGCAAAAACACUUUUGACUCAAACCAGAACUGAAGAUAACCGAGACAUUCCACCUAAUAGCCAAGGAGCGGUUAUACCAUCACCAUCUUUGACCAAACCGGUGAUUCAUGAUCCAAGAACCAAUAUUCAUCGACCAACCGACCAUAAGGAGUAUUCUGUACGAGAUAUUUCAUGUCUUAACCAAGCUAGAAGUAAAGAUAACCGGAGCCUCACCAACCGGCUUGAUUACAAACCAGAUUUUACCCGAGAAGAGACUUGGGCUGAUUUCUUAGAGAUCAAACUCAAUCACCAAGAACUAAUAUCAAACCUGAUUUGCUCUGUGUUCUUGACCCAUUAAGGAAUCACGGUGAAUUGGAAUCAGUCCAACUUACCCGAUUGGAAAUAUGCACCUUAAUUGAAGCAUUCCGACCAAGCCGGGAGGAAUUAAGCUGCGAAAUGACUUGUUCUGGAAUCUGGGUUCAUCAAGGAAUCCGGGAUAGUUGGAAUCACACCAAGUCCGGUUUUCAUUUGGGAGAUACUCCAUUUCUAAACCGACCGAUGGUUUCCCAGCUUGCCUUAUUUGAAACCCUAUGGGUUUAGGAGACACUAGACGUAUCAGUGGCAUCCAGGAGACUGUGCUAUUUCCAGAAGUUCCCUAAAAUACUCUAGAGUGCACCCGUACGCCUUGGAUCAGGCGGAUCCAUCUGUACCUUCAAUUGAACUAACUAGGGCCGAUUAUAGAAACUACGAAGACCGACCAGUUCAAUUAUGAGCAAACCAAGAUAUCACGACCAGAAGAGAUUCUUAGACAAUUAAGGAGCUUAAAAACACCUUCCCAUGCACCAGAAACCACAGGAUCAGACGGAUCUUCUUGCAAGUCCACUUUCCUUAUGUAGCUGCGUUCACAUUAGGAGCCAUAACUUUCCAACGGCUCUUUGUCUUUAAGUGCUACGAUAUGGACAACUUUUUUGGAGAUAAGAAUGUUCCAGAAAUUCUCACUAAUCCUCUUAAACCUUACGGAUACAAAGGCGUCAUCACAAUUGCCUUAGUUGCCGAGACCCUCCAUUAAGAGCCAACAGCUAGUUUUUGAUAUAUUUUUGAUUUGUUCCUUUACUCUAGAUUUUUAGACCGUUUGUAAUUAAGCUUGUAGGAGCUCUAUACAAGCUCAGCUCAGGUAAUUUUUACAAUUCACCUUUAAAUCCAGAUUAAUACAAAGUAUUCCUUUUUCUUUCAAAGUUGUGUCUUUGCAAAGACUUGUUCUUUUCUUUAGAAUUAAGUGUGAGAUUCACUUAGCUCUAUAGAAGCUGCGAAAUUAGUUUGUUUAUGAGAUUCAAACAAACUAUUUCGUCGACAUAUUGAGAGAGUCAAUCAACCCCCAUCGAUUGAGAGUCAAUCACCCUAUCAUCAUCUUUAUCUCGACUUCAUUCCACCUUCCGCAGAAUAAGUUUGGAAUAUCUUCAUCAUUAAGUGAUCAUAAGUUGGAGUGAUUUCAAUCUUGUAUCAAUUAAUAAUGACACAUGUAAUGAUAUAGAAAGUUAUAAUUAUCCUACGUGUCAUGCUAGCGUAGAUCUUACCAAGUAGGGUUGUAACACUAGAUAGAUUCGGCUCUGCAUAAUAUGCAGAAAAAUAAUAAAAUAUUUAGGUUUUCAAUUUUUAUAAUCUGCAUAAUUAUGACUUGUACAGUUUGAUAUAUACUAUUAUUUGCGAGGUCAAAAAUCUGAUGUGUCAUCAUCACAGUGAUUGUCUUAUGUGUCAUUAAUAAAAAACAAUUAUGUGUUGUUUUAAUUUGUUUUGAUAGGUCAAUCAUUAGUCCUACGUGUACAUAUCCAUGACAUGGUUUUUUUUCUUAAUUAUGGGCCAAAGAUUUUGCUAAUGGGCCACCGAUCUUAAAGUUUGUCCUAGCCACCGAUGUAAAAGUCGGUACUAACCUAAACCCUAGCGUAUCCAUCGUGCUAGAUAUACCCAUUUCGGUUUUCAUAUUUUCUUACAUAUAAUAUCUGUCUACUAAAAAAAAAAUUGUUCACCUCUUUUUUUAAAAAAAAACUAUCAUAGCAUUUAAAAAAAACGUCCACCUCUUUUUUAAAAAAAGGAUCAUAUCAUUUUUUAUAUACUCCAUCUCUUUUUUUUAAACAAUCUCUAUGAUUAUUUAUGCGUAUUUCUAAUGAAAAUAACCUACUAUUUUUUGUAUAAUUGAUAUUUUGAUGGUUCUAUAGUUCAUCUCUCGCCUUACAAUGGAAUCGUCAGGUAAAUAUACAUUUUUGAUUUUAUCUUAGUUCGUGCUUUUAAUGUUUUUUCAGAUUCUAGAAGUUUUUCUUUUGUAAAUCCACGGCGUAAUAGUUAUUUGCUUCAAAACUUUUAUGAAUUUUCUGUAGCGAUUAGCAAUCGUCCCUUUCAUGAUCCUCAGAUUUUCUAUAUCAUCUGCCGCCAUCUCAAAUCGUUUUUCCACGAGAUGAAGAUUCUUCUGCCAGUGUUAACAAUGAUAAAUUUAUCGGUUGGUCGAAGUGUAAUCAGGACUAUCCAGAAUCCAGAUCGUUAUGUAUUCUGAAUUUCUGACACGUUGGAUUUGAGAUUGUUAAAAACAUCAUGGCAUCCCCGUCUCUGCGGAAUCUCCACACCGAGUAUUAUAUCCAAUUGUAACCCCAACACUGGUACUGCUUAAGGGUUUUAUUGCAUGUCGUUUGCAGUCCAUGUUCUUAUAUUGAUAUAAGAACAAAUAAAUGGUGUUGUCCACCCUACUUUCAAAGAUGCAUGUUAUGUUUUAGGUUAAAUUCACGAUGAUACUGAGAAUGUUUAAGCUUUCUAUAAGGCAAGUCAAUGAGGUUCCCGCUUCUCUCUCUUCAAAUGAGGUUCACUACUUUGUUACAUCCAGGUUCUAUGAUGAAUCACUUUUGUGUAUGGAGAUCCAUUCAAUGUUUUUUAGUAUAAGUUUUGUCAAUUUUUUGCAUUGUCUUUGAUUUUCUUUUCUUUCAUUAUAUUAUUUUAACAAUUUCUUAGAUUUUUUAUUCUGUUCUGCCCGGUUUCGGUUGAGAGGUUUACUAUUUGAGAUUUUUGUUGGACGUUGUUAGGUAUUUUUAUUGGACGUUGUUAGGUAUUUUUAUUGGAAGUUGUUAGUCUUGGUGCUCAUGCUUUAUAUAUAGAUGAUAUCCAGUAGCUAAAGAUUUGUGUACUUAGUGGUUCGUUUGUUCGGUUGGUAAUUUUUUGUUUGGGUUUUUGAAUUUGGUUUUGUAUUAUUUUUUCAGUCGGUUAGAUUGAUAUUUGGUGCGUGUUGGUUAUAUAUUUUGUGGUUUAAUGAUUACACUAUUAUAUAUAUAUAUACAUAUAUAUAUAGUUGUAGUGUGGUUUUUAGACAAAAUUCUCUUUUUUCAAUUUUUGCGAUAGUUUAUUUUUCAAGAAUGUCACAUAUUUAUUCAUUGAGCUUUUGUGGUGUUUAUGAUUUCUAAUAUGUCUACGGUUUUGUCAGAUAUGAUUGUAAUUAUUUACCUAAGCUCUUAAAAUUAUUAUUUAUUAUAUAAUCUAUACAUAUAUUGUGAUCAAAGUAAAGAAUGUAUAUCCUAGGGUUAUUUAACUAUGAUCUGAAAUUUAGUAUUUAUUAUAUAUAAUCUAAUAAGGAGAUGAAGACGACCAAUGAAGUCGGAAGGUGAAGAUGAUAAAAAUAUAGAAGACAAAGUAAAAUAAAAAAAUGAAAAAAAAGAAGUAGAAGAAGAGGAGAAAAAAAGAUAAAUCAAAAUAUAAAGAAGAAGCUGUAGUUGAUGAUAAAAACUAAAGAAAAAUAUGAACAUAAAUUUGAAUAAAACCAUAGAGAAAAAGAAGAAGAUGAGAACACAGAAUAGUGAAGAAGAAUAUUGAUAAGAAAAAAGAAAUUUGGCUUUGAAUAAGAAAACCAGAAGAAAUAAAUGAAAGAUGUAGAAACAAAGUAAAGACGAGGAAAUGGGAAAAUGAGUAGGUGUAGAUGAAAAAAAAAAGAUGAAAACACUAGAAGAAGAUAAAUUUGACAAAGACCAAAGAGGAAUAAGAAGUAAAGAAUAAAGAAGGCUAAUAAAAAUCAAAAAAGAAAGAAGAACAAGAAGAAAAAGAAGAAAAAGAAGAGCUGAGAAAUAUAACGAUGAUGAAGAAGAAGUCAAAACGAUGAUGAAGAUGAAAGAAAAUUAUGAAAAAUAAGAAAAUCGAAAGAUAUAUAAGACGAAGAAGAAAGUACAAGUCAAAGAUGAUGAAUAAGAAGGAAAAUAUGAAGAAGAAGAAGACUUUGGGACAGAAAAAAAAAACAAUGUCUUUAAAUUAUAUAUUAGAGAAUGAAGAAGAAAGACAUAUAAAAACCAAAAAAAUAAAAGAAUAAGGAAAAUACAAAGAAAAAAAAAACCAAAAGAUAAAAAGUAGAAAAAAGAGUAGAACAAAAUAGAAGAGCAAGAAGAAGGAGACAAGUCUGAAGUGGGAAUUGAAAUAGAAGUUGAAGACGAUGAAGAAGAGGAAAGAAAACAUAAGAAAUAAGAAAAUUGAAGUCAAUGAUAAAGAAGAAGUAAAAGACGAAGAAGAAGACUGAAAAAAAGAAAAAUAAAAAUCAUAAUAAGAAAAAUUAUGACAAGACGAAAUGUUGACAACUAAAAAUGGGAAGAGGAUGACGAAUUUAGAGAGAGAGAGAGAGAGAGAGAGAGAGAGAGAGAGAGAGAGAGAGAGAGAAAUUGUGGUAAUGCUUUCAGGGACAUGUAGAUGGAGAGAGAGAGACAGUGAGUGAGAGAAAUAGAGAGAGAGAGAGAGUAAGAGAAAUGAGAAAGAGAGAGUUAAACAUUUCAAGUACAUGACAUUAAAUCUAUGUUAGUUCGUCUUUUCUGUGUUUCUAUUUUUUUUUAUAUCUGAGACACUUCUUACUUUAAAUGUAGUUGUCUAAAUCGUAGAUAUAUACAACUUAAGACGAGGGAAGAAGAGAGAGAGAGUGAGAGAGAAAUACUGAAACAGAGGGAGGGUAAGAGAGAGAAUGAUAGGGAGGGACGCAUGGAGGGGGAGAGAAAGUUAAAGUUUUCAGGUAUAUGUAUUUGAUUAAUAUAAAAGACGAAGAAAAACAAGAAGAAUAUGAAGUCAGAGAGAUCAAAGAAGACGAAGGUGAUGAUGAAGAAGAAGAAUUCGAAGUAGAAGAGGAAGAAGUUGCGAAUAAGAUGUGGAAAACAUGAAGAAGAAGAAGACGUGAUUAAAAAAAAAAAACUAAAGAAUAAGAAGUAAGAAAAGACAUAUAGAAUGAAGAAGAAAUAAAAGAAAAUGAAAAGAAAGUAAGAAUAUGCGAGAGUAGAAUGAGAGAUAAAGGUGGAAAACUAUGAAUAAAGAUAAGGAAAAGACAAUAAAGAAGAAAAAUCAAAAGAUAAAUAAGAGGAAAAAAAUGAUGAAAAGCGAUUAUGUGGAGUGAUAACUAUGAGUUUUCAAGACUCUUUGUAGAGGUUAUCAAUCCCUUGUCUUGUAGUACAAGGGGUUUAUCAAUCCAAGAAUGUGGUGAUAGACACUAAGCUAUGUAAUCAGGUUCUUAAUUCAAGCAAACAAGAGUGGUUUGGUUAACUAGAGACAACUACAAACUUAAACAGGAUUAAAGACUAAUGAAAUGAUUAAACAAGAACUAAACAAUGAGAAAUGAUGAGAAUGUAUGAAUGAUGAUGAGAAAAGUCUUAGACAUGAUAGUGGAUUAGGGUGCCUUCAGUGAUAAACUAAUGAGCUAAUGAAUCAUAUGAUCAAGCAAACCAUUCAACAUAAACAUCUUUAAUUAAGUUAAUCCUCUCAUGAAGGUAUUAACUCCUAUGCUAAAACAGUUUCUAACCCAAUCAUCAUCAGUGAAACAUGAGUUAACAAGCAUUAAGAAUCAGUUUAAUCUGUCAUUUAAGCAUAUAGACAAUCAUUCCCAUGAUGAAUAACACUUAAACCUAUAACAACCUUGGUUCAAACAUUUCAUCAAACACUUUUGAUGCAUGAAAUGCCCAGAAUCUAGACCACAUAUGAUUUGUAUGGAUCUAGCAUAGAGAACAAGUUGUAGAGAAUGGAAUAUGCAUGAUCUAACCCCUAAGCUCACUAAUCUACCACUUAAACACCCUAAUCUACAUAUCUAAGACCUUAAUAUGGAGAUUACUCACUAAUCAUGAUCAACACACUAGAUCCUUUGCAAGAUGUGUUGUUAAUCAUGAUUAGAAGUGUAUAGAUGGAGAGAUAGAUGAUAGAUUUUAGAAGAAAGCAGCUUUAAACACAAAGAUCUCUUAAACUCUCUUGAUUAAACACUCAAUAAUCAAUAUUUCUCUUCUUAAUGGAGUCUUUUCACAAAAGAGGCAAGAGACAAAAGGAAUAAAGCUUAGUCUUCUAAAAACCCUACAAAGUAUUUAUAUCUCUCUAAAAAACGAACCGGGUCAGCCCGGAACAAACCGGAUCCUGACCCGGCUUUAAUGGAUAAAGUGGAAAUUCUGCGGGUUGGUCCAGUGUCUCCCAGGUAGCAUGCCCAAGUCGCAGUAGAUGAAGAACUUGUCUUGUGAGACUUAAAUCGCCUUGUCUUAGUCGCACGCCCAAGUAGGAGUGUUUUGCGAGUCUUGCUGCGGCUUAAUCUUCUUCUUCUUCAACUCGCAGGACCAAGGCGGUUUCUGGGGAAUGUACAAACCGUGCGGGUUGGUCUCCAUUACACUCAGGUCGCAGGCUCAAGUCGGAGUAGAUUGAGAGUGAUCGUGCGGCUUGGUUCCAGGCGCGGCCAACUCGCAUGCCUAAGUCGCACGAUUGUGGACUUAGCAAUUUUCUUGCUCGGGAGCCUCAGACCUCAUCCAUUGAUAGCUUACCCGCACUUCUCAACUCGCAGCAUCAAUUUCCAGGCAUUCGUCUUCAGGCCUGCGAGUUAACCAAGUCGCAAGGCUUUCUCGCAGCAUUCAGAGCAGCUUGGACCACUUCGCAUUCCGGAGAGUUUAACUUCUAAGAUACUUGUCCGAAUUGAGUGAUUCCGGUUGAAGAGGACAGAGGACUCAUAUAUCUCCAACUUUGGUGAAGGAAGCUUCGGUGCUUGGGAAGUGGAAGGCUUCCUGGAGAGCUCAUCUUUGCAGUGCAUUUACACGAUCAGAGAGAGGCGUCUAGACAUGUGUCAAUUCCGGAGACCGUAUCUUCCUGCUCAUAGCUCCGAAUUGAAUGAUCUUGGACGUUAUGGAUAGAGGACUCAAAUGUCUCUGAUUCGCAUGAAGGCUCAGGAAACUGAAUCGGCCUGAAAGUGCACUGUCCGUCGCAUUCUUCAGAGCUCAUCGGCUUGGUCCAGAACAGCAGCGAGACAGGGGUUCCUUCCGACGAGCUUAACUUUCUGCUCACGCGUCCGAAUUCCAUGAUUUCACUUGCUAUGGAACCAUGAUCCAAUCGUCUCCAACUUCGAUGAAGCACCCGACAACUGAAUCGGACCGGAAGGUUCCCCGGACAGGCGAUUUCGGAAACGUGUCUGCACCCGGAGAUUUUGGCCGAAAGAUUCAAUAGCCGGUACGCGUUUUGGCCGAUAAAGUCUACCCGCGGUACGCGUUUUGGCCGAGAAAAACCUUUCUGGUGCGCGAGAAUGGCCGAUAACCUCCAAAGACCCAAUUUCACCAUUUUUCAAGCCUUGAUCAUCAUUCCACCUCCUGGAUUCAUCUUUUCAGCUCCAAAUACACCUGAUAAGCACUCAAAACAUGCAAAGACUCAUUGGGACCUAAUGCAUCUCCUAAGUUCUAAAACAAACCCUAAGGACCUAAAAUGCAUGGAAUAAAACAUGAUUUGAAAUGAAUUAUGCAACCUAAAUGAUGCAAAUUAUGAACAUAUCAACUCCCCACACUUGUCCUUUGCUUGUCCUCAAGCAAACAAGAACAAAUGAGAGAGAGAGGUUGAAUGCAUGGGAGUUCACAUUUUCUUUUUGAGAGAAGUGAUCACAAUGAGAAUUCAAAUUCAUGCUCAAUUAUGCAAUGCAAAGCCAUACUCAGAUAUAUAUCAACUCAGCAAGGAAUUUCCACAAGUUCUUCUCUCUCUCAACUCUUACAUUCAUUAAGCUUUUAUCAGGUGAAUCUCAUGAUGCAAUGUUUAAACAAGCUGGCUUGGCUAGGGAGAGGCUAUGAGAUUAAAAUGAUCUCAUUAGUGUUCAAGUGGGUUUAAUGCAGCAAAGGGAUCUCUCUAUGAAUGAUCAAACUUUGGCAGAAUACUAAAGGUAAAAAGCAACCUAUGCAUACAAGGGCAAAGACUCAUCACACCCCACCCUCUACUCAAAGCUUUCUCACUUGCUCACUCUCUCAAGGACCUCACUUUUCACACUUAUUUUCCUCUCACUAGGGGACUUACUUUUCACUUUCACUCUCAAGUCUUGGAGUUCAAACUUUACACAGCUCUUUUUCUUUUGCAACCUCUAGCCUCCUUUUCUUCUUUCUUUUCAAAACAUUUGAGCUCUUUGGCUUCUUUUCUUUUCCUUUUACUUAGAGGCUAGACUCUUUCUUUUCAACACACCAGAGCUCACUUUCUUUAACUCAAAACUCCAAGACUGAUUUCUUUUUCUUUCAUUCCCCUAGCUAUUUCCACUUCCUCUUUUCCACUCAUCUCACCUUUUUCCACUCACCAACAAGUCUUUUCCCCCACACUUAUUCCUCGCCAAAACUCUCAGUUCCUUGAUGUUGGAACACAGCACUCAAUGAGACCUGCCCUUGUCGCUCUAAACCUAACACUUUCUGCUAAGUUUGAUCCAAGGUGGCCUUUCAAUUCACACACAAACAUUGGCUUGAAAGAAAGAUGGGUUCAAGGUGAGGGAACUGAUCCAUGAUGCGGAUUCAGCUACUUGAGCUAAGCAAAAAAGGGGGGGGGGUAAAAACAAUGGUUCUAGCUCAAGUAUGUAUAUCGGUAUCCACAAGCUUUUUCAAACAAUGCAUCACAAGAUAUUUUCAAGUCAAGUUCAAGGUUCCCACUUAAUUAGAGUUGAGUUCAAUUCAAACUUGCUUCUCAGAUUCAGAUCAUUUCAGACUUUGCAAGCACAGAAAAAGAUUCACAAGCAUAUUCAGUUCAAGUUCUCAAAGUGAUGUACUCUCUAGAAAAUCUAUCAUUACUCCCUGCAAGAUGCAACCUACAUGAACAUGCAAUCUAGACUCAAUCCUAAAAAUGAGAAUGCAACUACAUGAUCAUUUUUUUUGUGAAAAUUUUUCAGAUUUUUCAUUUUUUUUGGGUUUUUAUAUGCACUUAGAUGAGACUACAUGAAUAUGCAACUAGAAUGUGACUCAAGACUCAAAGUAUAAAAUAAGAACAGAGAAAACAUGGUUAGUAAAAGAUGAAACUCCUCCCCCACACUUAAAUAACACAGUCCCUUGUGUUAUAAAAGCAUGAGAAAGGAGUGAAAGCAAAGCAAACAAGUAAAAAUGCAAAGAAAAAGAAAAUCUACAUGCAUAUUUACAAGGUUUAGAGUGUUACCUAAGAGCUGUUGAAGUCAGACCCCAAUGAGUAAGAGGGGUUUGAAGUGUGACCGGAUGGUGUCUCCCAAGAAUGAUGGCUUGCUUCAUCAGACCCGUCGUCGAGAUCCACCCAAGUUGUGCCAUAUGUGACCAGGGCUAUGCAGUUCAUGGAACUCUCUCCAACUUCCUCUCUGUUCCUUGGUGAAACUGGUGCUGGAGACCCACCUUUGCAAGGGUUUUCAAGCUUAUUAAUCCUCUUCUUCAUCUCCUUGAUGCACUUGGCCAUCUUGUGGAUGGUUUUGUCUUGGUACUUGCACCAUUGUUGGAGAAUACCAAUCUUUUGUUGAGCUAUGAACCCUGAAGUGCCUGGUUCCUCCCAGUUGUAAUCAUCAAAAUGGUAUCUAUUUCCAACAAAACGUUUUUGAGGUGGAGGCAGAUCAGCAUCUUGAGCACCAGUAGCACUUGUGGUAGCAUCUUCAGCGGUUGCUCUCUUUCCCUUGGAGGCUUCUUCUCUGCAAGCUUGCUUGUAUGUGAGGAUUGGUGGAUCAGUUUGGACAUUGUACAGCUCUUCCUUCAGCAAGAAGAAGUGAAUGUUCCUCUUAACUUGGACUGUGGUGAUGGAGGGAUUGGGCAGGAGAGUUUGUGCUGGCUCACUGAUGAGAGUCUUGAAGUUGUAUACUACCUUGGUACCCACUCUUCCUUGGAGGAAGCCAAUCUUACACAAAUGUGCUUCAUUAAUUAGAUCAAACUUUGCCUUGUUCUCCUUGAAUCUGUACCCCUUGGCUUUCAAAAUCUUUGUUACCACCCAUCCAUGGGCCAGCUUUGCAUCUUGCUUUGUAGAACCCCAAAUGCACUUUUUUUAGAACAUCAAAGACCUUGCUAAUUGAGAGGCAAGGCAAAGUGGGUAUUCAUACUGUUCAUAGGGUUCCCCAUCUUCAUGAGUUGGCAUCAGCUGUUUCAGCCCCACACCAAGAAGCAUCAGAUCGCCUUUGUGAACUCUUCCAUCAUCGAUUUUGAAGUAGAAGCUGUGAGAGAGAAUCUUGUGAACAUAUCUCAGCACUGGAUUCCUUAUCCAAGAGGACUUAGCUGUUCCAGCUAUGUACUUCCCAGAAGCAAUUGAUCUCCAUAGAAGUUGGACCUCAUCUUUUCUGAGAUUGACCUGGUUGGAGAGAAGUUCAUUUCUAGGUGUUAACAACCCAAAAAUCUCAUUCAAUUCUCUGAAUGACACUGAAUAAUCCUUCCCUUUCAUAGUAAACUCCAAAUGUCCAAGCCCAUCUCCUUGAAUAAUUCUUGAAUCCCUUGGGUAGUAAAUGAAAGCUUCAAAAGAAGCCAAGAACUCCUGAGAUUCCUCUUCAUAAGCGAUCUCUCUCAUCUCCAAAAGUGACUCAACACCCAUGUUCCCAAGCAAGGUUUUGACAUCUUCAUAGAUGCCAAUAUUCUUCAAAAAGUCCACAUCAGGGAACCUCCCUUGCUGGAUCUCUAUCUGUUGAAACUUCGCCAGAUAAUCAAGUGUUUCUGGUUCAGUUUUCUUGAACCUUUUUGAUCCCUCUUCAAUGGUGCCUUGUGAACCACCAGCUGAGCUGCUUGAGUCACUUUCAGUCUGUUCACUCUCAGAUACGACAGCCAACUGUUUCCCCUUCUUCUUGGAACCAGAAGCAACCACCAAAGAUUUUCCUUCAUGCCUUGUCCUUUUUGGCGCUGGAUCACACUUCCCUUGCUUUGUGGUAUUCUUUGCUCCUUGACCUUUUUCUCUUGGCUGUGAAGACCCUGAGACCAAACCUUUGCCCUUUGAUGCAGUGCUCUUCUUCUUGGCCAGAGAGUUGGUUCUUUCAGUCAUCUGCCAAGACAUUCUCAAAAACAAUGUUAGUACAAGAACAAGCUUCACAAAAUUCUCCAAAAUUUUGAAAAAAAAAAAUUGUUGCAAGAAUCGAUUUUAAAACCACAUGAACAGGUUUCUCAAGCCAAGCAUCAAUCCAAUAAGUUCAUAGCAAUGCAAAAACAAGAGUGCAAAGCAAGGACUCAGCAAUGAAAAUAGAUCUUUUUAAAAAAAAAAAAAAAAUCGAUUUUUCUCAUGAAUUUCUUACAACAAUUUUCAAAACUCAAGAACAAGGAAUCACCAACAGCUGUUUUCUAAGACUAUCUAGCACCCUAGCAUUUAUAAAAAUAAUCCCAAGGUCUAAAACAAUCUAUCAAAAUCGAUUCCACACCUUGAAGUUCAAAAAUCACCAUUGAAGAACAUGGAAAAAGGUGAAUUUUAACUGAAUGAAAUACCUUGGGAUUAAGAUGCAACGAGCUCGAAAUGCAAUCAAGAUGAUGUUAAAAACUCAAAAACGAGUUCAGAGCACUUUGAAUCAACAAAUUUGGUGGAGAAAUGAGAGAGAUAUGAUGAAAACAAUGGAGAGAAAUGAGAGAAAGAGUUGCAAACUCGGGUUUUUGGUGAGGAAGAGAGAGUGUGGGACAGGUUAAAGACUUUGGACUGGUGGUCAAUAGAUCUAUUUUGACCAGUCAAGGCUUUGACCUGUCCUUUUCUCGUUGACCAGCCUCCUUUCUCUCCUUUGUGCGACCGGGAACCGUCGGGAUCGGGCCGCAUGACGGUCUCGGUGUAGAACCGGAAAUGUUUUUGUGCUACCUGGGAUCUUCUGUGCCUCCCCCGCAUGACCAAGUCGCAGUAAAAGUCCUUCAGCUCGGUUUUAUCUUUCCUCAUUGCUGCUGCCUGGAACCCUUGCUUUCCAGCUAGCACGCCCAACUCGGAGUAAUUUGCGAACAUGUGUGCGGGUUAGACUCCUUUGUUCCCAGGUAGCAUGACUAUCUCGCAGGGUUUGGGACUUAAAAACCUCGGGGUUCCUCUUCUGGUGCGGCCUGGCCUCCAUACUUCCCAGGUAGCACGCCCAACUCGGAGUAAUUUGCGAGUCUUCAUGCGGGUUAGCUUCUUUGUUCCCAGGUAGCAUGACUAGGUCACAGGUUUUUGGACUUAAACAAUUUGGCCUUUCUUUUCCUGCUGCGACCUGGUCUUCAUGCUUCCCAGCUAGCACGCCCAACUUGGAGUAAAAUGCGAUCAUACGUGCGGCCUAGCUUCUUUGUUCCCAGGUAGCAUGACUAGGUCGCAGGUAUUUGGACUUAAGAUGUCUCGGCCAUUCCUCUUUUGCUGCGACCUAGUCUCCUUGCUCCCAGCCAGCACGCCCACCUCGCACACCUUCACACUUAGGCGUUUGGCUCUUCUUGAUUUCGUGCAGCCUGGUCUCUAUGAUUCCCAGCUAGCACGCCCAACCCGGAGUGAUUUGCGAAUGGAUGUGCGGUUUAACUUCUCUUGUUUCCAGGCCGCAGCAACUACUCGCAGGUUUUUGCACUUAAACACCUCGGCCAUCCUUCUUUUGCUGCAACUUGGUCUUCAUUCUUCCCAGGUAGCACACCCAAUUCGGAGUAAAUUGCGAUCAUGUGUGCUACCUAACUCCUUUGUUCCCAGGCCACAGCUCCUACAUCGCAGAUCUUUGGACUAAAGAUACCUUGGACCUUUUCUUUUUGGUGCGGCCUGGUUUCUCUUUUCCCAGCCAGCACGCCUAACCCGGAGUGAUUUGCGAAUGGAUGUGCGGCCUAGCUUCCUCUCUUCUUACCCGCAGCACCAGCUAGCACAACCUCGGACUUAGACGUUUUGGACUUCUUCUUUUUGGUGCGGCCUGGUUUCUCUUUUCCCAGGUAGCACGCCCAGGCCGGAGUAAAUUGCGAGUCCUGCUGCGACCUGGGCUCUUCUUGCACCAAGCCGCACACCUAGGUAGCACUGAGGCGUUCUCCAAGUUUUUCAGGCCCUAAAUACUUCUCUCAGCCCUCUCACAUGCUCCAUUCCAUUCAUCACUGAGCUAUGUUCUCCAAAAAUCACCUAGAACCUGAGACCAACUCACAAAACCCAUCAAAAAGUUCUAAAACAUAAAAGAAAAGAGAAGAAAUCAAAAGAACUAUGUACAAAGAUAAGCUUGGGGUGUCUCCCAAGAGCACUUUGUUUAAAGUCUCUAAGUUUGACUAUGGAAACCUGUUUAGCAGGCUGGAGGUGGGUCAAGAAGGGGAACUGAUGUAGCUUCCUCCUUCCCUUGUGAAACUAAGUAAUGCUUGAUUCUUUGUCCGUUUACCACAAAUUCUUGACCAUUCUUCCCUUCUAAGACAAUAGCACCAUAUGGUCUCACUUCAAGAACUUUAAAAGGUCCAGACCAUCUAGACUUAAGUUUUCCUAGAAACAACUUAAGUCUAGAGUUGAACAGCAACACCAAAUCACCAUCCUUGAACUCCCUUUUCAGAAUCUUUUGGUCAUGCAGAACCUUGGUCUUCUCCUUAUAGAUCUUUGAGCUCUCAAAAGCCCCAAGCCUUAUCUCUUCAAGUUCAUGGAGUUGAAUGACCCUUUUCUCUUGAGCUGUCUUGAUAUCAAAGAUCAGCAACUUCACAGCCCACAAAGCCUUGUACUCUAACUCAACAGGAAGGUGGCAGCUCUUCCCAUAUAGCAGAUUGAAAGGUGAUGUCCCAAUAGGAGUUUUAAAGGCAGUCCUAUAAGCCCACAAUGCAUCAUCUAGCCUUUUGCUCCAAUCUUUUCUGCUUGAGCUCACAGUCCUCUCAAGAAUGGCCUUGAUCUGUCUAUUAGAUACUUCAACCUGGCCACUAGUUUGAGGAUGAUAAGGAGUAGCUACCUUGUGUUUCACUCCAUGCUUUCUCAGUAAACCCUCCAAAGUCUUGUUCACAAAAUGAGAUCCUCCAUCAGAGAUAACAACCCUUGGAACUCCAAAUCUUGGGAAGAUAAUGCUCUUGAACAGCUUCACUACAACCUUGGAAUCAUUGGUAGGGGAAGCAAUGGCCUCAACCCAUUUGGACACAUAGUCCACAUCAACAAGUAUAUACUGAUUCCCAUAGGAUGAAAUGAAAGGCCCCAUAAAGUCAAUCCCCCAGCAAUCAAAGAUCUCAACUUCUAGAAUUGGGUUUUAAGGCAUCUCACUCCUCUUUGAUAUGCUCCCAUGCCUCUGACAAGCAUCACAUGCUGAACCACUAACUGAGCAUCUUUGAACAUUGUGGGCCACCAAAACCCACUCUGAAGAACCUUUGCCACAGUCUUGAAUGCUCCCAUGUGACCCCCAAAAGCUGAACUAUGACACUCUUGCAACACAGGCUGCAUCUCCUCCUCAGCAAGACACCUUCUAUACAGCUGAUCUUUGUUCAGGACAUAGAGGUAGGGCUCAUCCCAAUGGUAUCUUUGAACUUCUCUGAAGAAUUUCUUCCUGUGGUAAGCAUCUAAUUCAGGUGGUUCCACUCCACAAGCAAGAUAGUUCACAAUGUCUGCAAACCAAGGCAUCCUCCUCUCUUGAAUGCUGUCCACUUCUUCAAACUCCAAAUAAGAAUGGAGCACCAUCAGUGAUUCCUCAGGAAGACUGUCAUUAAGAGGCAAUUCAGAGUCUAUUCUCAACCUAGAGAGAUGGUCUGCAGCUCCAUUCUCUAUACCCUUUUUGUCAUGUACUUCCAUAUCAAAAUCCUGAAGUAGAAGAACCCAUCUCAAUAGUCUUGGCUUAGCAUCUUUCUUGGUCAUCAGAUACCUGAGGGCUGCAUGAUCAGUAUAUACAAUUACUUUUGAUCCCACCAGGUAACUUCUGAAUUUAUCGAAGGCAAAGACUAUUGCCAACAUUUCCUUCUCAGUAGUAGCAUACUUCUCUUGUGCAGGGCCAAGUGUUCUACUAGCAUAGUAAAUGACAUGAAGCUUCUUAUCUUUCUUCUGGCCAAAUACAGCUCCAACUGCAAAAUCAGAUGCAUCAGUCAUAACCUCAAAAGGUAGGGACCAGUCUGGGGCUUGGACAAUUGGUGCACUGACUAAUGCAUCCUUGAUCAUCUUGAAGGCCUCUUCACAUUCAGCAUCAAAGAUGAAAUCCACUUCUUUACAAAACAGCCUUGUCAAGGGCCUGGCAAUUCUUGAGAAGUCUUUGAUAAAUCUUCUGUAAAACCCUGCAUGCCCAAGGAAACUCCUUAUCCCUUUAACUGAAGUGGGAGUUUGCAGAUUCACCAUCACUUCCACCUUUGCUCUGUCAACCUCAAUACCCUUCUCAGAUAUCUUGUGCCCAAGAACUAUUCCUUCCCGCACCAUGAAGUAGUAUUUCUCCCAGUUUAACACCAAGUUAUCCUGCUCAAAUCUCUCCAAGACCUGUUACAAAUUAGAGAGAAAAUCCGAGAAGGAGGAGCCAUAGACACUAAAGUCAUCCAUGCACACCUCCACCUUCUCUUCAAUAAUGUCAGAGAAUAUAUGCAUCAUGCAACGUUGAAAUGUGGCAGGGGCAUUACAGAGACCAAAAGGCAUUCGCCUGUAUGCAAAGGUGCCAUAAGGGCAUGUGAAUGUUGUUUUCUCUUGAUCUCGGGGAUCUAUGGGAAUUUGGAAGAACCCCGAGUACCCAUCGAGAAAACAAAAGAAGGGGUGUUUUGCAACGCCUCUCUAACAUCUGAUCAAUGAAAUGUAAGAAACUAUCCUUCCUNNNNNNNNNNNNNNNNNNNNNNNNNNNNNNNNNNNNNNNNNNNNNNNNNNNNNNNNNNNNNNNNNNNNNNNNNNNNNNNNNNNNNNNNNNNNNNNNNNNNNNNNNNNNNNNNNNNNNNNNNNNNNNNNNNNNNNNNNNNNNNNNNNNNNNNNNNNNNNNNNNNNNNNNNNNNNNNNNNNNNNNNNNNNNNNNNNNNNNNNNNNNNNNNNNNNNNUCGUAGUAGUUAAGUGUAUCCUAUGGCUCUCCUGAACUUUCUUAUCUCACUAAGCAAUGCACUCUCUUGAUCCUCUAAUAGGCUAUCAUUGAUGAUUACUGGAUAUGUUGAGUUUAAGCCCAAGAAGGCAUACAUGAGCCCUGUUGGUAGAGGCUUGAGCUCAACAGGGGGUGCAUCAGCCUCAUUCCAAUCCUGGUCCAAGCUGCUUUGGCUGGUGUCUGAUCCUUUGAUAGCAAAAACCUCAGAGCCACUUUGUUCCAGCUCCAAAAACCUUGUCUCAGGACCCAGCUCUCUAGCAUUGUCCAAAUACAACUUGUACCCUUCACUUGCUUCAGCUAAGAGCCCAUUGUCUCCUUGUUCUUGAGUUAGAGCAGCUUGAAGAGGAUCCUCAGUGUUCAGCUCCUCUAGCAACUCAUCAGCCAACUGAUCCAUUGUCUCCACAUAGAAACAUUGACCUUCAAUGGUGGGUUUCUUCAUCAUCUCAUUCACGUCAAACUUGAGCUUUUCAGACCCAAGUUGAAGCUCUAUUAUCCCACCUCUCACAUCAAUUUUGGCUCCUGCAGUUGCUAAGAAUGGCCUGCCCAAGAUAAGAGGAUCUACUGGUUCUUCAUCCAUCUCCAGCACAACAAAAUCAGUUGGAACCUCAAAACCACCUAUCUUGACAGGUAGAUCUUCCAACAUACCAACAGGCAAUCUAACUGAUCUAUCUGCAAGGAUAAGAGAAAUCCUUGCAGGCUUGAAGACUCUAAAGCCCAGCUUCUUUGCUAUGGAGAAUGGCAUCAAGCUGACUGAUGCUCCUAGAUCACAAAGACAUCCAGAGAAUAGAAGAGGUCCAAUGGCACAAGGGAGUGUGAAACUCCCUGGAUCAGUUAACUUUCUUGGUAUGGACUUCUUCUGAAUGAUAGCACUGCAUUCAUGACUUAGUACCACCAUGCCUUGAAGUUUUUUUGUCUUGUUCAGAAUGGCAUCCUUCAGGAACUUGCCCAUCUAUGGCAUCAUUAAGAAUGCAUCAAUAAGAGGCAUAGUGAGUGGUGUCUCAUUGAGUGCCUUCUCAAAUACAGCUUUUGCCUUGUCCACAAGCUGCUUCUUAAAUCUCCCUGGAAAUGGGAGCUUGGGUUGGUAUGGAGGUGGUGGCACAUAUACCUUUUCUGGUUCAGGUUCCUUUGCUACCUUUUUACUCUUUUGGACAGGUUUCUCAGCAACCUGAUCAUCUUUUAAGGCUGCCUCCCCCUCAGUUUGAUCAUUGUCCUCAAUGAUCACAUUGUUGUUCUCAAUACCAGGUAACUCCUUUCCACUCCUCAGUGUAAUGGCCUUAGCAUAUUCCUUGGGGUUGGGUUCUCCGGUCUGAUUCAGUUGUCGGGUGCUUCAUCGCAGUUGGAGAAGAUUGGAUCACGGUUCCAUAGCAAGUUGAAUCAUGGAAUUCCGACGCAUGAGCAGAAAGUUAAGCUCGUCGGAAGGAACCCCUGUCUCGCUGCUGUUCUGGACCAAGCCGAUGAGCUCUGAAGAAUGCGAAGUACGGUGCACUUUCAGGCCGAUUCAGUUUCCGGGGCCUUCAUGAGAAUCAGAGACAUUUGAGUCCGCUUUCCAGAACGUCCAAGAUCAUUCAAUUCGGAGCUAUGAGCAGGAAGAUACGGUCUCCGGAAUGGACACAUGUCUAGACGCCUCUCUCUGAUCGUGUAAAUGCACUGCAAAGAUGAGCCCUCCAGGAAGCCUUCCACUUCCCAAGCACCAAAGCUUCCUUCACCAAAGUUGGAGAUAUAUGAGUCCUCUGUCCUCUGCCCUCUGCUACCGGAAUCACUCAAUUCAGACAAGUAUCUUAGAAGUUACACUCUCCGGAAUGCGAAGUGGUCCAAGCUGCUCUGAAUGCUGCGAGAAAGCCUUGCGACUUGGUUAACUCGCAGGCCUGAAGACGAAUGCCUGGAAAUUGAUGCUCCAAGUUGAGAAGAGCGGGUAAGCUAUCAAUGGAUGAGGUCUGAGGCUCCCGAGAAAGAAAAUUGCUAAGUCCACAAUCGUGCGACUUAGGCAUGCUAGUUGGCCGCGCCUGGAACCAAGCCGCACGAUCACUCGCAAUCUACUCCGACUUGAGCCUGCGACCUGAGUGUAGUGGAGACCAACCCGCACGGUUUGUACAUUCCCCAGAAACCGCCUUGGUCCUGCGAGUUGAAGAAGAAGAAGAUUAAGCCGCAGCAAGACUCGCAAAUGGUGGUUGAAACUGUUGUUGAACAGGCGCUUGCUGUUGGAACUGUGGAGGACCAAACCCUGGUGGUGCCUUUUGCUGCUGUGUACUGAAACUAGGACCUUGAAAAGGUUGUUGUUGCUGACCAAAACCUUGAUUCUGAGCAAACUGAUUCUUUGGUUGAAAAGAUCCUUGAAAGUUGUUCUUGGGAACAAAGUUCUGUGGAGCUUGAGAAUUGGGAUACACCUGGUCUUGUGGGUUAGCUACAUUGGUGUUCCUGUAAGAAAGGUUUGGAUUGGCAUUACCAUACUGAUAUCUCUGGAACCUCUGAUUCCCAAUGUAGUUUAGCUCCUCCUGGGUAAGACCUUCUUCACUUAUGUUCUCAAAGAUUUGAGAAGGUUCCUCAUACUCUCCAACAAAAUGCAUUGGCUUCUGAGUGGUGGAAAGGGUGGGGUUGGUGGUGCACCUGUUGUCUUUGCUGUACAUUGGCCUGAUGCCUCUGUUGAUGAGCUUGAGCUUGUCCCUGGUGGACAUAAGCUUGUUGGUGCACCUGUUCCUGAUGAACAUUACCCUGAUUUAACCCUUGACCAGCUCCAUUACCAGCUCCAUUACCCUGAGCCUGUUGCUCCUGAACCGGUUGUUCUAUAUCCACUACGUGCUCUCUUUGUUCUUCCAUAUCAGCCUGAUCAAUCUGUCUUCCACGUCUGUCCCUUCUCCUCCUUGGUACCAAAAGAUUGAUGUUGUCGUUGAGAGGGAAAGGUGGACCACAGCUUCUUGAUCUAGACCUGGUGUUCAUACCCGGACAGGCGAUUUCAGAAACGUGUCUGCACCCGGAGAUUUUGGCUGAGGGAUUCAAUAGCCGGUACGCGUUUUGGCCGAUAAAGUCUACCCGCGGUACGCGUUUUGGCCGAGAAAAACCUUCCUGGUGCGCGAGAAUGGCCGAUAACCUCCAAAGAACCAAUUUCACCAUUUUUCAAGCCUUGAUCAUCAUUCCACCUCCUGGAUUCAUCUUUUCAGCUCCAAAUACACCUGAUAAGUACUCAAAACAUGCAAAGACUCAUUGGGACCUAAUGAAUCUUCUAAAUUCUAAAACAAACCCUAAGGACCUAAAAUGCAUGGAAUAAAACAUGAUUUGGAAUGAAUUAUGCAACCUAAAUGAUGCAAAUUAUGAACAUGGAGACGAAGAACUCGCUUUUUUCUUAGUUCAAUUGGUUUUGUGAAUUUCAUAAACUUAUUUGGUAAGCAUAUACGUCUUUAAUUUUGGAUAGUAUUUAUUUUUUCGAUUUUAUUUUAUUUUAUUAUGUAUGUCUUAAAUAGUUGUUUUAAGUAAAAAUUACUCAAACUAACCUUUAAGGUGACCUAAAUGACAAACCUAACCUAACAUAUUUUGAGUCUUACUAGAUUAACCUUACAAAGUUGGUCUAAUACCAUUUUAUCCAGAUGUUGAAUAUUAUUACGAAAAUGCCAUAUUGAUUUUUUUUUUUUUAAAAAAUUCGAUUUGUUUUUUAUUUUAUUUUUCUGAAAAAAAUAUUAAAAAAGUAGAUACAAAAAACAAAAAAACAAACCUAAUAUUAAAAAAAAUUAUCUCUCUCAUCUUCUCUCUCAUCUUCUCUCUCGCUUCUCUCUCGUUUCUCUCUAACCUAGAUCUUUUUUUUUCUGCUGCAUUUCUUGAUUCCGGCAGUUAGCGGCGGUGGACCACUCCUUUCUUGCCUCCGUCGAUCACAAGAAUCGUCCGAUGGCACCAGUGCACCUCUCACUUCCCUUUAGAUGGCAAUUUUGUCCUUAUCUUUGAGCAUUGUGCUUCCCUUGAGUCUCUAGAUCCUUCCGCCUUCUACCACUAGACCGAAGACCUUCCUCUAGUUCUCCUCCAUUACUAUGAAGUCGCAGCAAGGCUCAAUCGCUUGGAUCCCUUGACAGUGUCCUUCACCAAGGGUUACAAAUCGAGUGACGACACAGCUGUGAGACCACAACUCUUAAGCGGCAUUCUCGCCGCAUCGCACACAACCGCAGUGGAUAGACGUUGUUUCAGUGGAAUGGUGGUUUUGAGGAGGUUGUCGGCGGCGUAAUUUUUUUUGUAAAACCCGUAACCCUAAUUUUUGUUUUGUUUCAGGUAAGUUUGAUAAAUAUAUUUGAAAAAACGAUAUUGUAUUUUUUAGUUGUAAAGUUCAUAACGUGUGAUGGUAGAUUUAUUUGAAAAACGGUAUGUAGUUUGGUAGAUUAUUAGUUAUUUGAUGGUAGAUAUAUUUACAAAACGAUAUGUAGUUUGGUAUAUCUAUUAGUUAUUUGAUGGUAAAUUUAUUUAAAAAACAAUGUGGUUUGGUAUAUUUAUUAGUCAUCUGACGGUAGACUUAUUUGAAAAACAAUGUGAUUUGGUAGAUUUAUUAGUCAUUUGAUGGUAACUUAUUUGAAAAACGAUAUGUGGUUUGGUAGUUUUAUCAGUUAUUUGAUGGUAGAUUUAUCAGUUAUAUAUAUUUGAAUUUUAUAUUUGAAUGAUGGCAUUUGUUUGUUCUUCUCUGACAGGUUAUGGGAUUUGUGAUGGCGAACGAGUCUCUGAUGGGUUAUGUUCUACUAUGAAUAUUAGAUUUGCAUUUGGUAGAUUUGUUUUGAAAUGAUGGUAGAUUUAUUAUUGAAUUGAUGGUAUAUCUAUAUUUGAAUUUGUACAAAUGAUAAUUAGAUUUUAGAUGAUGAUAUCUUUGUUUUCAAAUUAUAUUUGGCGCAAAAGAUUGACUCAAACAUUUCAUCUUUUUACCACUUUUCUUUACUUUCACUAUGGUUUAUAUCCUAAGUUAAUGAAAUUUUAAACAAAACACAUGAUUAAAGUCAUUUCACAUUGUGAUGUUCAAAAGUUUAUGUAAAUAUAAUUAAAUAUAACAAAAUAUUCACAAAUAAAAAUUAAAAGAUCAUAAGUUAAGAGAUAGUCAUUACAGACAAAAACGAUAAGGACAUAAGAUAAAUGUUUAAGUGAACUAGUAGGACAUAUAUGUUCAAGGUUAAUAUGUGAUAACACCGUAUUUUGACCACUUUUAUGGAUCGUUUUGAAAUACUUUUUCUAUGUUUUUAAUUGCUUUUAAGUACUUUUAUCACGUUUUUCUAGUAUUUUUAGUUCCAAGACUCUUUUCAGGUAACUUAGGGAAAAACUUAACAAAAUGGAUAGAAAACCAGAUUUCAGCUCAAAGUCAAACCGUCAGAAGUUCACCCCUGAUUGAAGGCCUUCUCACCGUCUGUUCCAGCUCAAAUUUGGAGACCUUAAAGAUGGAAGUAUCAACUUUCCAGCACACUUUACAGCUUGACAAUCCAACGGUUCAAUCAAAAGAUACGCGAAGAGCAAGAUGUCCCGUAAACCAGCCAGCAAGCAACUCCACCCGUGGCCAAUAAGCCAUUUCCCGCGGUCAGAAGCAUCCCGACCGCGGCAAACCACUCAUUCCCCGCGGUCACAGCACUCCCAACCGCAGCAAGCCAACUCCGAGCCCAAAAGCCCAUUUUUGAAGCCCACAAUGAUUCCCUCAUUUGGAGAAACCCUAAGUGACGUCCAGAGCACUAUAAAUACAUGUUUUAGGAACCCUAAUCGAAAAAAAAAGAGACCACCGAAUUUUUACUUCAUAGUUUUAUUGUUUUUGCUUUAGCUUUUAGGGAGAGAGAGAUUUGUUCUCUUGAACCCUUGUUCUUUCUUUUUUAAUUUCGGUUUCUAUUCUACUUAUUAAUACUAUGUUUUUGAUUUCGUUCAUUAUGUCUGAGUAGUUUUAUUGUUGGGAUUAAGGGAUUUUAGAUGGGGAUUUAUAUGUUCGAUGAGGAUUCCAUGAGCUUUUGAGCCGAAUCUUAGAACUUAUUCUUCUGAAUUCGUUUUUACUGCAUGAGAGUAGCGUCAUGAACUACAAUCUGAUCCAGAUGCUUUGUGACACGAAAGUGUUCAUCAGGUAUCAGAUCUAGUUUGGGAGAGCAAAACAAACAUAGGAGUGGAAACCUACCUAUGGGCGAUUUGUCAAUGCUGACGAGUCUUAAACAUAAUGCAUCUCUUCUUUUCCAGGGCCAUAGUGGAAACCUACUGGUCAGGGUUGAGAGAGAUAGUUGUCUAUGAUCACGACAGUGGCGUAUUCAUAUGUCCGUGACUCCAGUUCGAAAAGUUUAAGCUAAGAUCUUAGCAAUUUUACUCUCUAGCAAUGUUUUGAAUCGUUCGUACCCCUGAGAAAACUUCCCUGAACCCCAACGCCUUCUUUCCUAUUGAUUUACACCGUUUUUAUUUCAAGCUUUAGUUCAAUAUUGUCUUUCCUUUUUAGUAGAUUUUCAUUUAAGCAAUUAGAAUAUCCGUUUUUCUCAUUUUUAUUCAUUUUCGUUAAGUUUAGUUAUUAGGUCAUUUAAUUCCCGUAUUUUCUUUUAAGAUUUCGUUUUUACAUUUUAAACACACCACCAAACCCCCACAAAACCGUUUUGGUUCUAGACUUCCUUACUUUAUACUUAUUUCAAAGGCUUUUUGCAGGAAAAGAUCCUCUUUCCCCGUGGAUUCGAUCCCAAAGUACUACAAUCGAUCAGCUGUGCACUUGCGGCUAUUGAUUUCAUUUAGGUUAAAACUUGACAACCCUCACGACAACACCACAUCAAGUUUUUGGCGCUGUUGCCGGGGAAAGCACGCGUUUUCUUUUCUGCAACCCCGAGAAAGGUUGGUAAAUCGACUCUAAAACCCCUUUUUCUGCAAUUUUCCAUUUUUCGGUUUUUUUGUUUCCAUUUCAGAAGAUAUGGAUCCUAUAAAUCGAAAUAUACACUAUGAGGAAGGUUUAUAUAACACUCCUCAAGCCACCAGACACAGAACGUUCCAGAAGGAGCCCUGCGCAUCUCCAAUGGCCAACCCUGAACAACCCGCUCGUCGUUUGCCUCACCAAGAUGAAAACGUCCAACUCAUUCACUGAUUGAAAACACUAGAAGUGGCGGUCUUGCACCUACUCGACGUUCAAGCGAGAUCUAGAUCCACAAUCCACGAGAAAAUUGACGACUUGUCAAUGCGCUUUAACAGAAAGCUUGAAGAUCUUUCAGCUCAAGUCAAGACCAUCGAAACUCAACUAAACAAGGGUGCUGAAACCAUUAAGGAGAGGAUAGAAGCAAUCGAAGGACGAGUUGGAGAAAACGAAGUUCGCAUUCGCAAAGCCAGUGGGAACAUCCGCACCUUAGAGAUCAAACUUGAUGAAGCAGAAGAGACUAUUAACGACCAUAACAACCAAACCUAUUCCUACAUGGAAGAGAUUUAGGAUGGAGUACACAAGGUUCAAGACAAAACAGAGGAAAUAGACUCAACCGUGGACAAAGUAGUCUAUGCCCUCGAUGAAAUCGAAGAGAAGGUUGAAAAGCUUAUGCAAGGAUGUGAAACAAACGGUUCGACGCUUCUCAUCGAAGAUCUUACCUUAAAAAAGGAGGAAACGGAGCUAGAAUGUGCAGAAAUCAGUUUAGAUGGCAAAAGAGCAGACGAAACAAAGGAAACAACUCGGAGCCUUCUUCUCGCGGUCAGAACUCUCGUGACCGCGGCCAACAAGCCUCCAGCCGCGGUCGUGAGCCUCCUGACCGCGGCAAAACCCUCCCCACCCGCGGUCGUGAAACCUCUACCCGCUGCAAAUGCUCCGUCAGAUACCUUUCAGCCCUUUUCCACUCCUACAGGUCAAUGCUUAUUUGAUACAUCUGCUAGGAUGGUCAAAGCCCCUCUACAUGAGCAAACGGUGUAUGCUAUCAGCUCCAAAACAUCUCAAGAAGAAAAUGAGGUACUCCCUUGCAACAUAGUUUUAGCAUAUGAGGAUGAAUAUGAAGGGCACUACCUCGAAGAUGAAGACUAUCGUCUGUUCAUAGAAGGAGGGAAUCCAGACAAAAUGGUGGAAUUAGGAGCACCAAUCUCCAGAGAAAGGCUCAUUGAAUUCAACAAGUUUGUGAAAUCGAUCCCUCUUUACACAGGUUUCGAUGAUAUAUGGCAUCUUGGUUGUUUGCAAGUUUUCUUUAGGUACAGCAAGGAGACAAAGGAGGAUAUCAGAACCUAUUUUGGGAGGGCUAGACGUCUGACUUUUCCCAGAACAUCACCUGAUGCUGCAAUCUAUUCAAUUCACCUCAAAAAGCCGGAAGACUGCAGCCACUACACCAACAAAAUCAGCAAGGAAAAGCUCGAUGAAUUCAAUGAUGUGGUUCGAAAUUUGCCUGAAGAAAUCACGUUUGCCAGAGCUUGCAAGGACUUUAUGAUAGGCCACUACUUCUGUGAGAGCAAAGAAUCAAUCCCUGAGAUAGAAGACUUGUUCAAUCAUGCCAGAAGAGGUAAACCUGUUCGAACACUUCAUAAAAUAGAAGGUGUAGGUCAGUUUCUUAUCUCUUGUUCUAUUAGAGGAGAAAUGUUUAAAAACGUGCUAUGUGAUUCUGGAGCUUGUGUUAACAUGAUGUCCAAGGCAAUUGAUUUGAGACUUGGUAUUAAACACCUGCGCAGGACUAGAGCAAAGAUUAGUCUAGCUGAUGAUUCCAAUGCAACACCUCAAGGAAUAGCUCAUGAAAUUCCUUUGAGAAUAGGAGAUUACAUAGUGCCUGUCGACUUCUACAUUGUCGAAACGAGAGAUGCAACAUAUCCAGUGAUUCUCGGAUGGUCUUUUCUAGCAACUUUCGGAGCUAUAAUGGACUGGCCAAACCGGAGGAUUUCAUUUGCUAAUAUCGACAAAGAUGUCUUCACAGAAGCUGUUCCAUACAACAGCAAAGCAGGAAAACGUUCUGCAACAGAAGAGUUUGAAGAAGAACUUUGGAGUGACGAAGAACCUGCUAGGCAAAGCAAGGAGAUGUCGAAAAAGACUUGUCUCAGGACAAGGUCUUCUUCAUUGGAAUAAGUCACGUCCAACACCAAAAGUCGAGCUAAACGACUUAAAACAGAAGCGCUUAAUGGGAGGCAACCCAUUUAGGUAUUGUUUUCUUUAGGAUUUUUCUUUCUUUUUCUUUUGAUCUUUUUCUUUUUCUUAAUUUCAGGUGUUUCUUAUAAAACAAAAAAACCAAAAAAUCAAAAAACCCGAAAAAAACCAAAAAGAAGGAUGGUACCUGACUGCUCGGCCCAGCAGGAACCAAGGAGAAGCAGGAAGAGGCCGCGAAAUAAGCCUCCGCGGUCGCAGACGUUCUGACCGCGGGAAACUACUCAUCGACCGCGGUCGCGUGAUCCUGACCGCGGCCAAACACUUGGUUGCCGCGGUCGCGCGACCCCUGUCCGCGGCACUUGGUCGUUGACAUCAAACCCAACCCCAAACCACCCACUUCACCCCAUUCCACCUCACCAAUCACCCUCCACCUCAUUCAUCACCCUCCACCACCUUCAUCACCCCCUAAUCACCUUCCCAAACCUCUUCGAAUGAAUCCGGUUCAUCUCCACCAGCAUCCCGGAUCCAGGUAAGUUCUCUUUGUCCUUACCAAUUCGAUUAUCUAUGCAUUUUUCUCAUCCAAUCUCGACUUGUUUCACACUGAGGACAGUGUGAUUUAAGUCUGGGGGAGGAUUUCAUCCUUUUCUAACCACUUUUCUUUCAUGAGUCUUGCAUUAUCUACACUUUUUGCAUUUUCCUUAAAGUUUUUCAAAAUCGGUUUUCAAAACAAAAUACGUUUUAAAGGGAAUGGUGAACAUAAAUCAAUGAUAGUUGACUGUGUGCUUUAGACUAUUCCUAGUGACAUGCUCAUUCAUGAUUUAGGACUAGACUAGGCGGUAGCUAAGCACAUUUGAAACGAAGUACCCCAGAGGAAUUUGAAUGAUUUCGAUUUAGAUGAAGGGAUACACUAGCUCUGUUUUAUUUGGACUUAAUUUGGACUCAAUUUUCUCAUUGAAGCUUUAGACCAGGGAAACGAAUCAUACAUUCAGGACUCCUUUAUCCUUUUACCACUCUCAGUUGAUCCUGAAUGGCUAGUUCAUCUUUAGCUAGUUCCCCACCUUAACCAAUCCUCUUUCAAACCACAUGCACUCUUGUUUUCUAUUGUCUUACAUGCAGAUAAGUGCAAAAACGUUGGAGAGAAAGAGGAACGACGCAGUUUUCAGUCACCAAGGAUAGAGACCUGCGAUUUGCCGGAAAAGUUUCCGGAAGGAUCCAACACAAGAGGAAGCUCAGUUUGCCUUAGAAAAAUCUCAAAUUUUGGUACAAUCUCGUCCUCUAGUCUCUCUCUCUUUAAAAGGCAUUUCCUAUUCUAAAAAAAAAAAAAAAAAAAAUCCAAAAAUAAGAAAAGAAAGGAAAUAAAAGCCUUAGAGAGUCUAGAGAGCUCGAAUUUUAAGUCCCAAGGCAACUGGAGUUUGAUUUUAUGGAGUUUUGGAGAUCGUUUUCUGAUUCCUGGAAAGAAUCUAAGUCUGGGGGAACAGCUGUUUACAACAAAGGAGGAAGGAUUAUGCAACAACAUUUGGCAAGAAGAAGUGACUGAAAAACUGUGGUCAUCAACAGGUCCUUAUCUCUCUUGCGGUUUUGCAUAUUAUCUUGCAUCCUCCAGAUCUUCAGGUAACCCGAAACACUUUAACUCCACCACUUAAACAGUCCUUUAAUGCCAAACGCCGUCUACCCUGGAUAAUGUCUUUAAUGAGAAAUCACUAUUGAACUUAAUGAAUGUAGAGAGCUAGUUGACUGGAAUCAAGAUUUAGAUUUUUUAAGUUUUGCAUGACGGAAAAAGUGGACUAGUAUCUUUUGUGUCUUGGUGAGAAUUUUCUAGACUAAGUUGUGGAUUGAUGCACUAUCUUUGGUUCUAGUUUAGGAGUUAAUGUCUCUGAGAAUUGUGAAUUUCCUAUUUUUGUUUUCACCUAACCAGUUUAGACUUUUGCUUUGCUUGAGGACAAACAAAGGUUUAAGUCUGGGGGAGUUGAUAACACCGUAUUUUGACCACUUUUAUGGAUCGUUUUGAAAUACUUUUUCUAUGUUUUUAAUUGCUUUUAAGUACUUUUAUCACGUUUUUCUAGUAUUUUUAGUUCCAAGACUCUUUUCAGGUAACUUAGGGAAAAACUUAACAAAAUGGAAAGAAAACCAGAUUUCAGCUCAGAGUCAAACCGUCAGAAGUUCACCCCUAAUUGAAGGCCUUCUCACCGUCUGAUCCAGCUCAAAUUUGGAGACCUUAAAGAUGGAAGUAUCAGCUUUCCAGCACACUUUACAGCUUAGCAAUCUAACCGUUCAAUCAAAAGAUACGCGAAGAGCAAAAUGUCCUGUAAACCAGCCGGCAAGCAACUCCACCUGCGGCCAACAGGCCAUUUCCCGCGGUCAGAAGCAUCCCGACUGCGGCAAACCACUCAUUCCCCGCGGUCACAGCACUCCCGACCGCGGCAAGCCAACUCCGAGCCCAAAAGCCCAUUUCUGAAGCCCACAAUGAUUUCCUCAUUUGGAGAAACCCUAAGUGACGUCCAGAGCACUAUAAAUACAUGUUUUAGGAACCCUACUCGAAAAAAUAGAGACUACCGAAUUUUUACUUCAUACUUUUAUUGUUUUUGCUUUAGCUUUUGGGAGAGAGAGAUUUGUUCUCUUACCCUUGUUCUUUCUUUUUCAAUUUCGGUUUCUAUUCUACUUAUUAAUACUAUGUUUUUGAUUUCGUUCAUUAUGUAUGAGUAGUUCAAUUGUUAGGAUUAAGGGAUUUUCGAUGGGGAUUUAUAUGUUCGAUGAGGAUUCCAUGAGCUUUUGAGCCGAAUCUUAGAACUUUUUCUUCUGAAUUCGUUUUUACUGCAUGAGAGUAGCGUCAUGAACUACAAUCUGAUCCAGAUGCUUGGUGACACAAAAGUGUUCAUCAGGUAUCAGAUCUAGUUUGGGAGAGCAAAACAAACAUAGGAGUGGAAACCUACCUAUGGGCGAUUUGUCAAUGCUGACGAGUCUUAAACAUAAUGCAUCUCUUCUUUUCCAGGGCCAGAGUGGAAACCUACUGGUCAGGGUUGAGAUAGUUGUCUAUGAUCACGACAGUGGCGUAUUCAUACGUCCGUGACUCCAGUUCGAAAAGUUUAAGCUAAGAUCUUAUCAAUUUUACUCUCUAGCAAUGUUUUGAAUCGUUCGUACCCCUGAGAAAACUUCCCUGAACCCCAACGCCUUCUUUCCUAUUGAUUUACACCGUUUUUAUUUCAAGCUUUAGUUCAAUAUUGUCUUUCCUUUUUAGUAGAUUUUCAUUUAAGCAUUUAGAAUAUCCGUUUUUCUCAUUUUUAUUCAUUUUCGUUAAGUUUAGUUAUUAAUUCAUUUAAUUCCCAUAUUUUCUUUUAAGAUUUCAUUUUUACAUUUUAAACACACCACCAAACCCCCACAAAACCGUUUUGGUUCUAGAUUUCCUUACUUUAUACUUAUUUCAAAGGCUUUUUGCAGGAAAAUAUCCUCCUUCCCUGUGGAUUCGAUCCCUAAGUACUACAAUCGAUCAGCUGUGCACUUGCGGCUAUUGAUUUCAUUUAGGGUAAAACUUGACAACCCUCAAGACAACACCACAUCAAGUUGUGAGAUAACACCGGAUUCUGACCAUUUUUAUGGAUCACUUUUAUAUCUUUUACAGGUGUUUUUACUCCAUUUUCAAAGGUUUUCAAAGGAUUUCUAUGUUUCCGGAUUUUAAAAGACUUUUCAGGUAAUUUGGGAUAAAGAGGCACAAAAUGGAACAAAAAGACUCUUUUGAAUAAAUGCAGAUCGUCAGAACUCUCAUGGAGAGACGAAGACCUUUUCACCGUCUGAUCACCCUCAAAAUUGGACAACUUAUAGGAGAAUCAACCAGCUUUCAAAUGUACUUGGUUUGGAGACAUUCCAACGGUUGGAUCUCAAGAUAUUCUAUUAGCCCCGGAGCCACUUGAAGUCGGCCAGCAAGUCACGCGACCGCGGUGAUCAACCUAUAUCCCGCGGUCAGAAGCUUCCCGACCGCGGCCAACCAGCCAAUCCCCGCGGUCACAACACUCCCGACCGCGGCAAUCAAUCUCCGAAUUAAAGCCCAUGUAUCUGAAGCCCAAAGUCAUUCUCAGCCUCAAUUCCGGAACCCUAGAGACCAUGGAGUAUUGGAGACUAUAAAUACAUGUCAUUUAGGUCGUUUUUAGGGAGAGCCAUUCAUACUUUACAGAAACCCUUUUUCUUUAGCCGUUUAUAUGAGAUUUUUGUAGAAGAUUGUUCAAGUCCGAGUUCUUCAAUAGAGAAGCUUUCUUUAUCUCUUUUCUUUACUGUUUUUCAUUACUUUUAUUAAAACCAAUGAUGAUGUCGACCUCAGCCAUGUCUGAGUAGAUCCCGAGUUGGGCUUAGGGUUCCCGGAAGGGGCUCUCAUAAUCGAUUAAGACAUCUAGGUUUAUAGAUCUGGGAUUUCGACCUGUUCUCUUUUUAUUCUUGUUCUUAUUGCAUGUAUGCUUGAUUGAUCACCUAGUAUCUGAUCUAGAUAGUUAGUGUUGCAAAAGUUUUCAUUAAGUAUCAGCCCUAAAAUGAAACAGGCGAUUUUUCCGUAGGACUGGAAACCUACCUGCGGCGAGAUCGUGAGUAUUGACGAGUCUUGUGCAGCUCUUGCGUUCUCUCCCUUCUAGGGCCAGAGUGGAAACCUACUGGUCAGGGUUGCGAGAAACAGUUGGUUAUGAUCACGACAGUGACGUAGUCAUACUGCCGUACUCUAGCUCUAGAACCCAUAUAUCGAUAUCCGUCAAUCCCAAUCUAUUUACCCUAGUGUUAAAACCGAUUAUGAUCCCUUAGAGUCCCUAAAAGCUCAGCGUUUUUAGCCAUAGUUUACAAUUCCAUCGAUUUUUAUUUGCUUAUUUAGGCCUGCAUUUCAAUUUCCUUAGUUUGUUAUUUACUUACUUUACUAGUAUUUCAUUCGAUAUUUUACUUGCCUUAUUAGUCUUUCAUUCGAUAUUUUACUUGUUCUAUUUGCCUUUCAUUCGAUUUUUUUACUUGCUUUUUAGGAUAGAUUUAUUUGCUUUCUUUUGUUUUAGUUUAAUACAUCAAACCAACCAACCUUUAAAAACCAAUCUAGUCUAGACAUAAAGUUAAAAACCGUAGAAGAAUACCAGGCACACAAAUCUCUGUGGAUUUGAUCCCUAAAUACUAUAACUGAUUAGCUGUGCACUUGCGGCUUUCAUUUGUUUUGUUAAGGGUAAAACUUGUUCCCUCACGCAGUUGACACGACAUCAAGUUUUUGGCGCCGUUGCCGGGGAUUUGUUUCGCUGCCUUUUGCUAUUUUUCUUGUUUUAACUUCUGUUAUAGACACUUGAUCUCUAGUUCUUUCUUAAAGUUUUGCUGAAUUAUCUUUCCCUUCUUUUGUUUUUCUCUGAAUUGCAUGAAUACCAGGCGCAUACCUGUAGAAAACAUUCCAAUUCUAGACGAGAUAGACAGACACGAAAGACAACUUCGAAGACUUAGACGAACACAAAGAAUGGCCAACGACAACCAGCCUGGAGAUCCUAUUAAUCGAACUUUAAAUAUGGACCAAGACGGGUCCGAACAUGGGGAAAAUGAAGAGAAUGAUCACAGUGGAGGUGAUCAUGCUCGACAAGAUGGAGAGGAAGAUGAGUUUCCUCCAAGAAACCACCAGAACCGAGAGAGAGAAGGACGUGAAGACCUUGAUCCACCCAUCAAUGCAGCCGAUGGUGACCACCCAGCAAUGCAGCCAAAUGAACGCAUUCACCGCCCCAUUCCGCCAGCAAAUCAACACCGAAGACAAGCCAGGAACCAUCGCAUAGCUGAUUUUGAUGGACCUACUCAAAAUUUUCAGAAUCGAUCUGCAAUUCAAGUACCAUUUCCAAACCGGAAUGAGUUUGAAGUCAAGCCUCAAAUCAUCUCAUUGGUGAAGCAAAACCAGUUCCAUGGAGUUCCUUCUGAACACCCAAUGGACCAUAUCGAGCUCUUUGAAGAAAUUUGCAGCAUGAUGAGAACAAAUCAAAUUCCACCAGACUAUUUAAAGUGUAAGUUGUUCCUUUUUUCAUUAGCAGAUAAAGCUCACCGUUGGUUGAAAUCUUUGCCUGCAGGAUCGAUUACCAAUUGGGAAGAAUGCAGAAAUGCUUUCCUAAACCACUUCUACACUAAGUCAAGGUCGAAUCAGUUGAGAACAAAGAUCUCAAACUUUCAACAAGGGCCAACUGAAUCUUUCUAUGAAGCCUGGGAGCGUUUUAAGGAGUAUGAACGUGAUUGCCCUCACCAUGGAUUUCAUGGAUCAAGCCUGCUGAGCACAUUUUACCGAGGUUUGCAACCAAAAUAUAAACUUUCACUUGAUACAGCUAGCAAUGGAGAUUUUGGACAAAAGAUGAUAACCCAAGGAAGAGCUCUCAUCGAAAAUUUGGCUCAAGCCAAUAGCAAUGACUGUCCUGAAUAUGAUCGAUCAAUGAAGCAAGCCGGAACAGACAACAAGGAGAUAACCGAGUUGAAGAACAUGGUGAGCCAGCUUCUGAAGAGUAACAAUCGCCCAAUCCAUGCUUGUGAGACCAACAAUGGCGCAGAAGAUGAAGGACCUAGUGAUAUCGAUCACAUUAAUCAAGCCUUUCAAGAGGAAGAUGUGAACUAUGUAGGAGCACUGGUGCCAUAUCAAAAUCGCUCCAAUAAUAGCUUCAACAACAACUUCCGGAAUGCAAAUUACAACAAUCUCUCUUACCGCAAUCCAAAUGUGGAGAAUCCUCAAGACCAGUACUACCCACCUCAGCAAAAAUCCUUUCAAAACAAGUUUCAAGGUGGAAACGUUGGAGGAAUAGUACCAUAUCAACCACGACAGCCAUUUAACUACCAAGGUACGGGUUUUAACAAUCAAUUUGUACGACAGCAGGGAGUCACGACGAACCAGCUAGCUUCACAAAUCGGUAGACUUGAACAGUCAAUCCAACAGCUCGUUAUGACGAACGAAAAAGCAUCUAAAGACGUGAACGUGAAAGUGUACUGCAUGUACAAUGAUCUGAAUGGUAAGUUUGAAUCUUUAUCUUCGCACGUAAAAAAGUUAGAUGUGCAAGUCGCCCAAACAGCCGACUCUAUGAAGAGGCAAAGUGGAGUACUUCCAGGAAGAGUUGAAGAUAACCCUAAGAAGUUUUGCAACGCCAUAACCACAUUGCCCGAAGAAGAGGCCGGAACCAAUGGAAAGAAAGAAGAAACCCCAAUCUUUGUACCACUGUACAAGGAUAUCAAUCCCAAGAAGCCACCGUUUAAGGUACCUGAACGAUCACCGUUUUAAAGGCUUACCAAAGCCGAUGAUCCAGGACGUUUUGUUUUCCAGUGUUUCAUUUCAGGAAUCAAGUUUACAGACUGCUUGUGUGAUUCCGGAGCCAAUGUCAACAUCAUGUCUAAGACGUUUGCCGAAAAAUUGGGCACUAAAACCUUAAAGACAUCGACGGUUAAGGUUAUUUUUGGAGAUUCAUCUCAAAAAGAUACCAAAGGGGCAAUUCAUGAUCUACAAGUUCUAGUGGGAGACAAAAUCGUUCCAGCAGAUUUCCAAGUCCUGGAAAUGGAUAAAGACAAGGAGAGGCCACUCAUUUUCGGGAGACCAUUCCUAGCUACAGUAGGAGCAGUAAUCGAUCACGCAAAACGACAUGUUGUUUUCCUCAAUGUGGAUCGAAAAAAGUACUAUCCGACUAUCUUAGACGAUUUUCCAAGCAAAGGAAACAUACCAAAAGAGAAAGAGAAGGAGAAGCCGAAAGCUUUUGCAAAGAUCAAGAUCAUCAUUCCACCAGAUGCAACAGAAACUAGUGAGGACUAAAUCCAGGAGCUGAUCGAAAACACAAAAAGGGUUUUAAACAAUAUUAAAGUUCGAAAGAAGAGUAAAGGAAAGAAGACGGCUCCUCAAGGAGAAGAAGUAAAACCUCCAGCGACCGGAAGUGAUAAAGGCACAUCAAGUGGAGUGCCAUUCAAAUCAGCCUGAUUCCUCAUGCUUACGUCGAGCUAAACGACUUAAAACAAAAGCGCUUAAUGGGAGGCAACCCAUUUAGGUACUCUUUCUUUUAGUUUUCUUUUCCUUUUUUUUUACAAUUUAUACUUUCUUUUUCUUUUUAAGUUUUAGGUAUUUUAUAAAACAAAAACACAAAAAAAAUCAGAAAAUUAAGAAAACCAAGAAGAAAAAGGUAGGUUUUUAGCUGCUCGGCCCGGCAAAGACGAGAAGGUUGGACAAAGGCCGCAUGAGGAAGAGCCGCGGUCGCGACUGACUGACCUGCGGCCAAGGGAGCAUCGACCGCGGCACCGUGAAUGUGACCGCGGCCGAGCACUCGACCACCGCGGUCGCGCGUCUCCUGACCGCGGCCGUUGGUCGUUGAGGUGAUUCCGCGGAUUUCUGCCGCUUUUCGGUGUUGCCUGGUGUUUGCCUGGUGAUUCCUGGUGUUGCCUGGUGUAUUCUCGGUGUUGCCUGGUGUUUGCCUGGUAAUUCCCGGUGUUGCCUGGUGUUUUCCUGGUGUUGCCUGGUGUUUACCUGGUGUUUACCUGGUGUUACCUGGUGAUUCCCGGUGAUUCCCGGUGAUUCCCGAAAUGUUCCCGGUAAAAUCCGAAAAGCUCCUCCGUAAGUUUUAAACUUUCCUAAUGUGCAAACAAGAAAGGUAAGUUCCCGUAAACUUAAAAAUUUCUAGAAAUUUUCCGUUUUUGCUACAAAAACGCUUUUUAAAGAAAAGAAACAAACUUUUUGGAUCAAAACUCCUUCUUCUCUUCUCUUCCAAAAGAUUUGGAGAUUUAGGAGAUAGAAUACAUUUUUCAAUUCUUAAGCUUUUUAAAAGAUUUUUGGCUCAAACCUCACUCUUUUUCAAAGCUGAUUCCAAUUCUGCAAUCAAAUCUCUCUUUCCAGCAAGGUAUGAACCUCAAACUCGCCAUUUUUAAUUGAUUUCAUAACUUAGGGUUUUUUUAAAAAUCCCAAAUCUCUGUUUAUUGAUGGUAGAAAUAGAUUAAGAAUGAUAGAUUAUCCAUUUAGGUUAUCUAAAAAUUGAUUUUAGCACCUAGCUUAAGAGGAAUUGAGAUUUUUGAAAUUUGGAUUCUACAUGCUUCAUAAAAAUCGAAUUUGGAACAGCAAAAUUGAUGAGUUUGAUUAAGUCUUGUGUGAUUAAUGAUUAGUAUUGUGUGAGCCAAAACUCAAACAACCAGAAAUUUGUUUAAGGAAAACUAAGGGAUCGGAAACUUCUAGGGUUUAUCGCCAAAAACAGUAAGAUCGAAAGAAAGUUUUUCUUGCUGUAAAAGUGUUUAGCUCUUAUUGCUUAGGGUUGCAAAAGUUACAGAAUGAAUUGUAUACAUCGUCUAUUUAUACUAACUCUCUGAACCGCCUAGCCGAGAAUCUCGGGAGAGAUUUUCGGAAUAUUUCCUUAUCGCCUCGUGCGGCUCACCGCCUUUGUAUUUCGCCUAGGAUUUUUAUGGGCUUCGUCUCCCAAGGCCACGGUUUGGCCCAUCAUUCUCCUUUGCCACGGCUCGGCCAUCUAAUUUCUUCACGGCUCGGCCCACUUGCCAUUUCGGUCGAGACAUGAUCUGGUCCACCUCACCGAGGCGCGGCUCGGCCCAAGCAUGUUGGAAUGGGGCUCGGCCCAUUUCUUACGAUACGGCUCUCCCUACUGGUCUAUCGUCACGGCUCUCCCACUUGGUGAUCGCGGCUCUCCCGCUUGUCUUGGUGAGAACGGCUCUCCCACUUGUCUUGGUGAGAACGGCUCUCCCACUUGUCUUGGUGAGAACGGCUCUCCCAUUUGGUGACCACGGCUCUCCCACUUAUCUUUCUUCCAUACUUAGUCAUUUUGAGAUGGUUUUAUCUGCGUGGGGUGAAAACCGACCCCAACAGUUAGCCCCACUGCUCGUCAGUUUCGGAGGCGAGAGUAACGAGGUCCAUUACUCCUGACCGUAGGAUAAACCAUCGAGUCAAGCUGUUAUGACAUAGGCCCAGAUGAGGUGUUUUGGGAAUGAAGACGCCGAGGUGUUUCCAAGGAGUGCCGAGGGUGCCGAGGUGUUUCGAAAGGGUACCGAAGAUGCCGAGGCAAGUUAAGGACGAGGCGACCUCGUUUGGUAAUAAUGGGCCGAUGCGAUUUCGUUUAGUAAUGAUGAGCCGUGACGAGGCGAUUUGAGAAGGUUAUACCGAGCCGAAUAAAUGGCGAGGCGUUUCGAGAGAAAGUUUGUGCCGAGCCGUUUCGUUAAUGACAAGGCGUUUCGAGAGAAAAUUCGUGCCGAGCCGUUUCGUUAACGACGAGGCGUUUUGAGAGAAAGUAAAUGCUGAGCCGUUUCGUUAACGACGAGGCAUUUCGAGAGAAAAUUCGUGCCGAGCCGUUUCGUUAACGACUAGGCGUUUCGAGAGAGAGUAAAUGCCGAGCCGUUUCGUUAACGACGAGGCGUUUCAAGAGAGAGUAAAUGCCGAGCCGUUUCGUUAACGACGAGGCGUUUCGAGAGAGAGUAAAUGCCGAGCCGUUUCGUUAACGACGAGGCGUUUCAAGAGAGAGUAAAUGCCGAGCUGUUUCGUUAACGACGAGGCGUUUACUUUGGUAAGAUAUCGGCUGAAAAAUUGGGCAUCACAACUGUUGGUCUUCCGAGAGAAAAUUCAUGAUCUGUUGGCGCGUGUGACCGACGCAGUUCGGUCUAGCCGUUCCACUGCGGAUCCCACGCGCUGUUUGGACGGUUUCCCGAGGUUUACGCGGAAUUCACGCGCUUCGGUUUUCCUAUAAAUGGGUGAGCUCCUUCAUUCUUCCUCAUUAUCUUCAGACUCACUUUUUUUACUAAAGGUAGCUCUCCCUUCUCUCUUCUUUCUCUCUCUAGUUUAUUUAUUUUCCCGCUAGGGUUUCCGAGGUCUCCGCCGUUCCAGAUCUUUUUCCGGCAGAGGCUCGCCGAGUCGUGCUGUAAUUCUUGUACAAGUCGUAAGUUAUGUCGAGCCACUCCGACGAUUCGUUGGAUUCACUCUUUCACUACGAGCCGAGCCGUGUAGAUGCCGAGGCGAGAGGUACAACAGAAUCCUCCGAGGCAUCCGUUUCGCCGAGCCCUUCCAAUCGUUCAUCUGACGAGGCGUCAAAUCAUGCAAAACCGUCAGAUGUCGACUCUACAGAUGAUGAGCCAUCGGUUUCGACGAGCCGUCCCCAGGAUCCCAUUCCUGAUGAAGGUAUCAACUGCGCCGCAGUCUAACCCGAGGAGGAGGCAUUUCCCUUUGACCUAUUCGAGGCGAAGCGUGAGUUGGAACGUCUCAUAGCGUCUCGAGGCGCUUCCACAUCUGGGCGAGGGCCACGAGUUAAAAGACAAAAGCCUGACCCGCCUGGCUCUACGCUUUGCUCCCUUGAGUCGCUCUAGGCGUUGAGGCAUCGCUUCAGGAUAUCCGAGGCGGUGGAGUUCAUCGUUCCAGAGAAGAGCGACCGAGCCGACAAGCCUCCAGAGAAUCACUUCACUCUGUACGAGGCGUUCUUCGAGCUUUGCUUUCUCUGGUUCCCAAUCCCCGGAGUGAUCCUUGAAUAUCUCUGGAAACACGGGAUCUCGAUUGGGCAAAUCAUGCCGAGGGGAUUACGGCGUAUGAUUGGCAUCUUAGUUCGUAGCUCCGAAUGCGGACUCGAUAUCGAGCUGAAUCACCUGCUGGACUUGCUGGAAAUCAGGAAAGCCCCGAAGGGAAAUAGAUUCUAUAUUUCCAACAAGGCGAAACGACGGAUCAUAGGCGGUUUUCCCAGCAAGGAUCAGUUUUGGACUGAACGCUUUUUCUACGUCUUGGUGAACGAGGCGUCGGUCGGCGAGGAUUACGUUCAAAGAACCAAGACCGCUUGGGGAUCACUUGGUAGCCGACCCGAAGCUCUGCCUCGGCUCGGAACUGCUUUUGGUAUCCUCUUCCUUUUCUGAAUUUUUUUCUUUUUUGCUUUGUUUUGCAGUUCGGUGCUUUCUUCCCCCGAUUCCCGACGACCUUUUUACUGUUCAAGACUCUCUUUCGGCGCGGAAGGUUAAUUGGAGAAAGAACUUCACCCUCGAAAGAGUAGAAAGAGCGCGAGCCAUCCUUGCCGGAGUCCCCGUCAGCUCUUCGUCCUCAAGUUCUUCAAGACAUACCCGGGAGAAGAUAGUAAUAAUCGCUCUCAGAGAAAGGAAGAGGCGCGAGGAAGAGGAGGCCGCUAGAUGAGCUGCCGAGGCGGCUCGCGCGCAUACCGAGGCAGUUCCAGCGCAAGCCGAGGCGGUUUCAGCGCAAGCCGAGACCAUCCCUCAACCCGACCCGCCGAGCCAGGAAGGGGAUGUAAUGGUCCAAGCCGCAGAAGGAGACACUGCCGAGGCGGCUGAUAAAGAUGCAGCGCCCGAGGUGGAACCGGGCGAAAUUAUCCCCGAGGUGUCCGGGGACGGCUCGGCGGCGCGGAGUAAGACUCCUUCGCACACCGCCAUCCUGGCCCUCCCGAAGUCGACGAGGCCACCGACUUCGGUUGUUCAGAAGCAUGACUCUAGCCGAAAACGUUCGGCUACUGACAAGGGGAAGGGCGUCGCCGUUCAGAAGGACGAGCCGUCCAAGAAGAGGCGGAAACCGACGCCCGGGGACCCGCCGCGCAUAAGUUGGUCGUUGACGACCCCAACGCCUCUGCCGUCAUGUUCUCGCGUGUAAAUAACGCGAACACGAGUCUUCCUCCUCUGGAGAAGCUGAGGAGGCCGAGGUCAUACGGCACGAUGGAACAGCACGGUACCAAGGUACGUUCUAUUUUCUUUCCUUUAUUUUUGCAAAUUUUACGAGGUGUUUAACGCACGUCUGUUCUCUGCAGUUUGUCGCGGCCAUUAACGACCUGAUGGCCGAGUAUGAGGCGGACCUGUCUAAGGUCGAAUGUCGUUUGGACGAGGCCCGAAAUGAAACCGUGGCGUCAAAGGUGAAGCUGGAAGAGGCGCAAAACGAAGCCGCGGCCGCGAAGGGGAAACUCACCGAGGCGAUGACCCGAGUGUCGAGGUUGGAAGAGGAGAAGAUAGUUCUCCGCGCUGACGUCGACAAAGUUUCCGCCUUGGUGAUUCGCCUGGAGGAAGCAAGGAGAGCUAAAAGCGCCGAGGUGGCGAUGCAAGAGGCGUAUCGAAGCCAAGGACGCUCUGUUUGAUGCCAAGGUCAAGCGGGCAAAAAAGGAGGCGAGGCGAGAGCUUACGGCUAAGUUUCAGGAACGCCUCGCCAAGGUAGAGGAAGAUUUGGUCAAGCUCGAGAAGGCCAAAAAUGAUGAGAACGAUCUGGGGCAGAUCAAGGGCAAUCUUGCGAUGAUUGCCGACCUGAAGAAGCCGGACACCCCGACGCUUGAUGACGAGGAGGCGAAGCUGAAAAGUUGGGAGAGUGAGUAUGCCAACGACGAGGCGUACGAGCGUAUUGCUUCCGAGAUUCAAGGCGAGCUGUUUUACUCUCCCGUAUCGCUGGACUCGGUAGACACCAGCAUUGGCAACGAGCCGCUUGAAGAGACAGCGGCCAACCUGGGUGUCGUUGAUCCGACCAGAUCGAACGCGGGGACACCAGCCCUCUCGAACCUCCUUGCCGAGCGCGAGACGCAAUCCGUGGCUUGAUACUCUCUGCUUUCCCUCACCCUUUAUUGCACAUGUUCUUCUUUUUGUUUUUGUACUUAAGUUUUUUCAUGAUUCACUUUUCGAACUCGUUAUGUAAUUGGUGCCUGGAUGGCUUUAUCCACUUGACUUUUAUUUUUGCUUUAUGGAUAUAUUUUAUUUUCCUUAGCCAUUUUCGGAUUUACUUGUCUAACAAUCCAUGAAAAUGUUUACGAAAACUGUUGGCUUAGAAAAAUUGUCAAGGAUGAAAACUGUGUGUCGAGAAUGAUUUGAUUGCUUCCUUAGCCGGGCUUUUCGAAAUUGAUAGAAAUACGGGCUAAGGGGUGAAUUGUGUUAAGGAUCUCGUUUGGAUUCUUAAUCCCGAGCUGGGAGUUUAGGUGAUAAUGUCGAGGCAAAUUUCCACUGGCAAUGCCGAGCCGUAUUUAACGACGAGGCGUUUUCGCUGUGUAAGGUGCCGAGCCGUGUAAACGGCGAGGCGUUUUCUCUAAGCGUGGUACCGAGCCGUGUACACGACGAGGCAUUUUUUCUGUGCAUGGUGCCGAGCCAUAAGAACGACGAGGCGUUUUCUCUUUGCGUGGUGCCGAACCGUAAGAACGACGAGGCGUUUCGUUUUUUGUUCAGCCAAGAAUGAUUUGGUAGUCUCAUUGAAUCUUACUAUGGACCGGCGUUUCCGAGAGGAUGAAUAUGUUUGUCCGGGUUUUAAGAGUUUACUUCGGUUUUAGAGAAAGCGAUGUAGUCUCGACUUACAUUCUCGUGUGCGAUAGUAAACCGUGGCGACCUGAUACGUUUUUGGUCUGAUAUUUGUAUAGCGCUUAAUUUUUAUCCGUAGAGGAUGUAACUUGCACCCUCGUCCUAGGAAAGGUGGUAAAGUUCGUUUAGAGAACUUUGUAUUUGUUGCCCCGUUAUGGCCAGCAACGAGACGAGGCGUUCGGAGGCUUAGUUUGCCGAUCUGAAACUGAGGACCGAUUAAGGUCUGAGGUAAUCAAGUCAUGAUAUCGUGCCGAAGUGGUAUGAUUACUCUCCGAAGUGAUGAGUGAUAAAAUUUUAAAAAUCCGAGCUUGUUAAAAUAAGUUGCUGAUUUAGAAAAAAUGAGAAACUAGCCGAAGCGAUAAUGAACGAACUAGAAAUCCAAGGUAAACGUGCAAUAAGUAGAUGAUUAAAAACGAACUGAGAAUGUGCCGAAGUGGCGAUGUUCCUAAGUGAGCAAGUUAAAAUUGUAGAGUUAAAGAAGGUAUGUGUAUAAGUACCCACUCCCCCCCCCUUUUUAGGAAGGGGGACAGCUGAACCCGUCCGAGGACGGGCUGCCUACGUACCCUUUGAAGGGAUCAAGCCGUCCCGUAGUUCAUGCUUGCCAUGCUGUACCUUUAAUGAUAAUACUUUUUUAGAUGCAUUGCGUUCCAUGAUCUUGGAAUCGCUUCGUCAGCUAGUGUCGCGAGUUCGUAGACUCCUGGACGAACCACUUUUGUGACCUUGUAAGGACCUUCCCAAUUUGCUCCGAGCUUUCCUGCGUUCUUCUCGGCAGUGUUUUGGAAGACCUUUCGGAGGACGAGCUCCCCUGCUUUGAAUCUUCGACUACGAACGUUUUUGUUGUAGUAUCGCGCCGUUGCUUGUUGAUAGUUCUGGAUCCGAAUUAAGGCUUGGUCGCGCUUUUCGUUGAUUAGGUCGAGCUCAUCUAGCAUCAUUAAGUGGUUCAAGCCCUCCUGUCCUGGUAGAAGUCUUCGUCGAAUACCUGGGAAAUCCACCUCGGGGGGAAUUACGCACUCCGAUCCGUAGACCAAAGCGAAUGGAGUUUCCCCGGUGGCUCGGCGCGGAGUUGUCCGAUGAGACCAAAGGACUCCUUCGAGUUCGUCUGCCCACCGUCCCUUCUUGGCGUCGAGCCUCUUUUUCAGACAGUCGAGGAUCAUCUUGUUGGCUGCUUCGGCUUGUCCAAUCCCUUGAGGGUAUCUUGGCGUAGAUUUGCUGAGGCGGAUUUUCCACUUCUCGCAGAAGGCUUCGAAGCGUGUUGAGAUGAACUGGGAUCCGUUGUCGGUGACUAUCUCGUAGGGGACCCCGUGUCGGCAGAUGAUAUUUUUCCAGACAAAGUGUUCGACUUGAACAUCCUUUAUGCUUGCGUAGGAAUCGGCUUCGACCCACUUGGAGAAGUAAUCCGUGAGGACGAGCAGAAAACGAUUCUGCUUUGAGCAAUGUAGAGGUCCGACGAUGUCCAUCCACCAUCUCAUGAACGGAUAGGGUGAUGAAAUUGACGCAACUCGGUAGGUUGAUGAAUUGUUGGAGCGUGCCGCUGACACUUCUCGCACUUCGCCUUAAAUUUCUCGUAGUCCUUGACCAUCGUGGGGCAGAAGUAGCCGUGCCGUUUUAUCUUGAUAGCGAGCGACCUUCUGCUGGAAUGGUUCCCGCACGCGCCGCUGUGCACCUUGUGCAUGAUCUUUCUUGCCUCCGGUCCUUCGACGCAUGUCAUGAAAGGCCCUGAAAAUCUCCAUUUAAACACCUCGCCACGACGAGGACAUACCGUGCGACCUGAGCUUUUAGUUUGCGGGCUUCCCAUUUGUCGGUUGGCACCUCUCCAUCGGCGAUAUACACUCGGAUAGCUCCGAGCUAUUCUUUGUCGCAGCCGUACUCCGGCUCGGUCGGUGAGGCGUCUUCAUCCAUAGGAAUGGCUUCGUCGUCCUCUGGUUCUUGUUCAGGAGGAUUUAUCAGCCGAACUCCUUCCACCUCUUUGAUGCUAGGACGUUCGAUGAAUUCGACUGGGAUCGUCCGUCGGAGGUCUGGGUCUGAGGUCGAAGCGAGUGCUGCCAAGGCGUCGGCCGAGGUGUUUUCCCCUCGGGGAAUGCGCGUGAGUUCGUACUCGUCAAACUUUUGCACCAACUCUCGGACCACCUUGAGGUAAGCUCCCAUUCGUCCAUCCUUCGCCUCGUAUUCUCCGUUGAACUGACAUGCUACGAGCUGUGAAUCGCAAAAGGUUCUUAUCUUUCGAACUCCGAUUCCCUACGCUAGUCGUAUGCCGGCGAUCAGUGCUUCGUAUUCCGCUUCGUUGUUCGAGGCGUGGAAGUUUAGGUGAAAAGACUGCUCCAAUAUCUCUCCGGUGGGAGAGGUGAGGCGAAUUCCUAUACCCGAGCCGUGUUUAGACGACGAGCCAUCGACGUGCAGCGUCCACACUUCGUCUAGAGUCGGCUCGUUUGUUUCUUCGGCGGGAAGUUCAAUGAGGAAAUCUGCGAGCACCUGUGACUUUGCAGACGACCUGUUCCGAUACUCGAUGUCGUAUUCGCUUAGCUCUAUGGCCCACUUGGCGAGCCGACCGGAUUGGCUAGGGCUGUGAAGGAUCGAGCGCAGCGGAAGCGUAGCGAGCACAACAAUCGAAUGUUAUUGAAAGUACGGGCGCAGUUUGCGAGCCGAGACUACGAUGGCUAGGGCGACCUUCUCGAUCUGGGGGUAGCGGGUCUCGGCGUCGGUUAGUGUCUAGCUGAUGUAGAAAAUGGGUUUUUGCUCGGAUCGUUCUUCUCUGAUAAGCACUCCGCUUACGGCUGUAGCAGACACUGCGACGUAGAGGAAGAGCGGCUCUCCUUCGACUGGUUUUGCUAAGAUUGGUGGGCUCGCCAGAUAAUUCUUCAGUUCCUGGAAAGCCGUCUCGCAUCGUUCGUCCCACUCAAAUUUCUUGUUUCCUCGGAGGGUGUCGUAGAAGGGCAGGCAUUUGUCUGUAGAACGGGAAAUAAACCUGUUUAGCGCGGCGACUCUACCUGUGAGCCUUUGCACUUCGCGCUUCGUUCUUGGAGAGGGCAUCUCAAUUAACGUCUUGAUCUGCUUGGGGGUUGCUUCUAUGCCUCGGUGAGUUACCAGAUAGCCGAGGAAUUCUCCCGAGGUGACCACAAACCUGCACUUUGCCGGGUUUAGUUUCAUGUUGUGCUUGUUCAAUUGUUCGAAGCAUUCCCAUAGAUGCGCGACGUGGUCUUCCUCCUUGAGUGAUUUGACUAACAUGUCGUCGAUGUAUACUUCCAUGGUUUUUCCGAGCUGAGCCGCGAACAUUUUAUUGACGAGCCGUUGAUACGUUACUCCUGCGUUCUUGAGCCCGAACGGCAUGACUUUGUAGCAGUAUAUCCCUCGAUCAGUUAUGAAUGCCUUUUUUUCUCGAUCAUCAGGAUGCAUCAGGAUCUGAUUGUAGCCGGAGAACGCGUCCAUAAAUGUUAACAGUCUAUUCCCUGCAGUGGCUUCGACGAGCCGGUCGAUGUGUGGCAAGGGAAAGCUGUCUUUUGGGCACGCCUUGUUGAGGUCGGUGAAAUCCACACAUACUCGCCACUUGCCGUUCUUCUUCUUCACGACCACCGGAUUUGCGAGCCAAUCCGGAUAUUUGGCCUCGGCGAUUGAUCCUACUUUGAGUAACCUUUCAACUUCGUCGUUAACUGCUUUAGCUCGUUCGGGGCCGAGCUUCCUUCUUUUCUGCUUGACUGGCUUAAAGGUCGGAUCCACAUUCAGCUCGUGACAGGUUACGUCAAUGCUUAUGCCUGGCAUAUCUUCUGCUGUCCAGGCAAAAGUGUUGAUGUUCUCCUUGAGGAGGGAAAGGAGUUCGCUUCUCAGAGGCUCUUCUAGUUUUAUUCCAAUUUCGAUGCAUCGCUCCGGACGCGCCUCGUCUAUGCACACCGAGUCCACUGCAUCGCAUACCGGCUCGGCGCGUGUUUCGCGGUUCUCCGUGAUCUGUAAUUGCUAUAAGAGUUUCGAGAGCUCGUUUGCGGGCUCUCGGUCUGUCUUCAUCUUUUUGCGGUCUAUAUCUGCUCGUGCGUCAGUGACGGGGUUCCUCAGCUUGUGCUCGGCUAAGCAGCACAUUCUUGACUCCUUCUGAUUCCCCCAUAUCGUUUUGACACCCGAUGGAGUUGGGAAUUUGAGACAGAGAUGAUAGGUGGAUGGUACCGCCCUCAUCCCGUUGAUCCAUGGAGUUCCCAUGAUCACAUUGUAGAUUGCUGGGUGAUCAGUGACGCAGAAUUCGACGAUCUUAGUGACUCCGCCAGCUACCACAGGAAGCCUGAUCGUUCCCAUAGUCAUCGUCGUUUCUCCUGAAAAUCUGGUUAGAGGUUGGGGAUUGCUUCCACCUCGGAGAGGUCGAUUCCCAUUUUUCUGAGUGUUUCUCUGAAGAUGACGUUCACUGAGCUUCUAGUAUCGAUGAGCACCCUUGCCACAUCAUGAUCCAUGAUCGUUAACUCGAUCACCAACGGAUCGUUGUGAGGUCGAUCAAUUCCUGCCGCUUCCUCCUCGGCGAAGGAGAUCACUGUGUUUGGGAUGUCGGUUGGUUUUAUCCAAUUCUCCUUUGCUUCGGCUCGGCGCUGAUAGGCUUUGAUGGAGGACACGGUAUCAUGGUAGUAUUGAGAUCCACCCAUGAUCAUAUUGAUCCUUUGCCUCGGCACGGGUCGCUCUUCGGGUUCACCUCUCCUGUCGCGCUUGGAGUUAUCGCCUCUUCGCGCUGCUCGGCUCGGCUCUCUCUUGUUGUUCGUUAGGGACGAGGUCUUUGAGGUUGACCGCGUUUUGGAGCUCUCCCGCUGCCAUCUUAGGCACGAGUUUUGCUCCUAGAGUUCGGCACUGUGCCGUUGAGUGCCCGUAGGUCUGGUGAUACUCACAGAAAGCCUUCUCGUCGUAGUUGGCGGAUUUCCUCACCCAAGUGUUGUUGCGCGGCUCUCCUCUUCCGCGUCCGGUGCCUACCUGGUAGUUAUGGGCACCUCCGCUUCUAGGUUCAUCCGAGCUCUGCGUUGUUGCGUUGUUUGAUGGGUUGCCCUUCCUCGCGGGGCGCGGCAAAAUUGAGCUUCGGAUUGCUGCUUUCGUCGCUUCGUACCGCUCGUCCAAGUUUUUCAUUUCCUCCUCGUUUACGACGAAGUCUGAUGAUCGGUGCAGAGCGUCUUGAAUUGUUUGCGGCGUGUUGAGAGCCAUCUCCCGUUGGAACUCGGAUUUGUACCACAAAGAUUGUUUCAGAGCCUCGAGCGCAGCCUUGUCGCUUAUCCCUUCUAUUUUGGAUACGAGUGCCUUGAAUCUUGCCAUGUAAUCCCGAAGCGGCUCGUUCAGUCCUUGGGAUAGUGUCCACAGAUCGGCAUCAGAUGUUCCUCUGUCCAUAAACAUCGAGUAUUGUUUCUGGAACAAGGCGGAGAGCUGUUGAAAAUUGCCGAUUGAAUUUCGUUCCUGCCUCGAAAACCACUCGAGUGCGGCUCCCUUGAGAUGCUCCACGAAGAGCAGGCAGUAUCCGGCAUCUACUUUGCGCUCGGUGAGUUUAGCGGCGUUCUUUGUGAAGGCUCGUCCCAUUGCUAUCCGAAACGCUGUGAUGUGUGCUUUCGGGUCGGUUGUUCCUUCGUAGAACGGGAUUCUCACCUUCCCCGGCUCGGGAAUCCUGGCCUCCGUGAUUCUUGCAGUGAAUGGAGUUCUCUGAGUUUCUUCAAGCAUUCGGUCGAUUUCGGGCGCUGCGCUUGUCACGUUGUGCACUUGGGAUUUCAUGGCGCGUAUUUCAGCUACUGUCCGAGCUAUCGAGGCUCGCAGCUCUUUGAGUUCGAGAGUUUGUGUGUGAAUCAUUCCCUUUGAUUGGGGGAGUCGCUCCCGCUCCUCUCUCCUCGGCUCGUCUUCGCGCUCUGCCUGUUCGAUCCAUUGGCGAUUUUCUUCCUCCUCGGUUGGAUUGUCGCUGCGGGUCGGGUCGGAAACUUCGUCAGUUCGGAUGCCGUUUAGUGCCGAGGCGAGGUCUUCUUGACUUAUUCGCCGAGCCGAGCCGGUUUGUUGCGGAUUCGUGGUUCAGUCGUUAUGCUGGGCGUCUACGUCGAUCGCAUGGUUUUCUUCUUCGCCGGCUCGCCGCCUUGAGUUUCGGCGGAGAGGGGGCGGCUCGGUCAUGUUGACUCUGGUUGCUGCGGGGGGUCUUUUCGUCGAGGAGACGAAACAUUGGAGGAGCCGAGGGGUUUCUUGCGCCACUCCCUGAGGCUUCUGCAGGUGUCGAGAAAUCGAAGCGUCUCCGGAUUCCAUCCAUCGGGUCGGGAAUUCCGGCUCUCCAAGUUUGGUGCAGUCGCUCAGCCGCCAUCGCGUCGAGCCUUUCCGUAAUCGCCUCGUUUCUUUUAUCCUGUUCGUCGAUUUUCUUCAUCAACGCAGCCAUCAUGUUUGCAUCUCCUCCUGGGUUUUGAUCGUUGCUGUCGUUGUGCCCGAUGCCGGAGCGUCCUUCUCCGUGCCGUUACCGGUGUUGUUGUUGUUGUUGUCGUCGGGGGUGUUGCUCGCCAUGUUCUUCGGAUCUUAAAGUCUUGUCGAUUUAGAGUAAGAAAGUUUCGAUUCCCCACAGACGGCGCCAAAUUGUGUGAGCCAAAACUCGCACAACCAGAAAUUUGUUUAAGGAAAACUAAGGGAUCGGAAACUUCUAGGGUUUCGCCAAAAACAGUAAGAUCGAAAGAAAGUUUUUCUUGCUGUAAAAGUGUUUAGCUCAUAUUGCUUAGGGUUGCAAAAGUUACAGAAUGAAUUGUAUACAUCGUCUAUUUUUACUAACUCUCUGAACCGCCUAGCCGAGAAUCUCGGGAGAGAUUUUCGGAAUAUUUCCUUAUCGCCUCGUGCGGCUCACCGCCUUUGUAUUUCGCCUAGGGUUUUUAUGGGCUUCGUCUCCCAAGGCCACGGUUCGGCCCAUCAUUCUCCUUUGCCACGGCUCGGCCCAUCUAACUUCUUCACGGCUCGGCCCACUUGCCAUUUCGGUCGAGACAUGAUCUGGUCCACCUCACCGAGGCGCGGCUCGACCCAAGCAUGUUGGAAUGGGGCUCGGCCCAAAUCUUACGAUACGGCUCUCCCUACUGGUCUAUCUUCACGGCUCUCCCACUUGGUGAUCGCGGCUCUCCCGCUUGUCUUGGUGAGAACGGCUCUCCCACUUGUCUUGGUGAGAACGGCUCUCCCACUUGUCUUGGUGAGAACGGCUCUCCCAUUUGGUGACCACGGCUCUCCCACUUAUCUUUCUUCCAUACUUAGUCAUUUUGAGAUGGUUUUAUCUGCAUGGGGUGAAAACCGACCCCAACAAGUAUUGGGUAAUCUUUAGAAUUUACAUGGAAAUUGCUUAUAAAAACCAAUUUUUAGAAGAUUUCUAUGUUGAGAACAUCAAAAAUCCGAAUCUGGUCAUGAACUACUUGAUUUCUCUGAUUUAUUAUCGAUUUUGUUUGCUCAUGGUUUUAAUUAAUCUCUUUAUGCUAGUAUUAGUAUAACAGAUCUUAAUGUGUUAAAAUCAGCAUCCAAAUUCACUCUUUUUCCAAGAACUAUUUCGUUUUGCAGAAAAAUGGACCAAAACAGAUCCCGAAGGAGCCGUCGCACUGGUGGCAGCUCCGAGGACAUUCCCGAUGAUGCUACUCUAGGAGAGUACAUGCUGAACCAAACCAGACCGAGAAGGAGAAACUAUGUGAUGAGAUUGCUCCAUCACUCAAGAGAAACACAAGCAGCUCCCGAGCCACCACAGAUUCUAUACAUUGGGAGGGAGACAAACCCGAGAGUGGACUAUGCAAGACGUUUCAAGAAGCUGAACAUCAAACCCACGCCUUGCAUAGAUUAUCAUACACUCGAGAUGCUUGGAAUCAGAGAAGAUGUGAUCUGGUACAUCAAUGCACUUAAGCUGAGACCCUACAUGGAGCUGAACCUUCCGACUUAUCCUGAGCUAGUCCGUGAAUUCUUAGCGACUAUUACACUACACCACACGAAGAGGAGGAACCCCAGAGCAUCAGAUGGCAUCUUGUCAUUCUCUAUCCGCGGACAGCCUUACUCUCUCACCAUUUCUGAGGUUUGUGAAGCUCUUAAGCUUCCAUACACUGAUGGCAUUUACCUUGAAGAUGAACCUGAUCUUAACCUGUGGAGAGAGAUGGGUCAUGGAGUCUAUGAUAGUGGGAGAUCGAAGUCAGCCCUUCUUACUCAUCCAGCAGUGAGAGUUGUGCACAAGCUAUUAGCACACACGAUCUUCUCUAGAGCAAACAUGGGAGGUGUUUUAAAGACUGAGCUCAUUACACAUCAGAUUCCGUUUAUGGACGACCCACGACUUGCUUGCUUUGCCUGGAUCAUAGCGCAGAAUACGGUAAACGUGAAGCAUGACUUACAUGGUUGCGAGGACGCUACUCCAGCUUUCAGGAGUGCUAUUACAGCGAUACUACAGGCUGUAGGAUUCGAUUUCUCAUCUGAUGAGCCACUUCCCGAUGUCUGGUAUGAUCUACUUUAUCUCUCUCGCGAUCACACUAUCUCUCGUGCCGCUUUCGAUCCAGACAGGUUUGGUUACAAGUAUUGCACUGGCACUGAGGAGCACCGAGUCAGUUUGCCUUCGGUAUCUAUCCCGAGAUUGUGUAACGGAGGACGUCCGCGAUGGACUCCGGAACCUGAUGAUUUUCUGCCUUCUGUACCUCGUCUACCAUUCACCAUUGGCCAAUACAUAGUGGCCAAGGUGAAGCGUGAUGCAGCUGCGGCCCGUGCCCAUUUUCAGCCAUCUGUUUUGACCGGCCACACCUCAUCAUCUACAUCAUCUCACACUCAUUCCGAUCUGGAGCGCAGAGUUGAGAGACAGGGACGACGCUUUGAGCGCGUUGUCACCUUCUUACAGGAGCAGCACCAGUUUGCAGACGACACAUCGGAGGAUGAGUGAUUGAUCAGCACUUCACUACCAUCACGGUUCUAUCAUCAAUUUCUUUUCUUUUAUCUUAUUUUAUUUCUCUUUUAUUCACCAUCUUCUCACCAACUUUUUCACACUGGGGACAGUGUGAUUUAAGUCUGCGGGAGGAUGUCUAUCCGUACUAAUCAUUUUCUUGCUUUUCUUUUUAAAUUCCAAGUACUUUUUAAAUUUUAAUAUGUAACCUAUUCGACAUUAAGUAUUUUUCAGGAAUGUUUGACGCAAAACUAUGAUGAUUUAGACCUGCACGCUUCUACACUAUGCAUGAUUGCUCAUUUGUGGUUAGCACUAGACUAGGCGGUAGCUAGAGUACUUGCACUACGAACUCCCACCAGAGGACUUCUAUUCAUGGAGAUUCUUUCUGACAGGAUAUACUAGCUCAUUUUAUUUGGACUUAAUAUUGAUAUCUAAUUUUUUCAUCAUUGAUUUUAGGCAGGCAUCGACAUACACAUCUAGGACGUCUUCUACCCUCACUUUUACCACUCUUUGUCGUCCUAGAUGACCUGUUUAUCUUUAUCUGGUACCAUACCCUAAACCCAAAACCCUUGUUUUCAAUCCUCAUGCAUUCUUUCUUUAGUUUAUAUCAGCAGAUAUGUGCAAAAACGUCGGAGAGAAGAGGAGCGACACAGUUUUCAGUCACUCACAAAGGAGACUGAAUGGAAUUGGGAAGGAAGAGUAUCAGAAAAAUCAUGAAGCUUUACAAGACAGAUAUUGACUGGUAAUUUCGUGCUCUCUAAGACUCUAUAUCUAAAGGUGUUCCCUUUCUCCCACAAAAAAAAAAAAAAAAAAAAAAAACGUGAAAAAAGAAAGGGAAACAAAAAGCCUAAUGAGUCUUAGAUUGUCAAAAAUUUGUGGAGCAAUAAGCAACCACUAAUCGUUUAAUUUUGAAAGAUUUACAUAAAUCUAAGUCUGGGGGAGUUAGGAGAGAACCUGAGGAAGAAGACCAGGAAUCUAUGGCACGAAGAAAGUGACUGAAAACUGUGGAUACCAACAGCUUAACUCUCUCUUGCGGUUUUGCAUAAUAUCAUGCAUCCUCCAGAUUUUCAAGUAACCCGUAAACACUUUAAACCUUACCCCUAGAAUAACCUUUUUAACACCUAGCCUAGAUUGCCUUGCCUAGACUUUCUUUGAUGAGAACCACCGAGAUUUUUAAUGAAUGUUAAGAGCUAGUUGACUGGAAGUUAGAUCCUAGUGCAUAGAUUUUCGCAUGAUGGAUUAACGGACUAGUUAUGCCUGUAUUGCUAGUGAGUAUUUUCUAGGCUAUUCCCGAUUGAUGCAUACUGAUUGAUAUUGGUCUAGAAGUUUGGUCUCUGAGAUUUUGUUUAGUUCCUGCGUUUUCAAACCUCUCACCGAGAUUUAGCCUUUGUUUUGUUUGAGGACAAACAAAAGACUAAGUCUGGGGGAGUUGAUAACACCGGAUUUUGACCAUUUUUAUGGAUCACUUUCAUAUCUUUUACCGGUGUUUUUACUCCAUUUUCAAAGAUUUUCAAAGGAUUUCUAUGUUUCCGGAUUUGAAAAGACUUUUCAGGUAAUUUGGGAUAAAGAGGCACAAAAUGAAACAAAAACUCUUUUGAAUAAAUGCAGACCGUCAGAACUCUCAUGGAGAGACGACGACCUUCUCACCGUCUGAUCACCUUCAAAACUGGACAACUUAUAGAAGAAUCAACCAGCUUUCAAAUGCACUUGGUUUGGAGACAUUCUAACGGUUGGAUCUCAAGAUAUUCCAUUAGCCCCGGAGCCACUCGAACUCGGCCAGAAAGUCACGCGACCGCGGUGAUCAACCUAUUUCCCGCGGUCAGAAGCUUCCCGACCGCGGCCAACCAGCCAAUCCCCGCGGUCACAACACUCCCGACCACGGCAAUCAAUCUCCGAAUUAAAGCCCAUGUAUCUGAAGCCCAAAGUCAUUCUCAGCCUCAAUUCCGGAACCCUAGAGACCAUGGAGUAUUGGAGACUAUAAAUACAUGUCAUUUAGGUCGUUUUUAGGGAGAGUCAUUCAUACUUUACAGAAACCCUUUUCCUUUAGCCGUUUUUAUGAGAUUUUUGUAGAAGAUUGUUCAAGUCCGAGUUCUUCAAUAGAGAAGCUUUCUUUAUCUCUUUUUUUUACUGUUUUUCAUUACUUUUAUUAAAACCAAUGAUGAUGUCGACCUCCGCCAUGUCUGAGUAGAUCCCGAGUUGGGCUUAGGGUUCCCGAAAGGGGCUCUCAUAAUCGAUUAAGACAUCUAGGUUUAUAGAUCUGGGAUUUCGACAUGUUCUCUGUUUAUUCUUGUUCUUAUUGCAUGUAUGCUUGAUUGAUCACCUAGUAUCUGAUCUAGAUAGUUAGUGUUGCGAAAGUUUUCAUUAAGUAUCAGCCCUAGAAUGAAACAGGCAAUUUUUUCGUAGGAGUGGAAACCUACCUGCGGCGAGAUCGUGAGUAUUGACGAGUCUUGUGCAGCUCUUGCGUUCUCUCCCUUCCAGGGCUAGAGUGGAAACCUACUGGUCUGGGUUGCGAGAAACAGUUGGUUAUGAUCACGACAAUGACGUAGUCAUACCGCCGUACUCUAGCUCUAGAACCCAUAUAUCGAUAUCCGUCAAUCCCAAUCUAUUUACCCUAGUGUUAAAACCGAUUAUGAUCCCUUAGAGUCCCCAAAAGCUCAGCGUUUUUAGCCAUAGUUUACAAUUCCAUCGAUUUUUAUUUGCUUAUUUAGGCCUGCAUUUCAAUUUCCUUAGUUUGUUAUUUACUUACUUUACUAGUAUUUCAUUCGAUAGUUUACUUGCCUUAUUAGUCUUUCAUUCGAUAUUUUACUUGUUCUAUUUGCCUUUCAUUCGAUUUCUUUACUUGCUUUUUAGGAUAGAUUUAUUUGCUUUCUUUUGUUUUAGUUUAAUACAUCAAACCAACCAACCUUUAAAAACCAAUCUAGUGUAGACAUAAAGUUAAAAACCGUAGAAGAAUACUAGGCACACAAAUCUAUGUGGAUUCGAUCCCUAAAUACUACAACUGAUUAGCUGUGCACUUGCGGCUUUCAUUUGUUUUGUUAAGGGUAAAACUUGAGAGAAAAGGUAUAUCAUCGAAAAAAAAUUCAUGCAAGAAAAUUUUGACCAUUAUUUGUGGUGUCUAUACCAUAAAAACCAAUAAUCAUCUAUGAUCGGAUCAGAAUUUACCGGCGUAAUCUCAGCAAACCCAUGCAAAAAAACGUCAAUAGUAACAAAACCAACUCAAAUAUAACCAUGAAACAAGUCUACCAUACAUAUGGAAUCUGUUUAACAUACAACACCCCAAAACAAGUCUACCACACCUUUGGUUUUUUUGUAGAUUGCUGAAUACCUUUAGGACAAAUAAGUAAUUUCAAUUGAAUAAGUCAAAUGUCUACCGAAAACAAUGUAACUAAGUCUACCACAAGCAAUGUAAAUAACUCUACCAUAAGAAAAACUCUACCUUCAAGCAUCAAAUAUGUCUACCAGAUUGAGGUUAUCUGAGUAAACACCAAAGUUAUUUAAUCUACCACAUGAAGCUCAAUAGAAGUCUACCAUACGUGCAAUAACUUUACCAAUUGAUUGAAAAUCUACUACAAUAACAAAAAAAAUCUACCACCAUUUUAUAAGUCUACCUCAUGUAACAAUAAAUUUACUACUCAACGGAAUGAAAUCACCAAAUUUUUACUUGAUUUAAAUCUUCCACAUUACUUAUAAAUCUACCACAAGAGCGAUAAAUCUACUCACAUGAUAUAACUCUACCAAUUUCAUAACUAAUCUACCUCAAUAGGGAUAAAUCUACCACCACGUUAUCUUAAAUUUUGGUGAAUAAAUCUGCCACCAAAAGAAAUAAGUCUACCAAUUCGAGUAUUAAAUCUACCCCCAUUGUCAACAAAUCUACCAACAAAAUCAACUAUGCGAGAGAGUCAACGAAUUCCUUAACAAGUCUACCAACACUUUAACAAGUGUGGCAUACAUGACAACAAAUCUACCGAAACUUAACAAAUCUAUCGUGUCAUUGUCAAAACUCUACCAAAAAAAGUAUAUCAACAUUUUACAAAUCUACCAAUUCUCGAAUAAAUCUACCAUCGUCCUAACAAAUAUGCCAUCUAAAAAAUUGUGUUGACCAACAUCUGAUAAGUCUACCAUCAAAGACCGGUAGGCUUAUCAUUUUUCAAGCGCAUCUUUUUGCCUACAUGGCACAAAAAAGUAAUGGCAUUUUUUUAAUUAGGUUUUUUUCAUCAAAGGCGAAAAUGAUGUUUUCGGUAUGCUAUGUUAUUUUUGUAAUAAAAAUAAAAGUAUGUCAAGCAAACAAUAAACAUACAUUUAAAGGUUUGUAUAGUAAUCCUUCCUUGUUUUAAUUCUUUUGAAAAACAGUUUAUAACAUCAAAAUAUGUUGUACAUUUUUAAAACCCUUAUGUCCGCGCAAAGCGCGGACCAACACCUAGUUAUAAUUUAAAAUCCAGCUAAGUUAUCUACAUACUAUAAUUCAUAAUUCACUAUUAAAAAAAUCAAAAUUCAUCCAUAUUAACCAUAAAUCUUACAAUUUUUAAACACACGAUAACAAAUUGGUAUUUUAUAAUUCUAUAAAUUAAGAAUCUUGUAUAGAUUUUAUUCAUAAUUCAUUUUUUAUAUACUUUUUUUUUGUCAUCAGCCUAAGUACCUAAAACGGUUCGGCUAUCCAAACCGGUGGUACCGAGUUUACAUAAAUGACGUCUUGAGGGUAGACACGAGCACUUCUUGCUAGGUUGUCCGCCUUCGAGUUUUUUGCGCGUGGGAUAUGUGAUAUAAGGAAGAAACUGAACUUGUCCUUCAUUUUCCUAAUCUCCUCCAAAUGUAGAUCAAAAGCUGGCCAUUCUUUGGGUGUAGACACCAUCUUCACCAACUCCAAACAGUCUGUUGCAAAAGCUACUUCCAUCUUCUGGUUUUCGAGCAUACAGUGCAUAGCCCAUAUGAGGGCUUCUAUUUCUGCAUGCAGAGGUGUAAGACUUUGUCUUACAUUUUGUGCUCCCAUUAUUCUUUCCGUAGCAUCUUCUUUAAAGAAGUACCAUCCUAAUCCCGUUAAAAGAUAUGUAUCUUUCCAAGAGCCAUCAGUAUAACACCACCAGCCUUCGUAGGCCAUAGGUGUUUACAAGUUCAGAGAAGUGCAAAGAUCGGUAGGAAUUGAAUCCUGUUCAGACCUUUGAGCCUCUUCCCACAAUGUUGCUUCUUUUUCCGCUAUUUUCAAUGUAAUCUGUGGAUCUAUAUCAUUAUUCGAAUACACUUUCUCAUUCCGUGCCUUCCAAAUAUACCAUGCGAUCCAUGGGAAUUUUGUGUUAUUCAACUCUUUUGGAAGUCGCCAAAAGAGAUGAUCAAAAUUCGAAUAAACCGAUGGUCCUGGGAAAAUCCCAAGAGGUGUUGGUAUCCGGGAUAAUGCCGAAGUUUGCAAAGCAGGAGGACAUUCAAAGAGCACAUGGUUAAUUGUUUUUUCAUCUGCUCCACACCGUGUACAUUGUGUGUCACAUUGUAUUCCACGGGUGCUUAAUCUAGCCGACACUGGAUGGCACCAAGAUAUUGCUUGCCAGAUAAAAUGUCUUAACUUCGACACACUUUUCAAUUUCCAAGCAUAUGCUUGUAAAGCCUUUAUGUCUGGGCCAAAGAUCUCCUCUGUUAUUUCUUUAGAUAAAUAACGCUCAGUUUUGUACCCUGAUUUUACAGUAUAUCGUCCGGAUUCUGUGAAAUGCCAUCCCAUUGGGUCUGGCCUAUAGGUUCUACUAAUGGGAAGUCCACGAAUAAUUUCCACAUCCGCUGGGUCAAUAAUUGCUGUUAUCAAACCCAUGUUUCACGAGUUUGUCACUGGGUCAAUCAGGUGAUUAACCAUAAGAUUCGGAUAAUAAUUGAAACCCUUACAAGUGGCUGAUCUCGGGCGAGUAGAAGGUAUCCACGGAUCAUUCCAGACAGAAAUGGAGCAUCCUGAACCUACCCUUUUAAUUAGCCCUUUAUUAACCAGAGAUCUAGCCGAUAUUAUACUUCGCCAUCCAUAAGACGGUGAGUAGGAUCUCACUGGGUCCAAAGGACUUGGAUUCCGAAAGUAUCGUCCUUUAAAGACCUGCGCAAAUAAGGAAUUUGGUCUAUCAAUCUGCGAAAGUAUCUUCAUUUUUUAUAUACUUUGUAUUUACUAAUCUUUUCUUUUAAUUUUUUCUAUUUUUUGAAUUUACAUUUAAAAAGGUAUAAUUAUUUUUCUAUUCUUAUUUGAAAUAAAUAAUUAAAAUAAGAAAUUUUAUCUCAUUUCAUUGACACAUGAGUCAAUCAUAAAUAACUGUGAUAUAUGACACAAUAUAGUGAGUUAUAAAAAUAUAAUGUCUUAUACAUAUAGAAUUUUAUUUUUGGUUUACUUUUGUUAUUUCUAUUUUGUAGUUUCUAUUUUCAUCUACUUUAGUUUUUUCUAAUUUAGUAAUUUACAUUUAAAAAUGUAGAAUUCCUUUUGUUUAGAAAAAAAAUAUAAUUUAACAUAUAAGAUUUUAUAUUAUUUUAUUGACAUAUGUUACGAUCAUAGUUAAGCGUGAUACAUGACACAAUAUGGUGAAUUAUAAAAAUCCUAUGUGCCAGUGUCACGUUGAGAGCACUGAACUUUCUUUUUUUUUUUUCACUGAAUAUUACGUAUAUUAAUAAUCGAUGAGCUUACAAGCAGACAAUACAAAACAUGAUCAAAAGCAAUCAAACACUCAUAUAGAACAUGAGUAUUACAACAAGGUAAUACUACUUUCAGAAACAAAAAUCUCUUCUAACCACUGAGGAUAGCCCGAGGCUAUAUAUGAUUGUCGACGAUCAUCUUUAGUCACACUUCUAGCAAUGAGGAAAGCACCUUGAUUUGUAACUCUUUCCUCAAGCGUAAGCUUCCAAUCCAAAAAAAUUUCCAAACCAUUCAAGAUCUCAGACGAAUAGAAUUUGAAAGAAGGCCAGGCUGGUGGCCGAUGAACCGCUCCUAUUAAAUCUGAAUCUUCCGAAGCAAAGACCAUUUUGGUGAUACCUAAGCUAUUCAAACUUUCAAUUGCCCAGAUCCAACUUUUGAAACUAGCAUCAAUGUGGCUGGAUACAGAACAGAAAGAUCUUCUACUGUGUAAAAGGACUGAUCCAAAAGAGUUCCUAAGAACCCAUGCAGCACCACCACAUCCUUUCUUUUUAUCCCAGGAAGAACCGAUAUUACAUUUCAACCAAGGUCUAGAGGGAGGAAGCCAAACCUUCGGGGGUUGAAUCACCUCCAUCUUUUUUUUAAUAGCUUCCUUUUCAUCCAACUCUUGAGCGUGAAACCAUUGGUUCACAUCUUCUUUAAUCUUGCCCAUAGUAUCAGAAACUCGGAAGCUCAUUCCUUCAAAAAUGAAGAUGUUGAGAUUCUUCCAGAGUAUCCAUAAGAUCCACGGGAUUGAUCUUCUGAUUUCCAAAGGCACUGAUAACUUUUUACCCACCAUCAAUAAAUGGAACAUGUUCUGAUAGAUGGAGUUUGAUUCAUAUCCAUUUUCAGGACUGGGUACAUUCGAAGAGGCCCAAACCUGUCUAGCAAUUGUACAUUUGAAUAGCACAUGAUUUAUGGAUUCACCUUCAAGCCCACAGAUUUGACAUCUCGAAUCAAUCUUCAUACCUCUCGAUGCAAUUUUGUCUGCAACAGGAAUGGCACCACUAAUUGCUUUCCAAAGAAAGUUUUUGAUUUUAGUGGUUGUAUUGAGCGCCCAGAUUUGGAGUUUGAUUGCAUUCAAAGACGGUUGCAUCAGAGCUUCCUUGAGGGCUUCAGAUGGAUUACUUUGAGAAGCAAACCAAUACCCUGAUUUAACAGAAUAUUCGCCACUUUUGGUAUGUUCCCAGCAGAAAAAAAUCCAAUGAAGAAACCACCGGGUUAGUUCUUAAGAUUAGACCAACGUCUCUUUGGAAGAAAUGCUCAUCGAGUUUAUCCCUAUCCCAGCUUUUGGAUAUCGGAUCAAUGAGGUCAAUAACUCUCAAAUCCAAAUUAAAGAUGAUGUUCUUUAUGAAGGGAGCUCUCAUAACCCCAUCACAAAGCCAUCGAUUAGUCCAUACACUAAGCGAAGCUCCAUUGCCAACCAUCUGUCUAAGACCUUUUUCUAAAAGAGAUCUUCCAUGAAGAAUGCUUCUCCAAGCAAAAGAGGGUCUAACUCCAGUAUCUGCGAGAAGGAAGGAGGAAGAAACAAAGUAUCGGCUCUUUAAGAACAAAGCAAGGAGACAAUCCUUAUCUUGUAGAAUUCUCCAAGCUUGUUUGGCUAAAAGAGCUUGGUUGAAGAUUUGAAUGUCUUUAAAACCGAUCCCUCCUUGAGCUUUAGGAAUGCACAAUUUAUCCCAUCCAAUCCAAUGCAUUUUCCUUUUGUUCUCGACAGUGUCCCACCAGAAAUCAGCCAUCGCAGAAGAUAACUUAUUACAGAUAGUUACUGGCAAUUUAAAACAGGUCAUGGAGAAAACUGGCAUCGCCAUCGCAACAGAGUUGAGUAACACUUCUUUUCCACCUUGAUAUAGAAGCUUUGAAUACCAUCCAGACAUUCUUCCUUUCAUUUUGUCGUGGAUGUAAGACAACAUAUCCACUUUAGAUCCACUAAAACAUUCUGGAAGACCCAAAUAAGUGCCCGCUCCACCUUCAUUGAUAAUACCCAAUUUGGUUUGAAUGAUUUCCUUCAUAUCCAUAUUCACGUUAGCACCAAAAGUGAUGGAGGAUUUAUCAAGGUUGAUGAUCUGACCAGUAACUCUUCCAUAAAGAGAAGAAUGGAUUGGAGGGUUGUGCACUGUUCUUCAUCCGCUUUAAUCAUAAAAAGACUGUCAUCUGCGAAUAACAAAUGGUGAAUGGCUGGACCAUCGGGAGAGAAUUGAAUCCCAUUAAUCAAGCCAGAUCGUUCAGCACAGUUGAGCAGAUAUGUCAAUCCUUCAGUACACAAAACAAAAAGGAAAGGUGAUAAGGGAUCACCUUGCCUUAUUCCUCUCUCAGGAAUGAUCAAACCAAAAGGCUGUCCAUUAAUCAGAACUGUAUAAGAAACCGAGGAGACACAGAACAUAAUCAUCUGGACCCAUUUUUGAUGAAAACCGAGAGCCAAAAGGAGCGCUUGAAGAUAGGACCACUCAACACGGUCGUAAGCUUUUGACAUGUCGGUCUUCACCGCCAUGAACUCCGUCGAAAUCCUAUCAUGAGUUCUCAAACCAUGGAUAGCUUCAUGAGCUAUUAUAAUGUUAUCUGAGAUAAGUCUUUCUUCAACAAAGGCAGAUUGAUUAGGAGAGACAAUCUCAGACAGAAAGGGUUUCAUUCAGGACACCAUGAUUUUGGAAAUCACUUUGUAGAGAACAGAACAGAGACUAAUUGGCCGUAGGUCACUCAUGUGAGGAGAGUUGACCUUUUUUUGGGAUAAGACAAAGAUUAGUGAAGUUCCAUUCUUUAGGGAAAACACCCGAUUCAAAGAACUUGAGAACUUCCAUCGUGACAAGAUCACCAACAAUAUCCCAAUAGUUCUGAAAGAAAAGACCAGUCAUACCGUCUGGGCCAGGAGCACUAGAGGCUUUGAUCGAGAAAACAGCUCUUUUCACUUCUUCUUUAGAAACCAUACUGAUAAGACUGUCGUUCAUUCUAGAGUUGACUCUCGGCAUGAAAUCGGAGAAGAAUUCUAUCUGAUUUGAAGGAGCAGAUGAUGAGAAAAGAGUCUGGAAAUAGCUAGUCGCCACUUCACCCUUUGAAGCUUCAGAUCGAUGCAUGAUUCCAUUUAUAUCCAUAAGCUUAUCAAUACAAUUCCUUGACCUAUCAGACUUGACAGAAGCAUGGAAAAACUUGGAGUUUUUGUCACCAAGAUUCAGCCAUUUAUCUCUACUUUUCUGUUGCCAAAAACUUUCUUCUUCCUUGUAAGCCUCCACCAGACUUUUUUGAGAUUGAAGAGACGACAUGAAGAAGGAGAUGACGAGGAUUGUUCAAACUCCAGAUCAUCUUCAAUAGUUUUUAUUUUGAUCUGAGAAUUAGCAUCGUUGACUUUCUUCCAUUGACUGAGAGCUUUCCUGCAACUUCUUAAUCUCGAAGAGACACUAAGAUUAUGAGAGGAUGAGGGACCAAACCAAGCCGACUUUAUGGCUUCUUUGACAAAAGGUUUGUGGAGUAAUCUUUUUUCAAAUCUAAACGAACCCCGAUAAGACUCUUGAGAAGAGAAGAGAUGAACCAGGACCGGACGAUGAUCGGAUCCUCUUUUAGCCAAAAAAGCUUGAUUAGAAGCAGGGAAGAAAGAAGACCAGACUUUGUUGCCGAAACAUCUGUCAAGCUUACACUGAAUCCACAAGGUGCGUCUUCUGCCACCCCAGGUAAAGCUAUUCCCUGUACUUGGAAGUUCUCUCAUAUCACAAUCUUUCAACAUGUUGGAAAAAGUAAGGAAAGAAGAAUCACUCCUUCUUGGACCACCAUUUUUUUCCUCAUUGUUGAGAAUUUCAUUAAAGUCUCCAAGCAUACACCAUCCAGUUUUUCUUUGAAUCCCAAUACGAGUCAGCCUUUCCCACACUAGGUGUCUCAAACUCGCAUUUGGGUUUCCAUACACACACGUAACAAAGAAACUGCUUGAACCAAACUGUACAUACAUGUCCAGCACAUUCUUAUCUACAUACUUGAGAUCGAUAUCAACACCUUUUUUCCAGAAAAGAGCCAAACCCACCGGAUCAACCGUAUAUACAUGCUCAUAACCCAACCAAACUUGAAUAUCUACAAUGAUAUUUUUACAGUUUAUCGUUUCCAUAAGGAACAAGAUCUCAGGGAAGUGUUUUUUACGCAUCUCCAUGAGUCUGGGAAUCGUCAGAUCUUGAGGCCGCCCCAAUCCCUGGCAAUUCCAGCUUGAUAUGCUCAUAAAUCAGUGGACAGUUCCUCAUUUGGGACCAUCUCAUGUGUUUUUGACCUUGCGGCUUUGGAAACACUCUCCAGUUCACUAUCAGCUUUCCUUUUCUCCACUGAACCCUCUAAAGAACCCUUCUUUUUCUCCACAUCUUCGGCAAAAGAAUUCUCCAAUUUUCCUUUUAACUUCCUUCGAGAUUUUGGAGGCCUCUUUCUUGGUUUUGGUUUUUUCAUAGCAGUCCCGGAAGGACCAGCAACAGAGUGCCCGAUCCUAUAACCCGUUGAACUGUUGUGAAAAGGGACCGACUCAUCACCAAAAUCUGGGGAAGUAGAAUCGGUUUGAAGAGGAUUGGAGCCAUAAUUUCUCCUAGAGCUAGCAUCCGCUUGAAUUGCAGCAGACAUAAGCUUUUGACCUCGAGGCAUGAUCACUUCAGUUUUUGUAGUCGAGUCCUCAGAAUCAUAGCCAAAGACUGGACCUUUCCCUUUGUUGAGAUCACGAGUGAUAAUUGGAACAGGUUCUAGACGAAGCACCAUUUUCUGCGUGAUUAAAUUCUUUUCUGCCUCACAAACAGAAUUCUUCACACGAUCUUCUCUAACCUUACGAUCAUCACCAUUAGCAAUUAACAAAUAUUGUCUCAUGCCUUCUAGAACCUCAGCUGCAAUUCUUGGACGACCUGUUAAGGGAUUCAAGCCAACCUGGUUCUCACCAAGAACGCCAAAAAGAGGGUCAGAUUCCAACAGGACAGGCUUGGGGAUCUGUUUUUGGGGAGCAUGUCCAAGUCUUCUUUCAGCCGCCAAAGCUUGACGUUUCAUGAUCAAAAUAGGGCACACCUCACGCGCGUGAGUUAACCUUUGACAAGAAUAGCAUCUCUUCUGAAUUCUUUCAUAGAACUAGUGAACUGUGGUUGAGCCUCCCUUAGGCAGAUUGAUCACUUUCGACUGUCUAAGAGGUUUAGACACAUCAAAUUUAACUUUCACUCUCACAAACUCUUUGUUCUGCGCUUUAGUAGGAUCAAAUGCAAUUUCAGUAACAAGACCAACAAGAUCUCCUAAAGCAGUAAUCGCCUCCUCAGUGUAAUGAUUAAUAGGAAUGUUUCUGAUUUGCACCCAGAUCGGAACAAACUGCAGAGAUUCACUUGAAGGCUGCUCUUCCCAACGCUCUGUAGCAAGAGCCCAUUCAUUGAAAGUAUGGACACCUUUGUCCAAGAUUUCAUUUAGGUCAUGUUCAUACUUGAAGAAAAACUGGAAACGCUCUCUUGAUAGAGCCACACCUCUGACUCUAUCAUACUUUUGCCAUUUUCUAGGCAAAUCCAAAAUCAGGUUAGCCAUCUUUUGACAUUCUGGAUUAAGAAGACGACCUAUCAGGCUGAACUCAUUUUUAUCACUUGAACAGUAAGCUGGGGUAUCAGGAAGAUCGAAUGGAACUUCUUCUUCCUCUAGAGACAUGGCCAUCAGCGCCUUAUCCAUAGCAGAAGACAUGGUAACCGAAAAUAACUCUGAACCACAACCACAGGUAGAAAAUCUGAACGGCCCAAAGAAGAUAGACCACCCAAAGCAAGGAAACCACGAGAUGAAAACUUAAGCAGGAGAUGAGACGAAAUUUUUCUAGACCCAGCAAAUGAAGAACACGGAUGAACCCUAUAUUUCUUUAUAGAUCUGAAAAAAAGUGUUUGAAAAGGUGAAAAGCGGGAUGAAUAGUCAAAAGGGAAAGAAGUUUUUCCACACAAAAGCUCUAUUCUCGAAGAGAUGAGAUACUCUUACACAGAAAGAGAGUCCUAAGCCCAAAAAAGGGAAACAGAUAUUUUUUCUACUAUCUUCAUCUUCUAUCUGCACCACUUGAGAGCACUGAACUUUCUAUAAUAAGAUUCUAUUUUAAAAAAACUAUUAAAUGUGUAGAAGAAAACACCACCAAAUGAGAAGUUUUGACGAUGGGACUUGGGAGGUAAGAAAAGCAUAUAAGAGUCUCCAAGUGUCUGGUUAUACUUUUUUUUGCGAUCCAGUUUAUUCUUUUGUCCAACCUCAAGGGUAGAUGUUAAUUUGAUUUAAUUUUGUAUUGGGUCAGUUCAAUUAAUUUGUAUUUAAUAAAAUUCUAACUGAAUUUAAAUGAAGUUAAUUCGUGGUUUUUCUUCAGUUUGAUCUAUUUUUGGUUAAAAAUAAUAAAAAAGUCAAUAUGAAAAUAAGUCAUAACAAAAUAAAAGAGAAAAAAGAAAAAUUUUUUGGCACUUAUUUUAAAUUAUUGCGAUUUAAUAGAUACGACACAUUUAGUUAAGACAUAUAUGUCUAGGACACAAAAGAAAUAUUGAAAUGUUGUAGUGACUUCAUAACACUACUACAAAUAGAUAAAAUACUGGGAUGGUGUAUUGACUUGGCAAUACUGUUACAAAUCUCAGAUAUAUUCUAAAAGAUAUAGUGGAAUGGUGUGGUGACUUCAUAACACUACUACAGAUAAAUAAAAUACUGGGAUGGUGUACUGACUUGAAAACACUGUUACAAAUCUUAGAUAAAUUCUAAAAGAUAUAGUGGGAUGAUAUAUCAAUUUGUGACACUACUGUGUACAUCCUACCCAAGAUCCAGAAAUUCAUUGGGUUGACUCGGUUUAUUCCAGGUUGAUCUAGUUUGCCUCCUUUUCCUAUUUCAGCGUUUUAAACCUAAUUUUUUAAGUUAAGUUUAGUACUAACUUUGUCUCUCUUUCUUUUUUAAGGUUUUACUUAAAAGUUUGAUGCUAUCAUAACUUAAACACAGAGAGAUUAUAUACACACUUUAUUCUCAUAGUUUCACUUCUUUUUAUCAUUCCCCUUUAAUACAGUAAAGGCACUUAAAUCAAUAUAAAUUAAAGACACUAUUGUACUAUGUAAUCACUCAUUUUAUUUCACUCAUAAAAAGAAUUACAAAAUUAAUACAUCUUAGGAACUGAUGAUGAUCGACCUAUCAAAACCCAAUUGUAAAGAAAAUAUCUAUCUAGCAACUAAUGAGCAGACUAUUAAAUUCAUCAACUAAAUAAGAAAAGUAAAAUAACUAUUAAUCUUCUCUCUUCUAACAGCUUUCUCUGAUUAUGCAGUCUACGUCAGCAGUGAUCACUCCCUGGUAGCAGUUAAUUGGUCUUCAUCUUCCAGCUCAUGAUCUUCUUCUUAGGCACAUAGCUCUUGAGGUAUUAUAAAUACCCACAUCGAAAACAAGAAGCUUUUCUUCAAUCUUAAGUGUGAAAAUUGCUUGAUCAUAGGUGCAGCUCUCUCCCAUGUCCUCUCAUUAUCUAGAAGACCUGUCCAACUAAUUGAUGUUUCCAAAUGAUUAGCAAGAUCAGAGUGAGUAACUAAAACUGAUACCGGUUCAAUAAUGAGUUCAUCAUCAACUGAGAAGGACUGUGGAAGUGCAGAAACAUGAUGAUCUGUUCCUAAGACUUUUUCACUAUCAAGUAGACCGCCGAUGCAAAAGUUAAAUACCAUGAUAUAACCUUUAAAAAUUUUAGUACCACAAUAAUCACUUUUUGUUGAAACCUUACAAUGCAAAAUCAUAAAGUGACAAAUAGGUACUUGAACCUUUUUUUUUUCAUCCAAUACCAAACUUGUUUUUUCAUCAUGAUUCACCUUCUCUAACAUGUACAAAUAAGAAUACAACACCUUAAAACUUUAUUUUUUAGUACAACGCACUUCAUUAACAUCUUUUUUUCCUCUCAAUGUGGUAGAUUAAGAAUGCUGAUCUAGUAACUAAAUAAGAAUGCCCUGUCAACUAAAUCUUGCCAUGCCUGCUUAGUUCGAAAUUUUUGACAUAAUUCUCAUGCAUCACGUGGAAGUUCAACAUAUCCAGGCAUACACAAGAUAACCAGACUGUUAUCUACACCAUUAUCCACACUAUUAUCCACAUUGUCACGUGAUAUAUUUGUAACACAUCUAUCAACAACAUUCUUGAUCAAUUCAUGAUGUUGUUCUGUUGUUUUGUCAUCUUCUUAAAGAGUAACAAAACCAUCAUUAACUCUAGAAUUAUUUCUUCCACCUGAAAACAGAUCGCCAAAAUUCACACCAAAUAAAAUUUCUCAUUCUACUCUUAGAAGUUGCUUGCCCAACUUAAUGUUUUCCAAAUCUUUGGUGACCUCUACAUGCAAAACACUUCUACAUAGUUCCUUAUUCAUGGAGAUAAACAUAAACGUCCUCAUUAUUGAAAAUAUAUUAUUGUCUGUGAGGUUUCACUACCAAUGGAAUUAAAGUCACUUUCAGCUUUGUCUAAGAUAUAUAUAUGAUGUCGUAAAUGAUAUACUAUACAUGUGAUCUUCUAUUGAAAUCCAUCAAUUCUAUGAUCUUUGAAUAAUAUCCUUCAUAAUCAAAUAUAUGUUUGUGAAACUAUAGCUUAUUGUCUUAGGAAGAAUAGAAACUACUUUAGCACGUGUUAUCUUGAAUCAAUAAUAUUAUUUGUACCAAUUAUAACACUUCUCUAAGUAAUAUCAACUGUUACAGUUGUUUUUCUGCAAAUUAGGUGACUUCGGGCCACUGAUAUGUUCAUAAUUUGCAUCAUUUAGGUUGCACAAAUCAUUCCAAAUCAUGUUUUAUUUCAUGUAUUUUAGGUCCCUAGGGUUUGUUUUAGAACUUAGGAGAUGCAUUAGGUCCCAAUGAGUCUUUGCAUGUUUUGAGUGUCUAUCAGGUGAUUAUGGAGCUGAAAAGAUGAAUCCAGGAGGUGGAAUGGUGAGCAGAGCUUGAAAAAGUGGAAAACUUGAGUCUAUGGAGGUUAUCGGCCAUUCUCGCUGGCCAGGAAGGUUUUACCGGCCAUUUUCAUGUACUGCGGGAAGCUUUACCGGCCAUUUUCACGUACCGCGAAUUAAGUAUAUCGGCCAAAAUCUCCGGGUGCGAACGAGUCUCAGAAAUCACCUGUCCGGGGAGCCUUCCGGUCCGAUUCAGAUGGCGGGUCCUUCAUAGAAGUUGGAGAGCAUUGAAGCACGGUCUCAUAGCAAUUGGAAUCGUAGAAUUCGGACGCGUGAGCAGAGAGAUAAGCUCGUCGGAAGAAACCCCUGUCUCGCAGGUAUUCCGGACCGAGCAGAUCAGUUCUGAAGGAUGCGAAGGACGGUGCACUUCCAGGCCGAUUCAGCUUCCGGGUCCUUCAUGAGAAUCAGAGACAUUUGAGUUUUCUUUCCAGAACGUCCAAGAGCAUUCAAUUCGGAUCUAUGAGAAGGAAGAUACGGCCUCCGGAAUGGACACAUGUCUAGACGCCUCUCUCUGGUCGUAUACAUGCACUGCAAAGAUGUGCCCUCCAGGAAGCCUUCCACCUCCCAAGCACUGAAACUUCCUUCACAAAAGUUGGAGAUAAAUGAGUCCUCUGUCUUCUGCAACCGAAAUCAUUCAAUUCGGACAAGUAUCACAGGAGUUACACUCUCCGGAAUGCGAAGUGAUCUAAGCUGCUCUGGAUGCUGCGAGAUGGUCUUGCGACUUGGUUAACCCGCAGGCCUGAAGAUGAACACCUGAAUGCUGAUGCUGCGAGUUGAAAUGUGCGGGUAAACUAUCACUGGAAGAGGUCUGGAGCUCCCGAGCAAGAGAAAUGCUAAGUCCACAAUCGUGCGACUUAGGCAUGCGAGUCAUCCGCGCCUGGAUCUAUGCCGCACGAUCACUCGGAAUUCACUCCGACUCGAGCCUGCGACCUAAGUGCAAUAGAGACCAACCCGCACAGUUUCUACAUCCCCCAGAAACCGGCUCAGCCCUGCGAGUUGGAGAGGAAGGAGACCAUGCCGCAGAAACACUCGCAAUUUACUCCUAGAUAGGCGUGCGGCUCCGACAAGGUGAUUCAAGCCUCACAAGACAAGUCUUCAUCUACUGCGACUUAGGUGUGCGGCCUGGGACAUACUGAACCGACCCGCAGCUUUUCCCACUUUAUCCAUUAAAGCCGGGUCAGGACCCGGUUUGUUCCGGGCUGACCCGGUUCGUUUUUAAGAAGGUAUAAAUACUUUUUAGGGUUUUUUGGGGGAGAACUAAGUUUUAUUCCCUUUGUCUCUUGCCUUUUUGGUGAAAAGACUCCAUUAAGAAGAGAAAUAUCUUUAUUUGAGUGUUUAAUCAAGAGAGUUUAAGGAGAUCUGGGUGUUUAAAGCUGUUUUCUUUUGAAUCUAUCAUCUCCAUCUCCAUUUCUCAUCAUUAAUCAUGCUAAUCUACUCAACUUGCAAAAGUUUAAGAGAGAUUAGUAUGAUUAGUGAGUAGUCACCUUAAUGAGGUUCUAGAUGUGUAGGUUAGGGUGCUAAAGUGUUAGAUUAGGAGUGCUUAGGGCUAGAUUCAUUGAUUCAUCUCUCUAAACAGCUGUUCUCUAUGCUAAAUCCUUGAUAAUCACUUGAGAUCUAGAUUCUGGGAAUUUCAUGCACCAAAAGUGUUUGAUGAAAUUCCUGAAAGAGUUGUGUUAGAGGUUUAAGUAAUUUUUCAUCAUGGGAAUGAUUUGUUAAAUGCUUGAAUGAUCAUUAAGAGCUGUUUGUUAAUGCAUAUUGAUUCAUGUUUCACAAAUGGGAAUUUGGUUUGAAAAUGGAUUAGUAUAGGGGUUAAUACCUUCAUGAGAGGAUUAACCUAGAUUAGAGUUCUUAAUCAUUUGAAUCAUGUCUCAUCAUUGUCAUUAGCAUUUCUAGUUUAACACCAAGGCACCCUAACCAACUAUCAUGUCUAGAAUCUCAUGCCUCCAUCAUAUCAUAUUCACAUCAUUUGUCAUUGUCAUUUGUCUUUAAACCUGUUUAUGUUUAUAGUUGUCUCUAGAUUAAUCAAAACCUAUUCUUGUUUGCUUGAAUUAAGAACUUGAUCAUAUAGCUUAGUGUCUAACACCACAUCUGGAUUGAUAAACCUCUUUGUACUACAUUGACAAGGGGAUUGAUAGCCCUGAGACCCUUAAAAGUCAUAUCUAUCAAUUGGCGCCGUUGCCAAAUUGUGGUUUGAUUAGCAUUAAGCUCUGAUCUGUUCUUGAGAUCAAGUGCUUACUUUCUUGUUUUUACUGAUUCCUUUCAAGUUCUGUUUGUGAUUUCAGGUGUAUGAACACCAGGUCCAGAUCAAGAAGCUGCGGUCCUCCUUUUCCUCUAAACGACAACAUCAACCUUCUGGUACCAAGGAGGAGAAGAGACAGACGUGGUAGACAACUUGAUCAGACUGAGAUGGCCGACCAAGGAGAUCACGGGGUAGAUAUAGAACAACCAGUUCAGGAGCAACAGGCUCAAGGUCAGGGAGCUGGUAUUGGAAUUGGUCAGGGGUUUCACCAAGGCAAUGUUCAGCAGGAACAGGUGCACCACCAACAAGCCUAUGUCCACCAGGGACAAGCUCAGGCUCAUCAACAGAGGCAUCAGGCCAAUGUUCAACAAAGACACCAGGUGCACCACCAACCCCACCCUUUCCAACCACAACAAAGAAGAUAUGAGCAACCCCAAAUAUAUGUUGGCGAGAAUGACAGGGCCAAUGCUCAUCAGUAUGGGGCUGGUAUUCAGGCACCACCUGUGCAGAACAACAACUUUGAAGUGAAAGCAUCAUUGCUGAAUAUGGUCCAGAACUCAAAGUUCCAUGGGUUAGCAAUGGAAGAUCCCUUGGAACACUUGGACCAGUUUGAUAAGGUGUGUGAUCUGACCAAGAUUAAUGGAGUUUCAGAAGACAGCUUUAAGCUAAGACUAUUCCCAUUCAGUCUUGGUGACAAAGCUCAUCAAUGGGAGAAGAAUCUUCCAAGAGGCUCCAUUCAAACCUGGGAGCAAUGCAAGCAAGCCUUCUUAUCUAAGUUCUUCUCCACCUCAAGAACUGCAAAACUGAGAAACCAAAUCUCUAGCUUCACUCAGCACAGCAAUGAAAGUUUUGGUGAAGCAUAUGAGAGAUUCAGGAGCUACACAAACCAAUGCCCACACCAUGGGUUUAGUGAGGCUUCUCUUCUCAGCACACUGUAUAGGGGAGCUCUUCCCAAGAUUAGAAACCAGCUGGAUACUGCUUCCAAUGGGAACUUUCUGGGUAAAGAGAUUCAUGCUGCUUUAGAGCUAGUGGAGAACUUAGCAUUGAGCAAUGAUACUUAUGGUGAAGACUAUGACAGAUCAAAUAGGUAUGAAGGUUCAAGCUCAGAACAGAGGCUCACCAGAGAAGUUAAGGAGUUGAGGAGUGAAUUGGACAAGCUGAAAUUCACCACUCAGAAGCCAAUGCAUUUUGUUGGAGAGUAUGAGGAACCUUCUCAAAUUUUUGAGAACAUAAGUGAAGAAGGUCUUACCCAAGAGGAGCUCAACUACAUUGGGAAUCAGAGGUUCCAAAGAUAUCAGUAUGGUAAUGCCAAUCCAAACCUCUCUUACAGGAACACCAAUGUAGCUAACCCACAAGACCAGGUCUAUCCCAAUUCUCAAGCUCCAAAGAACUUUGUUCCCAAGCACAACUUUCAAGGGUCAUUCCAACCCAAGAAUCAAUUUGGUCAGAAUCAGAGUUUUGGUCAGCAACAGCAACCAUUUCAGGGCACUGGUUACACUUCACAGCAGCCAAAGGCACCACCAGGGUUUGGUCCACCACAGUUCCAACAGCAGGCGCCGGUUCAACAACAGUUUCAGCCACCAAUGGUUCAACAGCAGCCACAGAUGGGUACAGAUAUGGUUGGUAUUCUGCAACAACUACUUCAGGGUCAACAGACUAUGCAGCAGGAAAUCAAGGAACUGAAGCAAAACCAGGCAUCAAGCUCAAGGAACCAAGGUCACCUACCUGGAAAACCAGAACCCAACCCCAAGGAAUAUGCCAAGGCCAUAACACUGAGGAGUGGCAAGGAGUUACCUGGUAUUGAGAACAACAAUGUGAUCAUUGAGGACAAUGAUCAACCUGAGGGGGAGGCAGCCUUAAAGGAUGAUCAAGUUGCUGAGAAACCAAGGUCAGAAAAGGGUAAAGAGGUAGCAAAGGAACCAGAACCAGAGAAGAAGUAUGUGCCACCACCUCCAUACCAACCCAAGCUCCCAUUUCCAGGGAGAUUUAAGAAGCAACUAGUGGACAAGGCAAGAGCUGUAUUUGAGAAGGCACUCAAAGAGACACCACUCACAAUGCCUCUCAUUGAUGCAUUCUUAAUGAUGCCAAAGAUGGGGAAGUUUUUGAAGGAUGCUAUUCUGAACAAGACAAAAGAGCUUCAAGGCAUGGUAGUACUAAGUCAUGAAUGCAGUGCUAUCAUUCAAAGGAAGUCCAUUCCAAGGAAGUUAACUGAUCCAGGGAGCUUCACACUCCCCUGUGCCAUUGGACCUCUUCUAUUCUCUGGAUGUCUUUGUGAUUUAGGAGCAUCAGUCAGCUUGAUGCCAUUCUCCAUAGCACAGAAGCUGGGCUUUAGAGUUUUCAAACCUUCAAAGAUUUCUCUUAUCCUUGCAGAUAGAUCAGUUAGAUUGCCUGUUGGUAUGUUGGAAGAUCUACCUGUCAAGAUAGGUGGUUUUGAGGUUCCAACAGAUUUUGUUGUGCUGGAGAUGGAUGAAGAGCCAGUAGAUCCUCUUAUCUUGGGCAGACCAUUCUUAGCCACUGCAGGAGCUAUUAUUGAUGUGAGAGGUGGGAUAAUAGAGCUUCAACUUGGGUCUGAAAAGCUCAAGUUUGAUGUGAAUGAGAUGAUGAAGAAGCCCACCAUUGAAGGUCAAUGUUUCUAUGUAGAGACAAUGGAUCAGUUGGCUGAUGAGUUGCUUGAGGAGCUGAACACAGAGGAUCCUCUUCAAGCUACUCUGACUCAAGAACAAGGAGACAAUGGGCUCUUGGCUGAAGCAAGUGAAGGGUAUAAGCUGUAUCUGGACAAUGCAAGAGAGCUGGGUCCUGAAACAAGGUUUGUGGAGCUGGAACAGAAUGGCACUGAGGUUUUUGCAAUCCAAGAAUCAGUCACCAGCCAAAGCAGCUUGGACCAGGACUGGAAUGAGGCUGAUGCACCCUCUGUUGAGCUCAAACCUCUACCAACAGGGCUCAGGUAUGCUUUCUUAGGACUAAACUCCACAUAUCCUGUCAUCAUCAAUGAUAGCCUAUUAGAGGACCAAGAGAGUGCAUUGCUGAAUGAAAUAAGAAAGUUCAGGAGAGCCAUAGGGUAUUCUUUGGCUGAUAUUAGAGGGAUCUCUCCUGACAUCUGCACCCAUAGGAUCCACCUAGAGGACCAAUCUAUGUCCUCUAUUGAGCACCAACGUAGACUUAACCCCAACCUUAGGGAAGUGGUUAAGAAGGAGAUACUAAAGCUUCUUGAGGCAGGGAUAAUUUACCCAAUCUCUGACUCAAGAUGGGUAUCUCCUGUUCAUGUUGUGCCCAAGAAAGGUGGGAUCACGGUGGUGAAAAACGAUAAGGAUGAACUCAUAGCUCAAAGAACCAUAACUGGCCACCGCAUGUGCAUUGACUAUAGGAAAUUGAAUUCUGCUUCUAGAAAAGAUCAUUUUCCUUUACCAUUCAUUGAUCAAAUGCUUGAGAGGUUAGCUAAUCAUCCUUAUUUUUGUUUUCUCGAUGGGUACUCUGGAUUUUUCCAAAUUCCCAUAGAUCCAAGAGAUCAAGAGAAAACAACAUUCACAUGCCCUUAUGGCACUUAUGCUUAUAGGAGAAUGCCUUUCGGUUUAUGUAAUGCACCGGCUACUUUUCAAAGGUGUAUGAUGCACAUUUUCUCUGACAUUAUUGAAGAGAAAGUUGAGGUGUUCAUGGAUGACUUUAGUGUCUAUGGCUCCUCCUUCUCGGAUUGUCUCUCUAAUUUGACACAGGUGUUGGAGAGAUGUGAGCAACACAGCUUGGUGCUGAACUGGGAGAAGUGUCAUUUCAUGGUGCAAGAAGGGAUAGUUCUUGGGCACAAGAUCUCUGAAAAGGGCAUUGAGGUUGAUAAGGCAAAGGUGGAGGUUAUGGUGAAUCUGCAAACCCCCACUUCAGUUAAAGGGAUAAGGAGCUUCCUGGGUCAUGCAGGGUUUUAUAGAAGAUUCAUAAAGGACUUCUCAAGGAUUGCCAGGCCCUUAACAAGACUGUUGUGCAAGGAGGUGGAUUUCAUCUUUGAUGUUGAAUGUGAAGAAGCCUUUAAGUUGAUCAAGGAGGCAUUGGUUAGUGCACCAAUAGUUCAGGCACCAGACUGGUCCCUACCUUUUGAGGUCAUGACAGAUGCUUCUGACUUUGCUGUUGGAGCAGUACUUGGACAAAAGAAAGACAAGAAGUUGCAUGUGAUCUACUAUGCCAGUAGAACACUUGACUCUGCCCAAGAGAAGUAUGCUACAACUGAAAAGGAAAUGCUGGCAAUAGUUUUUGCCUUUGAUAAGUUCAGAAGCUACCUGGUGGGAUCAAAGGUCAUUGUGUAUACUGAUCAUGCAGCCCUCAGGUACUUGAUGACCAAGAAAGAUGCCAAACCAAGGCUGUUGAGAUGGGUUCUAUUGCUCCAAGAGUUUGAUAUGGAGGUGCUUGAUAAAAAGGGGAUUGAGAAUGGUGCUGCAGACCAUCUCUCAAGGCUGAGGAUUGAAGAAAAAGUCCCCAUAGAUGAUGCUUUGCCUGAAGAGUCUCUGAUGGUGCUCCAUUCAUACUUGGAGUUUGAGGAAGUAGAGAGCAUUCAAGAAAGGAGGAUGCCUUGGUUUGCAGAUAUAGUGAACUAUCUUGCAUGUGGGGUGGAGCCCCCUGAAUUGGAUGCUUACAAGAGAAAAAAAUUCUUCAGAGAUGUCCAGAGAUACUAUUGGGAUGAGCCCUACCUCUAUGUUCUGAACAAGGAUCAGUUAUACAGAAGAUGUCUUGCUGAAGAGGAGAUGCAACCUGUGUUGCAGGAAUGUCAUGGUUCUGCUUUUGGAGGUCACAUGGGGGCAUUCAAAACUGUAGCAAAGGUUCUUCAAAGUGGGUUCUGGUGGCCUACAAUGUUCAAAGAUGCCCAAUUGGUGGUUUCAGCUUGUGAUGCCUGUCAGAGGCAUGGAAAUAUAUCUAAAAGAAGUGAGAUGCCUCAGAACCCCAUUCUAGAAGUGGAGAUCUUUGAUUGUUGGGGGAUUGACUUUAUGGGACCUUUUAUUUCAUCCUUUGGAAAUCAAUACAUACUUGUUGCUGUGGACUAUGUGUCCAAAUGGGUUGAGGCCAUUGCUUCCCCUACCAAUGACUCCAAGGUUGUAGUCAAGCUGUUUAAGAGCAUCAUAUUUCCAAGGUUUGGAGUUCCAAGGGUUGUCAUUUCUGAUGGAGGAUCCCACUUUUUGAACAAGACUCUGGAAGGUUUAUUGAGAAAGCAUGGAGUUAAACACAAGAUAGCUACUCCAUAUCAUCCCCAAACUAGUGGCCAAGUGGAGGUAUCUAAUAGACAAAUCAAGGCCAUUCUGGAAAGGACUGUCAGCUCAACCAGAAAAGAUUGGAGCAAAAGGCUGGAUGAUGCAUUAUGGGCUUACAGGACUGCCUUUAAAACUCCAAUUGGAACAUCACCAUUCAGUCUGCUAUAUGGGAAGAGCUGCCACCUUCCUGUGGAGUUGGAGUACAAAGCUAUGUGGGCUGUGAAGUUUCUAAACUUUGAUAUCAAAACAGCUCAGGAGAAAAGAAUCAUGCAACUCCAUGAGCUUGAGGAGAUUAGGCUUGAGGCUUUUGAAAGCUCAAAGAUCUAUAAGGAGAAGACCAAAGUCCUGCAUGACCAAAAGAUUUUAAAGAGAGAGUUCAAGUGUGGUGAUUUGGUCUUGCUUUUCAACUCCAGACUUAAGUUGUUUCCAGGAAAGCUUAAGUCUAGGUGGUCUGGACCUUUCAAAGUUCUUGAAGUGAGGCCUUAUGGUGCCAUUGUCUUGGAAGGAAAAAAUGGUCAGGAAUUUGUGGUGAAUGGACAGAGAGUCAAGCAUUACUUAGUUUCACAAGGGAAAGAGGAAGCUACAUCAGUUCCUCUCUGAUCACCAGCUGUUAACCAGUUCUCAAAGUCAAACUUAGAGACUUUAAACAAAGUGCUCUUGGGGAGACACCCCAAGCUUAUCUUUNNNNNNNNNNNNNNNNNNNNNNNNNNNNNNNNNNNNNNNNNNNNNNNNNNNNNNNNNNNNNNNNNNNNNNNNNNNNNNNNNNNNNNNNNNNNNNNNNNNNCGAGUUUGCAACUAUCUCUCACUUUUCUCUCCAUGUUUUCACCAUAUCUCUCUCAUUCUCCACCAAAAUUGUUGAUUCAAAGUGCUCUGAGCUCGUUUUGAGUUGCUAACAUCAUCCUGAUUGCAUUUCGAACUUGUUGCAUCUUAAUCCCAAGGUAUUUCGCCCUGUUGAAACUCAUCUCUUUCCAUGUUCUUCAAUGGUGAUUUUUUUUUUUUUUUUGAACUUUAAAGUGUGGAAUCGAUUUUGAUAGGUUGUUUUAGACCUUGGGAUUAUUUUUAUAAAUGCUAGGGUGCUAGAUAGUCUUGGAAAACAGAGCACUUUGUUUGUAAUUACCUGUUCUUGAAUUUUGAAAAUUGUUGCAACAAUUUUUUUCAAAAUUUUGAGACUUUUGUGAGGUUCAUCCUUGUACUAACAAUAUUUUUGAGAAUCUCUUGGCAGAUGACUGAAAGAACCAACUCUUUGGCCAAGAAGAAGGGCCCUGCAUCAAAAGGCAAAGGUUUGGUCUCAGGAACUUCAAAGCCAAGAAACAAAGGUCAGGGUGCAAAGAAUACUACAAAGCAAGGAAAGUGUGAUCCAGCGCCAAAAAGGACAAGGCCUGAAGGAAGAGCUUUGGUGGUUGCUUCUGGUUCCAAGAAAAAGGGGAAACAGUUGGCUGUGGUAUCUGAGAGUGAACAGACUGAAAGUGACUCCGGCAGCUCAGCUGGUGGUUCCCAAGGCACCAAUGAAGAGGGAUCAAAGAAGUUCAAGAAAACUGAACCAGAAACACCUGAUUAUCUGGCUAAGUUUCAGCAGAUAGAGAUCCAGCAAGGGAGAUUCCCUGAUUUGGACUUUCUGAAGAAGAUUGGCCUCUAUGAAGAUGUCAAGACUUUGCUUGGGAACAUGGGUGUUGAGUCACUUUUGGAGAUGAGAGAAAUCGCUUAUGAGCAAGAGUCCCAAGAGUUCUUGGCCUCCUUUGAAGCUUUCAUUUACUACCCAAGGGAUUCAAGAAUCAUUCAAGGAGAUGGGCUUGGACAUGUGGAGUUUACUGUGAAAGGGAAGGAAUAUUCAGUGUCAUUCAGAGAAUUGAGUAAGAUCUUUGAGUUUUCAACACCUAGAAAUGAAUUUCUCUCCAACUCGGUCAAUCUCAGAAAAGAUGAGAUCCAACUUCUAUGGAGAUCAAUUGCUUCUGGGAAGUACACAGCUGGAACAGCUAAGGCCUCUUGGAUAAGGAAUCCAGUUCUGAGAUAUGUACACAAGGUUCUCUCUCACAGCUUCUACUUCAAGAUUGAUGUUGGAAGAGUUCACAAAGGAGAUCUGCUGCUUCUGGGUGUAGGGCUGAGGCCGCUGAUGCCAACACAUGAAGAUGGGGAACCCUAUGUAGGGUAUGAAUACCCACUUUGCCUUGCAUCUCAAUUAGCAAGGUCUUUGAUGUUCUACAAAAAGUGCAUGUGGGAUUCUACAAACAAAGAUGCAAAGCUGACCCAUGGAUGGGUGGUAACAAAGAUCUUGAAAGCCAUGGGGUAUAGAUUCAAGGAGAACAAGGCAAAGUUUGAUCUGAUUAAUGAAGCACAUUUGUGUAGGAUUGGCUUUCUCCAAGGAAGAGUGGGUACCAAGGCAGUCUACAACUUCAAGACACUCAUCAGUGAGCCAGCCCAAGUUCUCCUACCCAAUCCCUCCAUCACCACAGUCCAAGUUAAAAGGAACAUUCACUUCUUCUUGCUGAAGGAAGAGCUGUACAAUGUCCAAACUGAUCCACCAAUCCUCACAUACAGGCAAGCUUGCAGAGAAGAAGCCUCCAAGGGAAAGAAAGCAACCGCUGAAGAUGCUACCACAAGUGCAGCUGGUGCUCACGAUGCUGAUCUGCCUCCACCUCAAAAACGUUUUGGUGGAAACAGAUAUCACUUUGAUGAUUACAACUGGGAGGAACCAGGCACUUCAGGGUUCAGAGCUCAACAGAAGAUUGGUAUUCUCCAACAAUGGUGCAAGUACCAAGACAAAACCAUCCACAAGAUGGCCAAGUGCAUCAAGGAGAUGAAGAAGAGGAUCAAGAAGCUUGAAAACCCUUGCAAAGGUGGGGCUCCAGCACCAGUUUCACCAAGAAACAGAGAGGAAGUUGGGGAGAGUUCCAUGAACUGCACAGCCUUGGUCGCAUAUGGAACCACUUGGGUAGAUCUUGACGACGGGAGUGAUGAAGCCAGCCACCAUUCUUGGGAAACACCGUCAGGCCACACAUCGAACCCCUCCUACUCAUUGGGGUCUGAUUUCAACAGCCACUAGGUAACACUCAAAACCUUGUAAAUAGCAUGUAGACUUUUUUUUUUCCUUUUGCAUUUUGCUUGUUUGCUUUGGUUUCACUUCUUUCUCAUACUUUUAUAACACAAGGGACUGUGUUAUUUAAGUGUGGGGGAGGAGUUUCAUCCUUUACUAACCAUGUUUUCUAUUUUCUCAUUUUACACUUUGAGUCUUGAGUCACAUUCUAGUUGCAUAGUCAUCUAAGUGCAUAUAAAAACCAAAAAAAAAAAAAUGGAAAAAUCUGAAAAAUUUUCACAAAAAAAUGAUCAUGUAGUUGCAUUCUCAUUUUUAAGAUUGAGUCUAGAUUGCAUUUGCAUAUAGGUUGCAUCUUGCAAGGAGUAAUGAUAGGUUUUCUAGAGAGUACAUCACUUUGAGAACUUGAAUUGAAUAUGCUUGUGAAUCUUUUUCUAUGCUUGCAAAGUCUGAAAUGAUUUGAAUCUGAGAAGCAAGUUUGAAUUGAACUCAACUCUAAUUAAGUGGAAACCUUGAACUUGACCUGAAAAUAUCUUGUGAUGCAUUGUUUGAAAAAGCUUGUGGAUACCAAUAUACAUACUUGAGCUAGAACCACUGUUUUUACCACUCUUUUCCUUAGCUCAAGUAGCUGAAUCCACAUCAUGGAUCAGUUCCCACACCUUGAACCCAUCCUUCUUUUAAGCCAAUGUUUGUGUGUGAAUUGAAAGGCCACCUUGGAUCAAACUUAGCAGAAAGUGUUAGGUUUAGAGCGACAAGGGCAGGUCUCAUUGAGUGCUGUGUUCCAACAUCAAGGAACUGAGAGUUUUGGCGAGGAAUAAGUGUGGGGGAAAAGACUUUUUGGUGAGUGGAAAAAGGUGAGAUGAGUGGAAAGAGAGAGUGAAAAUAACUAGGGGAAUGAAAGAAAAAGAAGUCAGUCUUGGUGUUUUGAGAAAGUGAGCUCUGGUUUGUUGAAAAGAAAAAUCUAGCCUCUAAGUGAAAAAGAAAGAAAAGAAGCCAAAAGCUCAAAUGUUUUGAUAAGAAAGAAAGAAGAGGCUAGAAGUUGUAAAAGAAAAAGAGCUGUGUAAAGUUUGAGUUCCAAGACUUGAGAGUGAAAGUGAAGAACAAAUCCCCUAGUGAGAGAAAAAUGAGUGUGAAAAGUGAGGUCUUUGAGCAAGAGAGGAAGCUUUGAGUAGAGGGUGGGGAGUGAUGAGUCUUUGCCCUUGUAUGCAUAGGUUGCUUUUUACCUUUAGCAUUCUGCCAAAGUUUGAUCAUUCAUAGAGAGAUCCCUUUGCUGCAUUUAACCCACUUGAACACUGAUGAGAUCAUUUUAAUCUCAUAGCCUCUCCCUAGCCAAGCCAGCUUGUUUAAACCUUGCAUCAUGAGAUCCACCUGAUAAAAGCUUAAUGAAUGUGAAAGAGUUGAGAGAGAGAAGAACUUGUGGAGAUUCCUUGCUGAGUUGACAUAUAUCUGAGUAUGGCUUUGCAUUGCAUAAUUGAGCAUGAACUUGAAUUCUCAUUGUGAUCACUUCUCUCAAAAAGAAAAUGUGAACUCCCAUUGCAUACAACCUCUUUCUCUCAUUUGCUCUUUUUGCUUGAGGACAAGCAAAGGACAAGUGUGGGGGAGUUGAUAUGUUCAUAAUUUGCAUCAUUUAGGUUGCAUAAAUCAUUCCAAAUCAUGUUUUAUUUCAUGUAUUUUAGGUCCCUAGGGUUUGUUUUAGAACUUAGGAGAUGCAUUAGGUCCCAAUGAGUCUUUGCAUGUUUUGAGUGUCUAUCAGGUGAUUAUGGAGCUGAAAAGAUGAAUCCAGGAGGUGGAAUGGUGAGCAGAGCUUGAAAAAGUGGAAAACUUGAGUCUAUGGAGGUUAUCGGCCAUUCUCGCUGGCCAGGAAGGUUUUACCGGCCAUUUUCAUGUACUGCGGGAAGCUUUACCGGCCAUUUUCACGUACCGCGAAUUAAGUAUAUCGGCCAAAAUCUCCGGGUGCGAACGAGUCUCAGAAAUCACCUGUCCGGGGAGCCUUCCGGUCCGAUUCAGAUGGCGGGUCCUUCAUAGAAGUUGGAGAGCAUUGAAGCACGGUCUCAUAGCAAUUGGAAUCGUAGAAUUCGGACGCGUGAGCAGAGAGAUAAGCUCGUCGGAAGAAACCCCUGUCUCGCAGGUAUUCCGGACCGAGCAGAUCAGUUCUGAAGGAUGCGAAGGACGGUGCACUUCCAGGCCGAUUCAGCUUCCGGGUCCUUCAUGAGAAUCAGAGACAUUUGAGUUUUCUUUCCAGAACGUCCAAGAGCAUUCAAUUCGGAUCUAUGAGCAGGAAGAUACGGCCUCCGGAAUGGACACAUGUCUAGACGCCUCUCUCUGGUCGUAUACAUGCACUGCAAAGAUGUGCCCUCCAGGAAGCCUUCCACCUCCCAAGCACUGAAACUUCCUUCACAAAAGUUGGAGAUAAAUGAGUCCUCUGUCUUCUGCAACCGAAAUCAUUCAAUUCGGACAAGUAUCACAGGAGUUACACUCUCCGGAAUGCGAAGUGAUCUAAGCUGCUCUGGAUGCUGCGAGAUGGUCUUGCGACUUGGUUAACCCGCAGGCCUGAAGAUGAACACCUGAAUGCUGAUGCUGCGAGUUGAAAUGUGCGGGUAAACUAUCACUGGAAGAGGUCUGGAGCUCCCGAGCAAGAGAAAUGCUAAGUCCACAAUCGUGCGACUUAGGCAUGCGAGUCAUCCGCGCCUGGAUCUAUGCCGCACGAUCACUCGGAAUUCACUCCGACUUGAGCCUGCGACCUAAGUGCAAUAGAGACCAACCCGCACAGUUUCUACAUCCCCCAGAAACCGGCUCAGCCCUGCGAGUUGGAGAGGAAGGAGACCAUGCCGCAGAAACACUCGCAAUUUACUCCUAGAUAGGCGUGCGGCUCCGACAAGGUGAUUCAAGCCUCACAAGACAAGUCUUCAUCUACUGCGACUUAGGUGUGCGGCCUGGGACAUACUGAACCGACCCGCAGCUUUUCCCACUUUAUCCAUUAAAGCCGGGUCAGGACCCGGUUUGUUCCGGGCUGACCCGGUUCGUUUUUAAGAAGGUAUAAAUACUUUUUAGGGUUUUUUGGGGGAGAACUAAGUUUUAUUCCCUUUGUCUCUUGCCUUUUUGGUGAAAAGACUCCAUUAAGAAGAGAAAUAUCUUUAUUUGAGUGUUUAAUCAAGAGAGUUUAAGGAGAUCUGGGUGUUUAAAGCUGUUUUCUUUUGAAUCUAUCAUCUCCAUCUCCAUUUCUCAUCAUUAAUCAUGCUAAUCUACUCAACUUGCAAAAGUUUAAGAGAGAUUAGUAUGAUUAGUGAGUAGUCACCUUAAUGAGGUUCUAGAUGUGUAGGUUAGGGUGCUAAAGUGUUAGAUUAGGAGUGCUUAGGGCUAGAUUCAUUGAUUCAUCUCUCUAAACAGCUGUUCUCUAUGCUAAAUCCUUGAUAAUCACUUGAGAUCUAGAUUCUGGGAAUUUCAUGCACCAAAAGUGUUUGAUGAAAUUCCUGAAAGAGUUGUGUUAGAGGUUUAAGUAAUUUUUCAUCAUGGGAAUGAUUUGUUAAAUGCUUGAAUGAUCAUUAAGAGCUGUUUGUUAAUGCAUAUUGAUUCAUGUUUCACAAAUGGGAAUUUGGUUUGAAAAUGGAUUAGUAUAGGGGUUAAUACCUUCAUGAGAGGAUUAACCUAGAUUAGAGUUCUUAAUCAUUUGAAUCAUGUCUCAUCAUUGUCAUUAGCAUUUCUAGUUUAACACCAAGGCACCCUAACCAACUAUCAUGUCUAGAAUCUCAUGCCUCCAUCAUAUCAUAUUCACAUCAUUUGUCAUUGUCAUUUGUCUUUAAACCUGUUUAUGUUUAUAGUUGUCUCUAGAUUAAUCAAAACCUAUUCUUGUUUGCUUGAAUUAAGAACUUGAUCAUAUAGCUUAGUGUCUAACACCACAUCUGGAUUGAUAAACCUCUUUGUACUACAUUGACAAGGGGAUUGAUAGCCCUGAGACCCUUAAAAGUCUUAUCUAUCAUCCAUCUAACAUUUUACUUUCGUUUUAUGAAUAAGUUCUCUUUCCCUUAGCUGUUUUAGGAUUUGAUGUACUUAAUCGAUCAAGAAAACAUGGUCACCAUUCCAAUGUUCAUUAAUUACCAACAUCAAAAGAAUAAUAUUGCAAAUCUAAUUGAAAUCUUCAAAAUGUGAAUACAAAAUGGUUUCUACAUAAAAAUAUAAGGCCGGAAUAAUAUGAUAUACCUUUACAUAAUCAUUAAAUGGUUUUUUUAAAUUACGUGUUUUCUUUCGAGAUUAUUGCUCCCUUGCCAACAUCAAUGAUGACGUUUAUUCCACGUCAAAUAUGACAUGGCAAAGGCGCUAGCUCUGCACAAUUUCAUUGGAUGCUAAUGCUGAUGUGUAAUUUUUGUCCAAGUUUUUCUGAUUUAAAAAAACAAAAAAAAAGUGAAAAUCAUAAACGGAUAAACAUGCGGAUCUUUAUACCCGAUCUAGCCCAAUUAUCUGUAUUUUAAAAACAUCCUUUGGCCCAAUAAUUCAUACAUUCCCAUUUUUAAAAUUUUUGAAAUUAUGGUUUUUAAAAACUUUCCGCGUAAGAAAAUAGAAAUUUUUCCCAAAAUGGAAGAUUACAUUAACUAUUAGCAAGAUUUACCGGAGUUAAUGUAACAAUAUAUACAGAAAUUUUAAUAUUUCAAAAAGAAACACGAAUUUAUCUUACAUUUUAAUACUAUACGUCAAUUUUGGCAAUUAAAUCAAUUUGAAUAUAUUGAUUCUCAAAUAUUUCCGCAACAAUAUCUACUUCUACGCACAUUCCGAAUAUCCAUAUUCUUCAUUUCAUUCUUUUUUUUCAAAAUAAUUUAAAUCCCGCCUAACAUCAAUUUUAAAAAGUUCUCAUUGACUUCCUCUCCCUAUAUACCUAUCCUAAACCCUAAAACUCUACAAUUCUCAUUCACAAAAAUGGCUUUAGUCCGCAAACGUUCGGCUGCUCUAGUUCCAUUUGCCAAAUUAGGUCAAUCAAGUGAAAUUCAGAAAAUUAGAGCUAUUAUAUUUUUACUUUGGAAAGUCAAGAACAGGCAGUCUGGCUUUGUUAUAUAUAGAAAUGAUAUUGGUUGACAAAGAAGUUUGUAUGCGAUCUUAUGCAUUUUGUUUAUUGUUAUUUUAAUCAAUCUAUAGAUUAUAUAGUAAUACUAUUUGUGUGAUUCACAGGGCACUAGGAUUCACGCUACGUUGAUGAAGAAUUGAUCGCAAAAGAUAAAUGCAUCCUUAUAGAAGGAAAAUCACUUUCUAUUAAUUGCUUCAUCAUUAAAGAAUACUAUAGUGAUUUUAGGACUACUCCAUUACCAUACAAGAUUGCUUUGUGCAGAACAACCCGUGCUAAGGAGAUCAAUGAUUUUCCAUCAGACUUGCCAGAGAAAUAUUUUUCUGAUUUCAAGUCAAUCAAGGAAGACAAACUCGACAAAAACGUCCUAAUCGGUAUGUCAUCAUCGCGAUAUUGAAAAUUAUAUUCUAAUGUACAUAUUUAUCAUUGUAUACAAAUAUUUUGUCUUCAAGAUGUCAUUGGACAAAUUGUCACCAUUGGGAGUAUGGAAGUUAUAAAAACUAAAGUAAAAAGUGGGAUCAGCGAGAAAUUGAUGAUAACACUCCGGGACACCAAGUAAGUAGUUAUGAUAUCAUACCAAAAUAAACAUAACAAUAUUUUAACAAUGGAACGCUAAUAUGUUUAUUGCUGAAGUGAUGUCCAACUGAAAUGUACACUAUGGGGACAAUAUGCAAAAGCAACUGUUGAGUACACUGACAAGCAUAUGGCUGUUAUUGUUGUGUGUGUAAUGCGAUUUUUCUGUAUAAAAGAGUACAAAGGUUAGAUCACUAUAUCCCCUAUUCAUAUAUACACAGUUUUGUAGAGAUUGGUAUUGGAUUAGAUUGUUAAUUAUUCUUAUUUUAUGUUUUUCGAGUAUAGGUGACAAUUCAAUAUCAAACGCUUUCAACUCCACCAAAAUUUUGUUUGAUCCUGACGUCAAGAUCGUGAAAGACUUCAGAGAAAAGUAUGUUAUGUGACAAUUUUAAUAUCAUUUUAACAUUGUUUUAUUUAUAUAGUUAUUGUUUACAGUUUUGUAGGUUGCUAAAAAACAAUCAAAUGAUUGUGCAUGCUGAACAGAGUUAUUCGACUUCUUGGGGUGGUGCUAUUGACUACCGUGAAUAAUUUUUAGGUGUGAAAAAUAGGAGGCGGACGAUAGCUGGAAUUCGUGAUAAAAAAGUGGCAUGAGCUAUAUUUUAUUCAUGGUACAAAUAUAUUUAUAUUUCACUAUAUACAUAUUAAUGGUUUUGUUAUAACCUGGCAAGAUUUUAACAUGCGUAAUGGUCAAAGACGUUGACACUUCAAAGCUGUGGUAUUAUUGGGCAUGCAAACCUUGCAUCAUCAAAGUUUUAGAGCAUGACAUUAUGUCUGAUGAUGAAGAUUACGAUAAGAGGAUUCCUCUUUUCAGUUGCAAAAAUUGUGGAUAUAUCUAUUCAUAUGAUACCAUCGUCGCAAGGUAAUACAAUGAUUUGUCCCAUAAAGUCAAGAAAACAUUACUUAUUUCAUUAAGACUUUCUUUGGUAUGAUAUAUAGCAGAUAUAGCAGAAUUAUUUCAUGUAGACUUUCUCUGAUUGACUGGCUAAAUGUUCGCCUUAUUUUAUUACAUUGAUUUGUCCCAUCAUACAUUUAUUCCAACAUUACAUUACAUGUUUAUUCAUGUAACGUUUAAAUAACUCACUCUUCUGUUUCCUUUCAAACUAUGUAGGUACUAUAUUGUAUUAUUUGUAACUGAUGAUUCAGACGUCGAUGUCCGCUUCCUGAUGUUUGAUGACACUGCUCAAAGAUUGUUGGGUCAUUCAGCUGAGUCUAUAAUGGAACAAAAUGAUGAGGUUAUUCGUUAAAUAAUUGUAUACAUUAUGCAUUAUUUACAUUUUCUGAAAUAAUAUUAAUCCAUUAUAUAUAAUGAUGCGCAGGAUUUACCAAGAGGGCUCCCUGAUGGCUUGACAAAGCUCCUAACCAUGAGGAUGCUUUUCAAAAUAACAGUUUCAGAAGAGCAUACAAAAGGAAGCCAGUCUCCGUAUGUAGUAGAAUGGUCUCAAGAUGUCGAAAUUAUGACUGAGUGGGAUUCUCGAUCAGUGGUAAUAUAUAGGAUAAAUUUUACAAACUUCUCAAGCUCGCUUAUCUGAUCGUUUAGUUAAAUUAAGACGUCAACAAUGUUUUAUAUUUUCAGCAACCGUUGAUGCUUACGAGUUCUGACGAACUUGAGAAUCCAUCGUCUGGAUCUUUACUCAUUCCUUCAUCUAAGAAGCUAAUUAAGAGUCCUGACUAUUUUGAUGAAGGUGAAAGAUCUGUUAACAAAAAGCGACCGAAGCAAGAGAUCCCGAUGAAGUUAUGAAGAAGCAAAAAAUCGUAAUGAACUUAUUGCAGAAAUGCAUUGCUGGUGAUUGAUUAUUGAUUUUGAUCUUUAUAACAAAUUUGUCCAAUGGAUGGAUAACGUUUGAACUCUCUUCGUUAUUUUUUGCGGUAUUUGUGGAAUUUUUUUGGCAUUUUUUAUUUAAUUGUGAAACUUGAAUGUUGCCCUAGAAUUUUUUUUCAUAAUUCAUUUUUUGAAACUUUAAUUUGUGAUUUAAAUUUUUUUGGUUCAACCAACUGUCAUAAAUUUACACGAGAGUUUCAAUUAAGACGACAUUAAAACCAUAACCGUUUUACUCCAUCACAUAGAAAACUAUUCAUUUCGUUAUUCUCUUUCAUCUUCAAUCUUAGCAAAAUAUUAAAACAAAGAAUGUCUCCUAGUGAAAGAGUUUCCGAUCUUCAGAAGAAAAACGGCGGAUAUCGUAUUUGUGUACAUAUACUAAGAGAUUAUUAUGAUUAUACUCUCUUCGAUCGACCUAAUUGGAUGUUAGUUCUUGCGGAUGAAUUUGUAAGUUUUGGAGGUUUGAAAAGAUUUACCAUAUAUAUGUUUUAGGAAUGUAUUUGUUAAUUAUUUAUCUUUGUAAACCGUGUAGGGCAAUCGCAUCCUGUCUACUAUUCAAUAUGAUAUAAUAGACAAAUUUGAGUAUGAAUUGGUUGAAGGAGAUUGGGUGGUUCUUGGUAAUUUUGAAGUUGCUGACAGAGUGAUUUGUCCAAGUAUAUCAUCAAACAACUAUCAUAUACAUUUCCUCGAGGAUACCAUUGUUGAGAAAACUGAUCUGAAGUCUUCCAGAGGAAUAUACUCUUUUUGUGCAUUCAUGAAUAUUUUAUAUAGAUUUAUUCAUAUAGAUAGAUAUCUUGCUAUCUUUCUUACAACUUUUUAUUUUAAAUCGUUUAUCUAAGGAACUUCAACAUGUAUUUAAAGGCAGUCCUUUAUUUUUGCAGUUGUUCUUCUCGGUGUUGUCACAUUUGUUCAGAAACUUCAGUUAUGAUCAGACACACCCACGCAACGUCCACUUAUUCGUUUUAAAAUUCAAGAUUUCAGGUCUGUUAUCCUCAAAACAUCUGUUAUGUGUAUAUUGUUUACAAAUUUUAAAGUAUAUUAAUAAUGUUCUAAAUUAUUUAAAUAUACAGUGGAGAAUCUUUGAAAUGUAUUGCUUGGGAUAACUUGGCAAGGAAAUUUGAAGAACUUUGGAGGAAUCGUGAAAGGUCUUCUAGGCAUAUUAUUGUAUUGUGAUUUUUCUCUUUCACUAGACGGAGAAGUAACUAACUACUUCAUUAUUUGAUAUUUUUAAUUAAUUACAAGUUUUACAUAUAUAUUUUUCCGUAUAUUGAGUAUGUCUAUGUAUUUAGAUGAAUGGAUAGUUGAAUUGGAAAGAUUCAUAUCUGAUAUUCUCGAGGAUCCUCCUAUCCCAGAAGUGGAAAGAGCAGGGUUGAGGUAUGUUUAUUCCAUCUUUGAUAUUGUAUUCUAUAUUUUAAUAUUUAUAAAUAUAUAUAUAUAUAUAUAUAUAUAUGUAUAAUGAUAAAAAAAAUCCUAAUAUUAUUUCAGGCUUGCAACUUCAAUUGAUUUUUCUCCGGUCCACGAUGAAUAUGAAGACCAGUCUAAGUAAAAGAGAUUAUUGUUUCCUAUUUCUUAUUUUUAUAGUGUUAAACUUGAAAAUCUAUAUUAUUCUGAUUGAAAAAAACUUAUCCAAUGACAAUAUAUAUAUAUUUUUUAAAAAACAAUUUAAUUGUGUUAGCAUUUUUUCGUGAAGCGUAUUCUAUUUGAUUUCAACAAAAAAAUAAUUAUGAUAUUCAAAAUUAGGAUGCUCCGUGAUAUGUGUCUGUAUUAAAAAAAUAGAGUAGGUAAAUUCUGGUAUUGUACUCUCAUUAAUUAUUUGUAAUUAAUGAAAUGAAGUAAUUAACUUAAUUAAAGAGAAGUAGUCAGUACAAUAUAUGACAUUUUUCUACCAUCUUUACAUAUUUUUCUACAUAUAAUUAAUCAAUAUAAAAGUCAAAUAUACCUAUGAAUUGAAUGUAACAAAUUUGGUUUGUUCGUAAGUCACUUAGUGCAAUAAAUGUCAAAGGUUGCAAUUUAUUCUAAUUUUACAAAACAACACAACUUUUCAGACCCUAUACUUGCUUUGCUAUACAUAUAAAGGACCAAAGUAAAAAAAUGUCUGGCCAUCUUAACUAAAAAAAACCUAAAGUCCCAGAAAACAACCACUUUCCUCAAACAUGCCUCGCUAUUGUACCCUUGAGUAUCUUUCUCCCACAAAAUCUGACUCCAGAAUUCUUAUAAAAGUUCUACGAGUUUGGGAACACUUCAACUACUGUAAUCAACGCCAGGAAUUGCAUCUUAUCCUCGGUGACGAAAAUGUAAGUUCAUCUUUUUGAAGUUUUUUUAUUCUGUUGCAUGUUAUGAACAUUUAAACACAUGAAUUUAGGGUUACAAAAUAGAGGCAUGGAUAGAUCAGGAUCUUAACUUUUCACUUGGUCCAAAGUUUAAAGAAGGAGAAUGGAAUUAUGUCAAAUUCUUCAACGUUGUCAAUGCGUUCGGAUCUUUCAGAAAUACUAUAAACUACCACAUCAUCAACAGGAACGCCGAUACUAUUGUAAACAAGACCUUUCAAGUCAAUCCUAAGCAUAUGAUGGAUUUUAUGCCAUUUGAUGCCAUUAUCUGAGGGAAUUUCUCUACUGAGUACUCUAUCGGUUAGGCUUCUCACUUUUAUUCAAUUUAAGAAUUGUUAUAAAUAUUGUGUAAUGAAAAUUUUUCUUUGUAGACUUGAUCGGCGUAAUCAUCUAUGUUGAUGAUGAACUAAGUACUGAUAUUGAUGACCCAUACGAGAUGAUUUUUGGACCUUCUCACAAAUUGGACAUUCAAAUAAGAGACAUGAAGUAAGAUGUUUUAUAUUAUCAUCUAUAUAUGUAAAUGCCAAUAAUUUGUCUUAUGUUGUACAUAUGUAUUUUUGUUAAUGUUGUUGUAAUAUAAUUUGAUAUGGACAUCAAACUCAUUGGGAAGACUGCUCUGGAUUUCUAGAAGAAGUGAGAAAACAUAUGUACUUAUGAAACAGUCUUGAUUUUGCGCAUGUUUCGUCUGACCUAUGAUUCUGAAGGUUAGUAAUUAAAUAUUAUAAUCGAGUGGAAACAUUCAUUCCCACUUUGUUAAUAUGAUAAUUUGGCUUCUAACAUGUGUGCCCUUUAUAUUUUAAAAUCAUACAGGAAAAUAUCGCAUAAAGAAUGAUGGACACCAUUCUGAAAUACUUUUCAAUCCUCACAUAAAUGAGGUUUCUGAUUUUCUUGACUGGUAAUUUUUCUAAUUGGUAUUAAUAUAUAUAAUAUGUUUUAAGGUUUAUUUUAAUCUUUUUUACAAUAGUUAACUUGAAAUUAUUUAUGGUCAGGCUUCCUUUUAUUGAUAUCCAAGGAGAUCCGAGCUGGCCAUAAGUUUAAUCCCUCUUAUGUACCUAUAUUUUCUCGUAACUGUUAAACAUUCCCAUUAUGUAAUAUUUUCCCAUAAAACUGGGAUGGAGUUGAACAUAUUUUCGUAUAUUUGUAAUGAAAUAUUUAGUAUUUAUUUAUAGUAAUGUUUAAUUGCCAAUUAAUAUCAUUUUAUUUAUUGUUUAUAUAUAUUACAUGUAUAUAUGUAUAGUUUGGAUAUAGCAUAUACAAUCUAUAUAUAGAAUCCAUUUGAUUUUAGAAAGGUUACUUCCUUUAUAGACAUUUUCUUCCAUCGAAUAUUGUACAUUUCCAUAAUAAUAAGACAUUGUCAAAUUAUACUACUACAAUAUAGUAACGACCAUUUUUCAUAUUAUGCCAAUUUUAGUACCAUAACAAUUUAUGUAAGUAGACUUCGACAUUACAUUUAUUGCGAACCUUUAUAAAUUUCUUUAUUUAUAAUUAUGCCAAACGAUGCAACUAUAACGCUUUUUAGGCAAUUUCAUCUAAUGCUCACUAUUGAUCUUUUUUUUUUUGGUCGAUGCUCACUAUUGAUCUAUUAAAAACUUUACGUGUAAGAGUAAAUUGAAAUUAAUUCUGAUUGACGUUUUCAUUUCAGUGUUGAAAACUGACGUCAAGCUUUUCUCAUAACAUUUAGAGUUGAGUGUCAAAUAUUAUAUAAAUUAUCAAUGUUUUAAUGUUUGUGGAUUAUAAUUAAUGUAGCAGAUGAGCUUAUAAUCUUACGAAUCAAUUCACACAUAUGAGAAAGUGAUUUGGGAAAAUAAUUCAUUUUUAUUUGAAUCAAGAUAAUACAACUUAUUGUAGCAAAAAAGAGAGAUAAUUAAGGUACAAAAAAACAAAAACAAAAAAACAGAGAUAAUUUUAGCUAAACUCCAAAGUUUCUCCUUCCACGUUUAUUCUUAUGUGCCUAUAAGAUUCAAAAACAUAUAAUGUUGUUAACUUCAAACAUAUUAGUUAAACAAAUCAAUGUAUUAAUGGAAUAUUAACAGCUUACCCACUCCGAUGUAUCUAGGUAGCGAAUCUCUCUCUUAACGAAGCCGCAUUCUAUACAUUUCAAACCUAUCUCCAGAUCUAGAUGGAGAUCGUGUUUUCCUUUCUUGCAACGUUCAUUUGGAUCAUCAGUCGAUAUUUCUUCAUCAAGCUGCAGAUAUUACAUAGUGAUAUAAACAUACAAUAAUACAGAAAUCAUCAAUAAAACCGAAUAAUUUAAAGUUUAAAUUAUCUCAGAAAGAACCUCGAUGGCAUUCGCAGUUGAUUUGCUCAGAAAAUCAUUCAUCUCUUCCCACUUAUUAGUUUCCUCCAUCUCUGAUUCAGAAAUUGGAGGAGGUGAUGGUGGUUCUUCCACACCAAAUCUCAUGUUCGAUGGUGGUGGAUUAAUUCUCAGUAAUCCGUUUUCAUCAUAACGUUUUUCUUGGUGAUUCUCCAUUUUUGUCUAAUCUCUUAUCAGGCGUUUAGGGUUGCAGAGAAAAUUUAAGAAGUAUGUUUAUAAUCGAAGCAACUCUUAUUUUAUAUAGGAUAAGGUAGUUAAAAAAUAUUCAAUGUCACCAAAUUUCUAUGUUUUCUUAGGAAUACUGUUUCAACCAACCAGUUUAGCUUUUUAACUUUCGUUUUUGAUAUAUAGACAUAAUAUUUACACAAGUCUUCUGCGUCCAACUCACACAACUUAGCUGAAACAAAAAUAUUGAAAAGUUUGGAUUUUCCUCUUUACAGUUUGAUUUAAACCGCAAUAUAUGGUAACAUAAUAUUGUCUCUGAUAAUUUCGAACUAAUAUUCUUAUGAAGCAAUUAUGUAUAAAUUGAAUUAUCUAACCAUAUAUUCGAGAUUUUUAUAAAUAUUGUAUGAAGGAUAUUUAUAUAUUGUUGUUACUUUAUAAAACCAGAUGCAUAUUUCAAUCUUUAAUGUAUUUGUAUAUUCGUGUAUAUCCUAUUUAAUCCAUCUAUAUAUUCACAUCAUACUUUUGUGAACUGCAACUUCAUUUGUUACACUGAAUAAAAAAUCUCAAUAUUCUCCAUUUCUACUGCUAUGAACAGGAUAGGUAAACCUUAUGCGUCCAACUUUAAUCUAUUAAGAAUCCUUUUGAAUAACUAUAGACAUUUACCCUUUAUAUUUUAUUAUCAGACAUUAUUUGUUUCCUUUUAACUGUUUUAACAAAUUCUUUAUGAUUGUUUUCAGAAAUUAUUUAAUUUCAUCUACCAAGAACAAAUUCUUCCAAGCGAAACAAGGUCGACAAAGUAAUGAAAAAUACAAAAUUUAUUGCUUGGAUGGAGUGUAACAAGAUAUACGCAACUGCCAGAUUCCUACUCUACACUGAAUUAUCUCAUCAAUUUGUAUGGAAUGUCACAUUGCAUGAGUGGAGGUCACGGGUGAAGGGUUCAGGAAAUCCAACUAUUCUUCAACAGUAUUCAAUUUAUGAUGAGUAGAAUUUUUAUUUGGGUGUCUGUUGAAUAUCAUUAGAGGUCCUCGCAGUUAUGAAGAUAUCCGAACAUUUAAUGGUGUUGUAUACGACACCUUCAGAAAAGUUUGCUAUGCAAGGGGCUUAUUCCCGAUCAAUUAGAUUUAUAUAUCUUUCUUAAUUUUAGUUUUAAAACUGCAUGUUGAAUCUUUAUUUCAAUAAGUUACUUUCAUUUUGUUGUUUUUAAUCAUCUUCAUUUUUUACAGUACUUUUUAUGUUGAAUAUAUGAUAUACUAAGGUAAAUCAUCUACUAAAUACUACAUUUGCAACCGUGACAUAUUACAUGAUUAAUACAAGAGUCAACCAAUUAACAUUUUAUAAAAUAUAGCAUAACUUAUAAUUUAUAAUUUAUUGAAUAAACUAUUAUCAUUGUAAGUUUAAAGUAUUGUUGAUGCGGAUUAAUCGUAACUUAAUUGUUAAUAUGAUAAAUUAUACCUCAAAUUUUGGAAAUCUCUGAUAAAAUUAAACAACUUUUUAAAUUUCAAUUUAAACUGAACUACAUAAUAUAGACAAAUGCGAUUUUUUGUUAUUUUAGAUAAUUGCAAAAGAGAAAUAAUAAAUCUAACAAUCCUAGAAAUUAGGAAAAUCGUUGUAGUUCAAAUUAAAAAUUCCCAAUUAAAAGUUUUAUAUUUUUUACACAAUAUUGGAUCUCAUUCGAGGUAAAUAACAAUUUUUUACAUAAUUAGAGUUUUUUUCUUAAAAUUCCAUUCAAUAAUAAAAAAUCUACUAUAGCAAAAACUUAUUGAAAACGGUAUACAUUUCUGUUUACCUACUGAACAAAAUUACUUAUAUCUCACUCUACAAAAAGUACAUUGUCAAUACUCUAUCCACAAUUUGAUAUAAAGUAUUAACAGUAUACUUCAUGUUGAAAGUGAGCAUUCACAAGUAAUAUAAUUACAAUAACUCUGUGGCGACACAAUGAAUAAAAUUACUUCUUCUGAUGUGAUUCAUCACAGAUACACAAGAAAUAUUAUGUAGGAAAACAUGUAUUUUUAUUUCAUGUAAACAUAAUUUUUGUACGUCUGUGAGUGGAUCACAUCAGAAGAAUAAUUAUAGUAUGGGUUGUGUUUGAGUGAGUUAUUGUUUGCUUGGUUAAUUGAUCAAAAUUCUAUUCUGAUGUGUAUUUAUAGAAUUCUUAGAGCACGUCCAGUGGGGGUUCGUCCAUGGGUUCAUAACUCAUUUUAGAAUUAAAAAAAAUGUUUAAUGAGCUAUUUAUGAAGACUCGGUUCAUCCCAAAGAGUCUAAUGAACCUCAUUUGCUGACGUGGCAAUUUUUUAGUGGUUGAACCUUCAUUUUUCUUUUUCCACCUCUUCUCUUUCUUAAAAAAAAUCAUUUUUUCUUUUAUUUUGCAACUUCUCUCCUCUCUCUUGUUCAGAAUUUUAUUAAUUUAAUAUUUAGGAUGAACUUUAUGAAAAGUUCACCAAUGGACAUGGUCUUAAAGAGUGACUCCUCAUUUUUCUUCCCUGUGUUUCAUAUUCCCCAAAAGUCAUUGAUAAUUAAAACAUAUUAAACAACAUUUGACUGAUAUAUCACAAAUUCCGAAAGAAGAUAAAUUUCGAAAUAAAUGAAUACAUCUUCGCAUAUAAUCUAUAAAAUAUGUUCAUAAAUGUCACAUUUCGAUGCCUAACUUAAAAACAUAAAAUUAAUGUAUAUAUUCAUAAUUACAAGUAUUUUUUUAUCUACACUUUCUUCAUUAUACAUAACUAAUUAUAAUUACGUAGAAUUUAUAACUGCAAAUAUGAGCCAAUUUUAAGACACAAUCCAAUUCUUAUACUAAUAACAUACCAUUCGACCCAAAAUUAGUAACAUUGUAUCCACACACACUGUAAAUUAUCAAUAUUAUAAAAUUCGACCCAAUAAAUUUAACAAUAUACCUAAUAAAAUUAAAAUUUCAAAAAACGUUCAAGCCCGCACAUGUGUGCGGGCCAGUAUCCUAGUGCCUAGAAAAUACAAACAAGUGUGGGUAUAGAAACGUGAUACAUAGUGAUUAUGUUCCUUUCAUAUGGUGAUGUACUUAUAUUUCCUUUUAGUAUGCUCUAUAUUGCUAAGUGAAAACAGGGAGAUUGUGGAAUUUAGUUGCAUAUUUAUUUCCUUUUUAAGUGUCCAAUUGCCUUUUGAUUUCGUUUAUUUAUUGCGGGUAAAAACAACCAAAACCAUUCAGUUUUAGCUAGAUCUACUCUCGGAAAUAUUACAUGUAACAUUUGGUCCUUGUUGUUCGACCUAUCGUUCUACUACCAUGACAAAAUAAUUGUACACUUGCGGUUUAGUAAAUUGGUAUUUAAAAUUGACCGCACUUUUUCCAGGGACUAGCUGUUUCACCAUUGGGUUAAAGACUACAGUUGAACAUAUGACAAGUUUUUCUUGUUUCCCCUUUGACACAAAAUAUAUAUAUAUAUAUAUAUAUAUUUUGUUAUAUUUUUGUUACUUUGCUUAAUCGCUCCAAGUUUUCCCUAAUUGGCCUUUCAGCUGCAUGACUAUAAAUCCUUAUACCAUGAGGGUCUGACCUUUCACCGUUUGAAAGAUAAUAGAAAGGAGAGCGAUUAGCACGUUUGGAGAGAGAGACAAUAGAUAAUCAGAAACCAAAAUUGGAGAGUUCAAGUUUGAACAGUUUCUAAGUAACUUGGGUGCCAGUGUGAGUUUGAUGUCCCUGGAUGUGUCAAAAGGUCUUGGGAUAAUAGAUUUCAAGUCAUCAAAGAUCACUCUGGUUUUUGUUAAUCGCUCGGUUGGUUACCCAAUGGGUCUACUUGGGGAUCUACUAGUCAGGGUUGGAAACCGCUAUACUCCUAGAGCAUUCAUUUUGUCAUAGUUACAUAAAGAGCUACAUGAACAGAUGAAGGUGUAGCUGUAGUUGAAGCAGUUGCUGUACCAGAUGAAGUGAAGGAUGGAAUUCCACAAACAUGAAGUACGUGACAAGCGAAGCAUUUGGAAUGAGGAGCUGGACGAGUAGCUGAGCUGGACCAGUAGGAAUGGGAGUCUUGGAAAGAAAGCAAAGCUGGAUGGGAAUAAAGGAGCAGAUCAGGAAGAAUGGAAGAUUUUACUUAAACAUGUAAAAGUUUAAGGAAAUAGGAAAUAUGCACCAAGCGACAAAAAUGGAAGCUGUGGUGUAGGGUUUUCGGCGUGUAUAGCCGCUUAGUCUACUAGGUAUAAGUAGACGUGUUGAACCAUUGUAAAAGCUUAACACAACUACUAGAGAGCACUUAGCAUAAGGGUGAGAGAUUCGAGUAUUAGGGUCUGCAUCAAGGGUUAAGGGUUUUUCUAGGGGAGUUCUGAGAUCAAGUACAGCUCGAAGAACAGAGAGAGCUAGAGCGACAGAUCAAGGUGUGUCUUGAGUCUGUUCUAAAUCGUUUUACAAACUUGUAAGGUGUGUUAACAGAUUUACUAGUAAUAAAGUUCAGUUAAAGGAAAAACUUUGUGUUAAGUUGUGUUGUUGUUCUUGAACUAAGACUCUUGCAUUUACAAUUGGUAUCAGAGCGGUCAUCUGUAACUUGCAAACAGGUGAGGUCAUGCGGAGAUGGAGAAUUAUCAAGAACUUGUGAGCAGUUCAAACGUAAUUUUGAAUGCUGGAAACUACGGCUUCUGGAAAGCGAGGAUGCGUUCACUCAUAAUAGGAAUUGAUCCUUUGGUAUGGAAGUCGGUCCUGGUUAAGUGGGAAGAACCAAAGAAGAAGAACGAUGCUGGAUCUGAUGAGCCUAAAUCUGAAGAAGAAUGGACCGAGGAAGAAAGAAAAAGGUUCAAAUACAAUUCAAAGGCGUUGACGGCUAUUCACUGUAGCAUAUCAGCUGAGACCUUUAAACUAAUUCAGGGAUGUGAGACAGCCAAAGAAGCUUGGGACAUACUGCAGAUACAGUUUGAAGGAACGACAAAAGUGCAAAACUCGAAGAAGGACAUGUUGGCUUCACGAUUUGAGAACCUGUAGAUGGAAGAACAUGAAACCAUUGCCGACUUCAGCUCCGAGUUGAGUUCUCUGGCUCAAGAGGCUACAACUCUUGGGAAGCACUACAAAGACAAAAAACUGGUGAAGAAGUUCGUAAGGUGUCUUCCUUCAAGGUUCAUGGGGUACAAGUCAGCUCUGAGUGUGAACCAGGAUACUGAAUAUCUAAGCUUUGUAGAGAUUGUUGGGAUGCUACAGGCUCAUGAGAUGAAACUUGAUGGUGUGAAGAACCAGAAAGGAUUGGCGCUGUCAUCUGUUCUCGAGACCAAGUCAUCAGAGGAAGAAAAGUGUGAGGAUGCAUUAGGGCUACUGGUGAGGAGGUUUGACAAGGCUCUAAGACGAGCUGAGAAGUCAUAUGGUCAGAAAAAAGGUUGUACCUGCCAAACGAACAAAGGAAACCAGUGAAAGAAGGGGUGAUGUUCAAUGCUACGAGUGCAAAGGGGUCGGACACUUCAAGACUGAAUGUCCUACUAUUAAGAGAAGGUAGAUUCAGUGCUUCGGAUGCAAGUGUUUUGGUUAUACACAAUUGGAAUGUGUGAAUGAUCAAAACCGCAGGAAGGAAAGAUCCAUGCUGGCAGAAGAAGAUACUGAAAAUGACAGUGAUGAAGACACUGUGGAGGAAGUAAACAACUUUGUCUCAUUCAUUGGCAUUGCAGAAUUCGAUGAGAGUAUGGUUGCUUCAGAUGCUGAGUCAGAAGUUGGGGCUGAUGAUGAGCUGAGUGAAAGCUACAAAGAGGUUCGUGAGACUCUGAUCAAGAUUGGCAAGGAAAACACUGACUUAAAGAAAGAGAAUCUUUGAGUUGAAGCAAGAGUGGAGGAGCUGCAGAGAGAACUGAAAGCUGCUCAGAAACUGAGUCAAGAAAGUGUUGCGCUGAUAAAAGAGAAGCUGAACUUGGCAAAGAAGGCAGAGCAACUGGAGCAUGAUCUAAGUCAGGAGAAAGGGAUUUCCAACAACCUGAUGGGUGAGCUCAUUGAGCAACGUAAGAAGAUUCAUAUGUUUGCUGGAACUAAACAGCUUGAUCAGAUCUUGAGCCAUGAAAGGAGGUAUGAUGUGCGUAGAGGAUUGGGAUACGAUGCUUGAACCAUGGUAGAAACAGGUACUACAAAGUUUGUCUCAGGAGGUACAACUAAGCCACAAGAUCUGAUCAAGCUGAAAAGCUGUGGAUGAAGUCGGAAAGGUCAUCCUGCGAGGAAUCAGAUCUAGGAACAACUGUUAUAUAUGGGAUUCCUCUUGCAAAGAAGAAAAGUGCUUCACAGCACGUGAUGAUCUACAUCCGUGGCAUCAACGAUUGGGACACAUGAACAUCACGAAUCUUGCCAAUCUUGUCGACAAAGAAAUUGUCAGAGGAGUGCCUAAAGUCAAGGGAGUUGAUAACUCGGUGUGUGGACCUUGCACUCAAGGCAAGCAAGUUAAAGUGCAACACAAGAGAGUACCUGAUGUACAGUCAAAAGCAGUUCUUGAUCUAGUCCAUAUGGAUCUAAUGAGACCAGUACAAACCGAGAGUUUGGGUGGCAAGCGCUAUGUGUUCGUCCUUGUGGAUGACUUCUCUAGGUACACCUGGGUUAGGUUCCUUUGAGAAAAAUCUGAGACAGCUGAGAGCUUCAGAAUAUGGGCGCUGCAACUCUUGAAUCAGCGCGGUAGAAUAAAGAAUAUCCGGAGUAAUCGUGGCGGCGAGUUUCAGAAUGAAUUCAUGAAACUUUUCUGUGAAAGUCAUAGCAUUGCUCAUCAGUUCUCAGCACCUAGGACACCACAGCAGAACGGGGUUGUAGAAUGGAAUAACAGAACACUACAGGAGAUGGCACGAGCAAUGAUGCAUGGGAACCAAGUGUCAAAGAAGUUCUGGGCUGAAGCAGUCAAUACGGCUUGCUACAUCAUAAACCGAGUCUACGUCAGAAAGGGAACCAGUAAGACACCUUAUGACUAUGGAAAGGGAAAACCCCUAACUUGAGUUACUUUCAUGUCUUUGGUUGCAGGUGCUACAUCCUUAAUGACAAAUACUAUCUUGGGAAGUUUGACUCAAGAAGCGAUGAAGGGAUGUUUUUGGGAUACUCGGGAAAUAGCACUGCAUUCAGGGUCUUCAACAUCAGGUCAAAAGUACUGAUCGAGUCAGUGAACAUGGUGUUUGAUGACUAUGCUCGUACCAAGUGGGAAGGAACUGCUACUGGCAGUGACUCGGACGAAGAAGAAGAAAAUCAACCAGCAGCUCCCACUGGAGAAGGUGAUCAAGCAGUUGUGGUUCCAACAUCUGAUGUUCAGCAAGUUCACAGGAAUCACUCACCUUCGAAUCUCAUUGGUGAUGUGAAUGAAGGAAGAAGGACUUGUGGAGUUCAGUUGGACUUCAAAAAGAUGGUUGGGAAAUUCUCGGAGAUGGUUCUAUUUGCAUGCUUUGUCUCUGUCAUUGAACCCCGAGACGUGAGACAGGCACUUGGUGAUGAAUUCUGGAUCAUUGCCAUGGAACAAGAACUAGAGCAGUUCGUGCGUAAUUAUGUGUGGAAACUUGUCCCAAGACCCCUUGAAGGCAAUGUGGUGGGAACAAAGUGGAUCUUCAAGAACAAAAUCGAUGAGAAUGGGGUUGUGGUUCGCAACAAAGCAAGGCUAGUUGCACAAGGGUUUUCACAAGUCGAGGGAGUCAACUUCGAAGAGACGUUUACCCCUGUAGCAAGACUUGAAUCAAUCAGACUGUUCUUGGGGAUGGCCUGUAUCCUAAACUUUAGGGUAUAUCAGAUAGAUGUCAAAAGUGCAUUUCUUAAUGGAGUGCUCCAAGAAGAAGUGUAUGUGGAACAGCCAAAAGGGCUCAAAGAUGCUCAGUAUCCACAACAUGUGUACAAGUUGAAGAAGGCGCUUUAUGGCUUGAAGCAGGCUCCACGAGCGUGGUAUGAGAGACUCACUGGAUUUCUGGUUGAACAAGGAUAUGUUAGAGGAAGUGUUGACACGAUCUUGUUCAUCUAUGAGCAGAAUGGGCAGAUCAUAAUUGUGCAAAUCUACGUGGAUGACAUUAUCUUUGGAGGAACUGCUCAGUCACUUGUGGAUCGAUUUGUCACAAGCAUGACUCAAGAGUUUGAAAUGAGCAUGGUUGGUGAACUGCGGUACUUCCUGGGUUUGCAAAUAACUCAGUCUGAAGAUGGGGUCUUUAUCUCACAAAGCACCUAUGCGAAGAACUUACUUACAUGAUUCAAGCUUGAUCAGUGUAAGGAAGCUAAUACUCCAAUGAGUACUACAGCCAAGCUCACUUGGGAUUAAGAUGGAACAGAUGUUGACCCCACAGUUAUCUAGGGAUGAUUGGAAGCUUGUUGUAUCUCACAGCAAGUAGACCAGACUUUUCCCUAAGUGUGGGCAUCUGUGCUCGAUAUCAGGCGAAACCCAAGCAAUCACAUCUUGAAGCAGUGAAGAGAAUCAUCAAGUAUGUCAAAGGGACAGUCAAGUUGGGAAUCUGGUACUCCAAAAGAUCGAACAAGCACUUGGUGGGAUACUGUGACGCAGGAAGUGCAGAUGAUCGGAAAAGCACAAGUGGAGGUUGUUUCUUUCUUGGGAACUAUCUAAUCUCGUUGUAGAGUAAGAAAUAGAACUCUGUCUCACUGUCUACUGCAAAGGCCGAAUACAUUGCUAUGGGGAGCUGCUGCAGUCAACUGUUGUGGAUGAAGCAGAUGUCCGCAGACUAUGAGAUGGAUUCUGGGCCACUACUGGUUCACUGUGACAACAAAAAUGCUAUCAGUAUUUCAAGGAAUCUGGUGCAGCAUUCUAGGACCAAACACAUCAAUAUAAAGCACCACUUCAUUCGUGAGCUAGUGGAGGAGAUACAGGUAGUGAUAGAACACAUUGUCACUGAUUUGCAACUGGCUGAUUUAUUCACAAAACCCCUGGAUUUUAAUCGUUUUGUCACCUUAAGAAACUCGAUUGGGGUUUGUAGUAUGUGAUUUUUUGUGAAGUGUGCAGGACUGAUGCAAAAACUGACUCGAGGGGACACUCAAGGUUUAGAUUCAGUCUGGAGUCAUGGAUCUAGUGGAAAAGAGCUAUCUCAACAACCGUCGUACCUUAACGACAGUACAGGUUUCAUGGAGUAGAAGGGAAGCUGAGCUAGUUUCGGAGAAGUCAAGUGAUGAAACUAGCUCAUUGCACUCAAACCAGAAAGGGAGGAAUGAAUAAAUAAAAAAAAUUUAAAAAAAGGAGGGGCUGCUUGCAAUUAAAAUUAGUUGAUCCCCUCAAAAGGUAGAUCCUCCCCUGGUACUGAAAGCUUCCUUCACCCGUGAAUAAAGGUUGAAAACUAGAAAAUGGGUCGAUAAAGGUAGUUGGGUGUGAAAGCUAGCCCGUGAAUCAGGAUGGCCAGACUCUUAUGAAUCAUAACAAGCUGAAGGUGUCUCGUGAGUCAGAGGCUGUGUCUAGUUCCGGUGCACUUCAAAGAAAAUGGUAAAAAUAUGUACAAAGCAUUGUUUUCAAAGCCAGCGCAUAGGUGAUAGUUCAAUUGUCACUAUUUGUUCUCUAUCAUCGGCUUAUGUGUGAAAGUGUCCGUGAAUAUUGAUGGUCUAAUGCGUGCGUGUUUGAUUCAGUAUGUGUUCGAGUGCUUUUGUCACGUGUGAAACAGGAAAGUGGGCAGGGAAUUUCGAGGCCUUGAUGAGUUUGUGAAAACAUCUGUGAGAUGGGCUUGUUGCGAGAGAACAGCCCACAAAAGACAAUGGAAAUUGAAAAGACGUGGGAAAAUAGAAAGUGGGGGAGUUAUUUACGGGGAGUGGGGAUCCGAAAAAUCAGCACCACUUCCUGUUUUAAACCCUAAUUAUCUUCCUACAAAAGGCGAAUCACAAAGAGAGACAUCAAUGGUGAGAGGAACUCGAAGGGGGCUAAUUGGUGUCCGAUCUAAAGCACAGAUGACGCAUGCAGAUGGCGAUGCUCAGAGGCCUCAUCUAAUCGAUGAGCACAGUGGCGAGAGUAUGAAUCCAACUGAGGCGGUUCCUGAUCAAAAUCCCGCGGCAUCCAUUGGUCCAGCAGAUAGUGCAGGCUCUUUUGCCACCGCAAAUGAUGGAGAUGCGCAGAGUGGAUCGUCGGCGAACCCUAAAGAGAAGGCGGAUGGCGGAGAAACCAAGGCCAACUCGGAGGUUACCCAGAAAAUCAAGAAUGACGAGGAAGAGGCUGACGGUGGCGAGAGCAAAAAAGCUGUUGAGGUGAAUCUCUCUGUGCCACAAGAAUCGGCGAAUCCGACCGCCGAUCCGGUUCUGAUCACAAUGACUCAAGAGGAGGCGACAGCAUCUCCCGCUGAAGCAUCACCUACCUCGAUCUCCGUGAAAGAGCAAGCUGCAAAAGUCGAACGCAAAAGAAAUACAAUGAAGGCUUUGGGACUUCCAGCUCCGUCAAAGAAACCCAAAAGUGAGCCGUCUCCAGUUCCAAAAGCAGAACCGGAGCCAGUCCCUGACUCGGUGCCAUGAAAGCGGACCAAAAAGGCUCGAUCUCGCAAAGAACAGCCGUCUCCUGAUCAAGCAAGGUAUGAUCACUUUGCUACACGACAACUUUGGUGUGAGAGAACUGUCGAUGUAGGUGAAACAGAUGAAUGGGGAUACAUCAAAGUGAAUAGAGACAGCGGUUUAGAAUCAGCGGUUGUAGGGAUCACUUUGUAUGUACCGCAAGUGAUUCAGGAGUUCUAUGCUGGGCUUCCGGGUGAGCUACCCUCUGAUCCAGAUCAAGAGAUUCGUGUCAAGCUGAGGGGUUUUGAGUAUUGCUUCUCUCCUGCGUGGAUCAAUCGGGUCCUCAAUCUGACUCCACUUAGCGAGGCUGAAGUUCACGAUGAGUCAGUUGCUGAAGCAGUCUCUCUGUCUGAUAUUGCCAAACACUUGUCGAAAGGAGGAAGUGGUUGGAGUGGGCUGAGCACGAGGAAUCUCCCACCGGUUUUUGCUUCAUUGAUUGUUAUUGCGGCGUACAACUGGAUUCACUCAACCAACAAGAAUCACAUUUCUGAGGAGCGUGCUCGCCUGCUGUACAAGCUGAGUCAUGGUGUGAGGGUGGACUUCGGAAGGCUGGCUUUCAAACAUAUUAUUCUAAUGAGCAAGAUCAUCAAAAAAGACACUCACUGGCUGGUAUUCCCGUGUUUGAUACAGAAGAUUAUGAACCUUCAACACGAGCCUUAGCUGGGUCAAGGAGAGACUCACAUUGUCCCAUUUUGAUACAAAAAAGACUCACGCAGUGGUGAGGAGUUCAUCAAGAAAGAGGCCGCAGCUGCAAAGAAGGAUAAGAAGAAAGGGAAGCAAAGGGCUGAUGCACCGAGAUCUCCAACUCCUCCACCUCAGUCGUCUCAACAGCAACCUGAGCCAUCACCGAGUGUGCCACUUCGGUCCUUCCGCUCACCACCUCCUGAUGCAUCCUUCAGGUCAUCCGACUCUGCUCCUGGUCGGACUCAAAGUGCUCCUCUCGGAGUGAUUUGUGUUCCUUUGGCACCAGAAAGUGCUAAUGAAGUCACAUUGGCCUUAUGGGAUGUGAGUCGUGUGCUUAACCAUCUCCACGGAAUAGUCAACAUGGUGAUUGACUCAUUUGCAAGUAAGUUUUCUGACUCUGACUUGUUUCUUAUUUUAGGUAUUGAUCCCUGUUUUUACUUUCGGUGAUCACAAGCAGGAGGAGAAAACAUGUGGGAAGAAAUUCUACGAGAUGAUGCAGGAGAUGAUGCGGGUGCUUAAAUUGUGGGGGAGUUUGUGUAAUAAUCUAGUUUCUUGUUUCUGAAUUAGGCUAAGUUUGUGGGGGAACGUGUAUUUUGCUCUGAAAACUCUUGUUCGCAGCAUUUGAUUCAAGACUCUGUGUUUGACGUUUUCUUUUCAUAUGAAAUGCGUUCUGUUUGUCUUGGUACUUGGUUGGUCUGUGGUUGUUUGUGUGCUAUGUCUGAAAACAGGUGCUUCUGAGUCACACGAAGCUAAAAUGGGGGAGAUUGAAGGUGUAGCUGUACUUGAAGCAGUUGCUGUACCAGAUGAAGUGAAGGAUGGAAUGCCACAAGCAUGAAGUACGUGACAAGCGAAGCAUUUGGAAUGAUGAGCUGGACGAGUAGCUGAGCUGGACCAGUAGGAAUGGGAGUAUUGGAAAGAAAGCAAAGCUGGAUGAGAAUAAAGGAGCAGAUCAGGAAGAAUGGAAGAUUUUCUUAAACAUGCAAAAGUUUAAAGAAAUAGGAAAUAUGCACCAAGCGACAAAAAUGGAAGCUGUGGUGUAGGGUUUUCGGCGUGUAUAGCAGCUUAGUCUACUAGGUAUAAGUAGACUUGAAGCAUUGUAUAAGCUUAACACAACUACUAGAGAGCACUUAGCAUAAGGGUGAGAGAUUCGAGUAUUAGGGUAUGCAUCAAGGGUUAAAGGUUUUUCUAGGGGAGUUCUGAGAUCAAGUACAGAUCGAAGAACAGAGAGAGCUAGAGCGACAGAUCAAGGUGUGUCUUGAGUCUGUUCUAAAUCGUGUUACAAAUUUGUAAGGUGUGUUAACAGAUUUACUAGCAAUAAAGUUCAGUUAAAGGAAAAACUUUAUGUUAAGUUGUGAUGUUGUUUUUGAACUAAAACUCUUGCGUUUACAACAAGUUCCUCUAGGCUCAGCUAAACCAAUUCUCUUUACUUAGUUGUUUUUAGUAGUUGAUCUCGACUGGGUGAAAACCGACCCUAACACUUUCCUUGAGUUUGUCUUGAGGAGAACCAUGUUCUCAGUCCAUCCUCAUAUCUCCUAUCUCCAUUACUUUGAAUCAAACAUAUAGUUGAUUUCUGAUAUUGUUGUCGAUUAGCUUGAUGAGUUGGUACUUUUUCGAAGGUUUCUCCCAAGUCAACAACGUUUCCCCACUCGCAUAAAAACUAAUCUUUCAAUAGUCUCGUUACCAAACCAUCCCAACCUAAUUCAGGUUUGGCUUAUCAUAUAAAUUACAUCCAUUUUUGAACUGUCAAAACCUAAUUUAGGGAAUUUCAGUAAUAAUAUAUAGUUUUUUGGUGUGUCAAAUCAUAUGAGAGAACCUUUACGAUAUAUAUGUUUUAACCAAGAGUGAUCCCGAUAUUUACCACUCAACUAAUCCAACAAUUCCCAAGGGACGAGUGUAGCCGUGAAGUAAUUCAUUCACAAUUUUUUUUUUUUUACAUCUAAUUCACCUUUAUUAGUUAUCAAAAUUACAAUCGUUAAUUACAGUACACUACAAGAAAACAGCAGGUAUUCCUACGAAAGAUAUCAUCAGAAAAUGGUAGGAAACAGGCAUUUUCUACCAAUUUCCGACGAAAAUGUUUUGGUAAGUUCUAUGCCGUCGGAAAUUAUAAAUGGUCAGAAAAUGAUAGGAAAUUUCCUACGAAAUUUUUGGUCGGAAAAUUUCAUCGGAAAAUUUGGUCAGAAUAUCGUAGGGCAUUUGCUACUAUUUUCCUUCCAUUUUCUUUUGAAAAAAUCCAACCCUUUUCCUACGAACAGUUUUCUAUCAUAUUCCUACCAUUUUCUUACUAGCUAUAUAAAAAAAUUUUAAUUCAAUUAAUUACAAAAUUAAAUAAUUUCAAUUAUUAAACAAAUUAUAAAAAUUAAAUCCAAAAUUAAUCAACCUAAUUAAAAACUAAUUAGAAAUUAAUUAUAACUAAAUAUGGAACUUCUAAAGCCCAAAUUAUUUUUAUUGACUCAGUAUUUUUUAUACUUAAAGCAUGUGUCUAUUUAUAGAGUCUUUUCAGCAUCACCUGCUUGGUCGAUGUGGGAUUUUUCCCAUUUUCCUUUUUGACUGAUUUUGGUAGGAAAUUGAUAGGAUAUUUAAAUAAUAAAAUAUUUAUUUUUCGUAGGAAAUUGAUAGGUAAUUUCUUACAUAUUAUAUUCGUAGAUAAGUGGUCAAAAAUUUCUGACAAAUUUCCUACCAUUAUUACAGUAAAUUUUUUCCACCGAUUUCCUUCCAUUUUCUGAUCAGAUUUCCUACGGAUAUUUUUUUGGUUGAAUAUUGGUAGGAAAAUUUUGACCAUUUUCUGACGAUUUUUAUCGUAGAAACUUUUCUUCCAAUUUCCUACCACUUUUAUUUUUUGUCAUAAAUUCGUAGGAAAAUGAUAAAAAAAAAUUUCUACCAAAAUUUACGUAGAAAAAUUUAUAGGAAUUCAACAUGUUUUCUUGUAGUGGUAUGUUGGAGGAAUCGAGGACAAGUGUGGUACAAUGACCAUUGAGUAUUACAUAAUAAUGCUUGUUUAGCCAACAUAUCUGCCCAUUGAUUUGCUUCUCGGUGUCGAAAGGUGAAGCUCACUUCAGCGAACAUUUUUUCCAGCUUUUGAUAGCCUCUAUGUAAUGGUGGAGACGCAAAUUAUUUCCUUGCCCAUUGAUGAGUCGGAUAAUGGUUAGAUUAUCUCCUUCAAAUUCCACUUUUUGAAGGAAUAUUUUCAUAUUUUCAUUCACAAUAUUUUCUAAUGGGUCUAAAAAAUGGCACCAUUUCAAUUCGUCAAAUGAAAAUGGUUAGAUAAUUAUAAGUUUGUUGAGAAUUCUUUCUUUAUGGUACUUUGAUAUAUUUAGUGAACUUUGCAAGUAUUGUGUAUGAAUAACCUCAGUAGAGUUUCUUUAGGUUCUCGUUGUACUAUUAAGAAAACAAAAUUUCUCAUCGUGAACUUUGCAAUUUGUGAAUAUUUAGUUUAAAUAUUUUUUCUUUUUUGUAAGACCCUAGAGUACGAAUAAUUAAAUUGCAGUAAUAUAAAAAAACCAAAGACAAUAACAUAAAGUACAGACGAUUUUAUUAUGCAAAGAGUGAAGAUUACAACUCGAACACAGAGACAUACAUUAUUAAGUUUAUUCUCAUAGUUUCUUUUCUUAAACUUGAGUCACUUCAUUACAAAUGCACCAAUGUUUACUUAGAGUCAUACACACGUAUGUGCAUAUAUGAGACUUAAAAGUAUAUUUCAUAGAUUUUAAUGACCGGGCUGAGUCUGAACAGCUUCUGCUCCGUGUCCCCCGCGUCCACCAUGGCCUCCUCCUCCAUAGUGUCCUCCUCCUCCGUAGUGUCCUCCUCCUCCUCCGUAGUGUCCUCCUCCUCCUCCUCCGUAGUGUCCUCCUCCUCCUCCUCCGUAGUGUCCUCCACCGUGUCCUCCUCCGUGUCCUCCUCCUCCGUUGUAACCUCCAUGGCCACCACCAUAUCCAUCAGGUUUCUCAUUUUCCUCACUCUCUGACUUCACCGUGCCUGUUCCAAACACACACAAAAAAAAAACAAAAUUAUUUCAAAAAUAUUUUUAAGCACGUGCAAAUGUGCAUUCCUUUGCCUAUUUCAUAAUUGAACACUUUUAAAAAAUGUAUAGAAAUUCGGGAUAAUGAUGUAGUUGUAGUGACAGAAUUACUCUGAACAGCUUCUAGUCCAUGUCCCCCGCGGCCUCCAUGUCCCCCGUGGCCUCCUCCUCCGUAGUGUCCUCCUCCGUGGCCACCACCAUAUCCAUCAGGUUUCACAGUUUCCUCACUCUCUGAGUUCACCGUGCCUAUCCCAAAAGCGAAACCACAUUAUUUUAUAAAUAUUGUUAGUACGUACAAAUGUGCAUUCCUCUCCCCAAUUUCAUAAUUAAAUUUCUCUUAAAAACUUUCUAAAAUAUGUAUAUAAUUCCGAUCUCUAGUUAUAAAAAAAAUGAGUUCAACAUUAAAUAUACGUUUUAUAUAAAUUGGCGUCAAGCAUCUAAAUAGUUUGGGAGGGUCUAAUAGGUAUAAGAGCAUGUACAUCAGUGAACCCUUAAAAGAGGGGUUUAACAGAAUAUAAUAACAUUUUUUUUUUGUUUUAGUUUUUUUUUUUUUUAAUUCGAAAAUUAUAAUUUUCGACCAUGUUUUAUUUGGGAUGAUACCGUCUCUUCAGGUUCGUCGGGAUGAUACUGUCUCUUUAAUAUUAAGAUCUUUUGUCUCAAAAACCGUGCCAUGAACCCCUCUUGAUCCUCUGAUGUAGAUGCUCUAAGAAGGACUAAACGUCAUAAGUAAGCGUAAGUGUCUUUUCUUACUAGGACAUCAACAUGAUACUUAAGUGUGUUUAUGACUUAGUGAGUCCAAAUAAUUGACCAUCGUUCACCCCAACUUUUCGCAUUUAAAACGGACGAGAUAGUUGGACAAAAUUAUCAAAUGGUACGUUAGUCCGGUUAGAUUAGCUUCACGAUAAUUUUUUUGUUUUCUAUAAAAUAAUUUUACGUACCCGACUGCCUUGCUGAGACGACGAGAAGAAAUGCAAACACACCCAACAGAAGCAAAGUCUUGGAAGCCAUUUUCUUCAAACUGCUUAUAACACUUUUAAUUUGUAUAUAUGGAGAAAGAAGUGAUGAAUAAAAUGUUAGCCUGCAUGCUCUCUAUUUAAGGAAAACGAGGAGGGCAGAAUGAGGAAAAGUCAAAUAAAUAAUUCGUAGUGCAGUGAAAAGAAGUAUUUUUUUAAUUAAAAGCAAAAGGGAGAUUUAGUGUAUCACAAAAUUUAGAGAAAUUGCAUUGUUUGCAGAUAAAGACACACUUUUUAGUAGCAAAUAAAUAAAACUAUAUUUCUUUGCGCAAGCGAACAAAAGGGAGUUGUAUUAUUCUAGAAGAGUUUAGAUCUAAUUUAUACCCCCCAAAAAAUAUAGUUUAGAUAUCUUUAUCUGUAUCAUGCAAUCUUUCUUUGUAAACAUCUUGAAUAGAGUUAAUAUAUGUUACGUGAUUUAUAUUAGAUUGCAUGAAACAAAAAAUACGUGAAACAAAGUGUUUCGAAAAGGAUAACAAUUUUAAAAAUGAUAGGAAACGUUUGCUUUCGGAAACAUAUAUUAUAUAUAAAACAUCAAAAUCAUAUGAAAAACAAAACGAAACAUUAAAACCAAACGAACUUUAAUACUUAUAUAUCAAACAGAUAAAUAAAGAUACAAAUCCAAACGUGGUAAGAAGAUAACGAAAUUUUCAUAUUUUCGAAUUUACUUCAUCUAUCCUACAAAUAAGAUGGUAAGACGAUCGAUAAGUAUGAUCAAAGUAUAUCUGUAUCCGUUGCGUCGAUUCCCAUAUGGUGGGUUGUUGGAUUGUGAUUUGUGAAAAACUUUAACCUCAAUAGUCUUUUAGAUAUUUCUUAUCAACGUCUUUAAACAUAGGAACCAUCGGACAAGUAUUGAACUAUUGAUAUGUAAGAAUUACAUUAUUGGCCAUAACUGGUAUUAUUGUUACAUUAUUAUUACUAUAAUUUGGACACAAAAUUAGUCCACUAUUUGUACUUUAACUCUUUAAGGAUCUUCUUUGAAAAUCUCAGCCGACAGGUUUUUAAGCAGACGGAUAAAGAAUUAAUACGAAGUAAUUACUAAGAACUUACCUUUAAAGGGUGAAAUUUUGCUUGGCUAUAAUUUAUUCAGGCCUACAUCGAUAAAAAAAAAUAAAAAUCAUUCCAGUGACCUAAGUGUAAAGGAGCUUGAGAUAUACGUGUUGAGAAGAUGAGCAUUAUUAAGUGUACAGAAUGUAGCUGCCGUCCUAAUUAUAAUAAAAUAGAAGUUAAUCCGCACAUUGUAAGGGAUAAUGUUUUUUUAAUUAUUUUUAAAUUUAAUUUAAUUUUUUUUAGUUAAAUUAAAAUUGGUGGCAAAAAUAUUUUAACAAAAAAUAUAAAUAAACAAAAUUAAUAAAAAUUAAAUAAUAUAUAUAUAUAAAUAUCACACAACCGAUAUUUAUUUGUAUAUAUAUAUAUAUUAUAGAGUAUGACUUUGAGCUAAUUUUGUUAUGCAGUUUAAUUAUUCAUAAAAUAAGAAUUUAAUUUUGAAUAUUUUAUUAGAGAUUAAACUAUUAUUUUUAGUUAAUAAAUUAUAAUAUAUGUUAAUAAUAAUUAUAUAUAGGAUUAGACAAAUUCGUCUAUUUAAUUUAUUUUAUAAUUUUUAAAAUAUUAUUUCGACCAAUCCGCAAAAAAUAGAUUUUAAACUUUAAAUUAUAUUUUAUUUUUUAUAAUAAUAAUUGAAUUGAUUUUCAAAAAUGAUGCUAAUUAAUUAUGAAAAUACAAAUGAAAAAUAUUGCAAAAUUUAAAUAGUUUUUCAUAUAUAUGGAUUGAUUAUUAUUUAAAAUAAUAGAAUAUAUUUUAACAUUUUAAUAAGUAAAAAGCAAAAUACAUUUUUUAUUUAUAUCCAUAUAUAUUCAAAACAAAUAUGUGAGCUAUAUAUUUAACUAUCUCUUGUGAAGAAAUAUUUAAUUAAAAAUUUUAUAUUUGUAAAAUUUAUUUAUUUAAUAUCUUUUAAGUAAAGGUUUAUUUAUGUAAUAUUUUAUAAAUAAAUAUUUAUUUAUGUAAAAUAUUCUGUAAUAUCUUACAAAUAAAAGUUUCUUUAUAAAAUGUCUAUUCAAAUAAUAAUGUAGAGAUGUAAUUUAAUUAAAGUCUAAUUGAUAUGAACUUCAUAAUUAUUAUAAAAAUAUGAUCAAUUCCAUGCGAGUGAAAAAGAUUUACAUAGUUAUCGUUUAUUUCUCAUACAAAACUAUUUUAAUUUUAAAGAGUAAAACGUAGCAGAAAAUGAAAACUGGAACUUUUUUAGAAUAUGACAGCUAGUUUUAAAAAUGGGAGAUGGCUACAAUACCGUUUCAAAAUAAUAGAUUAAAACUUAAUCCCAGAUAUCCGACUUGUUGAUGGUUUCUAUUUGCUUACGCACACUAAAUAUAUUAACACUCAAGAGAGGGAAAGUGUAAAUUGUAUUAAUGAAAGUGUUAGUGAACCGUAUUACAUUAAUUCCCUUUUAUAUACCAACUAGGUUAAGAAUAAAUACAUAUAUGUUAAUACAUCCCUCUCAAACCGAAUCAACCUUAGGUAGAAAGAGGUUUGAUAAUAAUACACGACUAAGCAAAAAAUGAAAUGGACCUAGAUGCAAAGGCUUCGUCAACAUAUCAGCAAGCUGAUUCGAAGUAGAGACAUGAAGAACAUUUAGGAAGCCAUUCUUCACCUGAUCUCGGGUUAUGUGGGAAUCAAUUUCCACAUGCUUAGUUCUCUCGUGAAAUACAGGGUUAUUGGCAAGAUUCAUAGCUGAUUUUUUUUAUCACAAAACAGGUUGGCUUCAGAAGUUACCGGGAUAUGAAGAUCAGUCAGUAAUUGGUGCAGCCAAAGUAACUCUCCCGUAGUAACAGCCAUGCUCCGAUAUUUGGCCUCCGUGCUGCUUCUAUUAACCAUUUCCUGUUUCUUGGACUUCUAGGUGAUAAGAGAUGUUCCAAGAAAUACACACAGACUCGUUACAGAACGACUGCAUCUGAAAAUCCAUUCAAGCAUAACUCUGUAGUAGCAUAAUAGAAAAAACCUUAGCCCAGAUUUUCUUCAAAUAUUUAAGGAUCUGGAAAGCAGCUUGAAAAUGAACAUUAGUGGGGAAAGACAGAUACUGACUCCACUGAUGCAGCGCAAAAGUGAUAUCAGGACGAGUAAUGCAGAGAUAUUGCAAUCGACCAAUCAAUUCGCGAUAUGAAGUUGUAUCAGAAAGAGACGUACCCGCGGACUGGAUCCAUCAAAACUGAUUUUGGUUUAUAACCAAGGAGACCAUAAUCUUCAAUAAGAUCCAAGCAGUAUUUCCUCUGUGAAACAGAUAACCCCGAAGCAUUCCUUGCAAUCUCAAGACUCAAGAAGAAAUGAGCUUGGCCAAGAUCUUUGGUCUUGAAUGGGAUUGUGAUAUAUUCAUAUCAUUUCGUGUUUAGGAUGCAUUUUUGGUCCAAGAAUAGAGCCUCAUGCAUACAUUUUAGAUAGAUUCUUCAUGUUUUCUUUGUUUUAGAGGUUUAGGACUUUGCAUUAGGUCCAAGUGAGUCUUGCAUGUUUGGAGUGUCAAUCAGGUGCUUUGGAGGUCAUCUGGAGAUGAAAAUAUGGAACCAGGUGAAGAAAUGGUGAAAGAAGGGCAAGAUAUGGUAAAAAUGAGGUUUUGGAGGUUAUCGGCAAAAUUGCUUACUGCGGGAAGAUUUUUAUCGGCCAAAAAUCAUUCCCGGGAAGCAGUUAUCGGCCAAAACAUGUACCAGACCAAGUCUGUAUCGGCAAAAAUCCUUUGUCGUGGGAAAAAAUGUUUAUCGGCUAAAAUACGUACCGCAGUACGUAACUUAUCGGCCAAAACGUGAAUUAUCGGCCAAAAGUUUCCCGACCCGAUAUGCUUCAAAGAUGCCUUUACCAGAAAGCUUUCUCGUCCGAUUCAGUUUCUAGUGUUUUCACAAACGUUCAAGAGAAUUGAGUCACAAUUCCAGAACAGUUGGAAUCAAUGGAUUUGGAGCAGUGAGCUGAAAGAUACGGCCAACAGAAGAUGAAUCUGCCUCGCAUCCAUUCUGGUCAUAUCCGAUGCGACUCAAAGAUCACUCAGGAUGAAACUCUUCCCUUCCAAUCUAGUUUCCGGGGCUCUAUCAAGAUUUGAGAGAUUCGAGUCAUAUUUCCAUAACGCUUAGAAUCAUUCCAUUUGGAGUGUUGAGUUGGGAGAUAUCGCAUUCGGGAGACAGACAUGCCCUGCAGUAAGAAACUAGAACCUCCCGAGCCAAUGCAAUGAUCCGUUUACCGGAAGGCCUCUCUCACCCGGGAUGCACUUAAGUUCUUCAUCAAAGUUGUAUGGAAUUGAGCUGCCUUUCCUCUGGAGUUUCUCUCGAGUCAUUUAGACUCAUAUCCCACAAGUUAUGCUAGCUCAAGUAAACAUAGAUCCGAGGAAAUGAGAAAUGCUGCGACAUGGCUUUGCGACUCGGUCAACUUGCAGCGAUGAAUGUUUAAAUUCUGGGAGCAAGCUGAGACUUGAAAUGAUGCGGGUGAGGUGACUCGGAGCAGGGUAAGGAUUUCCAAAGCUCAAAUAUUUCUAAGUCCAGAACAGCCUAUGACAUGGCAGUGCGAGAUUGAUGAUGAGAUGAACCAUGUCGCACACACACUCGCUUGGGGCCGCGACAUGACAGUGCGAGAUGGAUGAAGAGAAGUAACAUGUCGCACUCCUACUCUCUUGGGGCUGCGAACGUGAAGCUGUGAGUGGGAAAAGAAGGAUUUAAGCUGCAAGUACAAUUGCUUGAAUGAUACGACAUGAAAGUGCGGCUGAAGAAGCAAGGGAGCUGAGACGUAACAACAUUCACUUGGGGCUGCGAGAUGGCAGUGUAGGUGAACUGAAGCCAGGACCAUCUCGCACCAUGGCCACAUGACCCAACUGAACCAGGUCAGUACACAGUUUGUCUUGAGCUGACCCGCUCCAAAACACUUAGUAUAAAUAGCUUUUAGGGUUUUUUUCCAAAGAACAUCUCAUUUUCCUUUAGGUUUUUAGCCACUUUUGUGUAAGAGACAACUAAAGAGAGAUAUCUCCUUUCUUUUCUUUGAAUCAAAAAUGUUUGAGAGCUUAAUCUAUCUAUCUUAUCAUCAUUACUAUUCAUCAUCUUGUUUUCUCUAUCAACUAAUCAUGUUUAAUUACUUUUCUUGCAAAGGAAUCAGAGAGUUAAUCAUGAUUAGUGAGUAGUCGCGUCAUUAGGGUUCUAGAUAUGUAAGUUAGGGUGUUUAGAGGUUUGAUUAAGGCUGCUUAGGAUUAAAUUUAUACAUCUCUGUCUUGUUUAGCUGAUUUUAAUGCUUGGUUAUAGAUGAUCUCUCUAACCCAGAUUUUGGGCAUUUCAUCUACCCAAAACGUGUUUGAUGAAAUGCCUGAACCAGCUAAGUCAAGAGUCUAUUGUUUGAUUCACAUGAAAAUGUUGUUUUGAGCAUAGAUGGUAUAUUAGGAUUCGUGUUUAAUGCAUUCCUUUCAUUGUGACUCUAAUGAUGAUUAGGUAUGAGCAAUGUUUGGUAUUGUGUUUUGAUGCUUGAGAAAUAUUGAAACUUGAUUUGAAUCCUAAGCUGCUUAGAUCAUUCAUCAUCAUUGUCAUUAGCUCCUUGAUUAAACUAUGAUGCACCCUAGAAACUAUCAUGUCUAGAGCUCUAAGUUUCAUCAUAUUCAUAUCAUCUUAAUCAUUUUCUGUCUUUAUUUAUUGCUUGUUUAAUUCUUUAAUCUUGUUUAAUUGCAAUUCUGUCACUUGUUUGAAACUAAAACAUUUUGUUUGUUUGAAUUAAGAAUAGUUCAUAUAGAUUAGUGAACUAAACACCACACCUUGGAUUGAUAACCUUUGUACUACAACAGACAAAGGGAUUGAUACCCUAAGAGCCUUGAAAAAUCUUGUCUACCAUAUUGAGAGAAUCUUCUAAAUAGACUUGACAGCUUCAUCAUCAUUGCUCGCUAUAAGGAUGUCAUCGACAUAGAUCAGGAGAUAAAUAAAUAAUGUACCUGUUAGCUUCACAAAGAGGGUGUUAUAUGCAUAAGACUGUACAAAUCCGGCAUCAAGUAAGACCUUCGACAAACACUUGUACCAUUAACGAGAUGUCUGCUUCAAGUCAUAGAUGGAUUUAUCAAGUUUGCAAACCUGAUUAGCAGGCAGAUGAACAUCAGCUGGAGUGUAACAUCGUGGCAAGCUCAUGUAUAUCUCCUCAUCGAGCUUACUGUGCAAGAAAGCAUUGGUUACAUCCAUUUGGGUUAAGCUCCAACCCAUUCAUGCGGCUAAACCAAGGAUAAGCUUCACACUGGCAAGCUUGGAAACUGGGAAAAGGUGUCAAAGUAAUCAACACCUUUUUGUUUUGUGUAUCCCUUUGCUACCAGGCAAGCUUUAUAACGCUCCACAUUUCCAUCUGCAUUAUACUUAAUGGUAAACACCCAUUUACAACCAACAACAUUUUCCCUCGGAGGCAAUGACACAACACUCCACGUAUUGGUUGACUCCAUUGCUCCGAAUUCCAAAUUGAAAGCAUCAGUCCAUUCUUUGGAUGAAAUCACCUGCUUAAAGGUGUUAGGCUCAGUCUCCAUUGAAAAAGAGAGAACAAUAGACUGAUAUGGGGUGUUAAGAGUAGAGUAAGAGAGAACAGAAGAAAGAGGAUAUGGAGUAGUAUAAACCUUUAUAGAAAUGGGAGGAGUAGAAAUUUUUGUUAAAGAACAAUGAUAAUUGGACAAAUAACGUGGUACUUUUGUCGAGUGUUUUAGCCUGGCAUUGGGAAGUGAAACCAGAGCAUUCUCUGUGACAACAGGGUGAUGGAUUUUCCUUGGAGCACUAGAGUGAGAUGAUGAUGCAUGUGAUGUAUAAAGCGGAGGAGAAUGGAUGGUCACAGUAGAUGAAGGAUGCAAAUUAUUAGGCAGUGAAAUCACCUAAUCUAAUGCAACAAGAAUUGGCAAUGGUAAUAUAAACUCUAAAAAAAUAUCAGAAGAUGAACUAGAAAGAAGAUGCUCAGUAAAAGGAAAUAUUGUCUCAUGAAAAACAACAUUUCGAGAAACAGAGAUAAUUUUUGAAUCAAGGUUCAAGACAUUAGAAUACCCUAAGAGUACACAUCGAUCCACACGAGGACUAAAAUUAUGUUUAUCCUUCUGUAACGUAGAAACAUAACAUAAGCAGCCAAAAGAUCUUAAGAAUAAGUAAUCGGGCUUCUUAAGCAUAACCAACUCAUAUGGAGAUUUGUGUUUAAGAAUAACAGAAGGUAAUCUGUUUAUCAAAAGACAACUCCAAAUGAAGAUCCGCUUGCGGCUAUAGCUAGAUCUGAGAGUUGCGAAUAUGCUUACAAAUUUUCAGGCUGAUCCAAUCCGAUUUGCCUGUCUGUUUCUCUCUUACACCAUAACAGGUCGGAUCUGCCACCUAGAUGGUUACAAUGGCUUCGCCUUUAAGGUUCUUGGCCACAAGAUAGCUCUCUGAUCUCUUCUAAGACAUGGCUGCUCUAUUUAUAGAGUGGAGAAGAGAUACUUCUAAAUUUAGAGUUUUAGAGAGGAAAAUAAUGAAAAUGGGUUUGAGAGUUUUUCUGAUGGGUUUUGAGUAAUCAGGCUGAAAAAAAAAAAAAAAAUUAGACCAAACCCUAUUCUUGGGAUGUCACAGAUUUAUUAGAGAAUAUAUUUACAUGAGUUUAUAAUUAUUUGUAUGAUAUUUACAUGAGUUUAUAAUUAAAUCGUACAUUAACAUAGCAUCGUUAUUGGAUAGUUAGUCGGAUCGGUUCAACCGGUCAUACGAAAAGUUUGUUUAAUAUAUAUAUAUAUAUAAGAAAAUAAGAAUAGUUAUUUUAAGAAAAAUAAAGAAAAUAAAAUUAAUUUCUUUUAAUUAUUUACAACUGCCAGCCAGCGAUUACAUCCGUCGCUUGAAGAAACUUAUUAUCUAAAUGAAUAAAUAAACUUUUAAUUUAUAGCGGUUCUAAGCGUCACAAAGAGAUAAGAAACAAGUUCAACGGUUUUAGUGAUUGUUAUUAAACGUCACGAAAAUAUAACCGUAUGCAAACAUAGCGUAUGUGGCUGGCAGCGAGAAAACUAUCCAACACUAAAUAUUACAUAUUUACUUUAAAAUUCAUGCCUGCUUAUUACCAAACCAUAUUUUUACCAAUUUUAAUUGUGACAUUUAAUGUCCGCACAUGCGUACAGGCCAGUCAUAAAUCUGAUAUAUUGCAUUCACAUCAAUUUGUGUGUAUUUUUGUUUUGAUAUGUCUUCUGAUUUUUUUCUGUCCUAUGUAACCAUUUUUUGAUAAUUUUAAUUGGUUGAUCAUUAAUCUUUACGUGUCUUUUAAAAGUGAUGUGGUAUAAUCGUUUUAAUUAGAUUAUUAAAGCUCGUUUAAGAUUGUCUUUUUAAAAACGACAAAAAAAAUCGGACAAAGUAAGUAAUAAAAAUAAAUGUAUGACCCAUAUAUUUGAAAGUGUCACUGGCCCAAUGGCAGAAGUCUCCCUUAUGCAUUUGAAGGACAUGUGUUUGAACCAAGGUGGUAACAAUUUUUUAAAAAAUCGUAGAAUUUUAAAACGACAUCGUUUUGAGUUAACCUAACAGUAACAGCAGAGUUAACAGCGUUUAACUUUUCUGUUAACUUUAUAAACGGAGUGCUGAUUUGGCAAGUCAACGAAAAGUUUGUUAUUAUUUAUGGAAGUCAACAAAAAUUAAAUGUUUAUUUGGCUAGCCUGACAGUUCAUGCUUUUUUUUGGCAAAAUGUGGAAAGUUUAAGGUUUUUUUGGCCGAAUUCUCAAAAUAAACUCAUUAAAGUUCGUUUAAAUUGUUUUUUUAACCAAUAAACAUUAAAACCUGUUUAAGAUUGUCUUUCUAAAAACCAAUUAAAGUCUGUUUAUAGUUGUUUUUAUUAAAACCAAUGAACUCAAAAAACCUAAUAUACUUCUUCGAUACACUAAAUAUAUAUAUAUAUAUCCUCUCUAACAUAGUUUGUCUUUUAAUGUUCUCUUUUUCGGUAAACAUUACAUUUGCUUUUUUCUAUUAAUUUUAUUAACGUACGCUUGAGUUUGAGUUUGUUGCUUGUGCUUAUAAAUUUUUUUGUAACAAUUCCUAAUCUUUUUAAGAUUAUGAUUGAAAAUGUUAGUAUAAACAACCAUAGUUUAAAAAAUAGCAUCAAUGUUCACAUACUCGUGAAACAAUGUAUAGCAUCAAGUCUAUCAAUUUUUUUGGUCUCUUAUUUUAGAUUUGAUGCGGCAAAAAGAUUGCUUUGGGAACCAAGUCUUUUUUUUUGUUGGAAUUAUCUUCUAUUCUUGUCAGUUUUUAUUUUUCAUGCAAACGUUGACAUUAAAAUCUCUUUGUUAGAUUUGAUACCAUAUUAAAUUUCAAAUCUGAAUUAAUCAUUAUAUUUAUACAUUAUUAUUAUGGAUGAGUUUAUUUUCGUUAUCUGUAGCCCAAACUCUCUUCCCACGAAAAAAACGAUUAAACCAAUAAUAUUUAUUAUAAACAGGCCGAUAGACUUUAGUAUAAACAAGUUUCAAUAGCCUAAUUAUAACAAAAUUUGUCACAUCGCUUUAAAGCACGUAUAGAAUUAAUGAACGAACAAAAAAUAAAUACAUGACAUGUCAGGACAAAACGACACAUAAGAUUUUGGACUUCACAAAUAAUAGUAACUAGGAAUUAACAUGCACAUUGUGCGGGGUAAUGUUUUUAAGAAUUUUAAAUAUUUUUUAAAAAAAUUUUGGUUAAGUUAAAAAUUGGUAGCAAAAACCUUUUAACAAAAAAUAUAAAUAAAUAAAAUUGGUAGCAAUUAGAUAACUAUAUAUAUAUAUAUAUAUAUAAAUAUCAUACAACCGAUAUUUACGUGUAUAUGUAUCUAUUGAAAGAACUUUGAGCUAGUUUUGUUAUGCGGUGUAAUUAUUAGUAGUUUUUAAAUGUGAAGGUGAUGUGAUGUUAAUAUAUUCAUACUUAUAUACUGCUGGGAUAAAUUCGAUCCUUCCUACAUGGACGAACUGCAUGCUUGCACGUGGCGUCCAUGUUUUUUUUUUCAGGUACGGCCCCCCUGGGCCAAAUUAGGAUCCGUAGUGGGUCGUAAGCAUAUAGCACUGGGCCUCGAAUCCAUAAGGAUUCGGGAGAUCCGGUACGAUAGAUCACUUGUUCCCGGGUUCCUCGUAUCUAAUAGUGCAGGCCACGCUGUCAGAAGUAAGGAGGUCGAAACUGAGUGGUCAAGAGGAGGAGAAGUCCCAUUUUCUAUGUCCUAGGCCUAAACAUGGUAAUCCGGAAAGGUCGAGAUAUAAGGUAGUGUGGCCUACACAGGAUCUGGAGAGCGGAGUCAUCCAUCGAGACAACCCCGACAGCCCGGUCCCAGUAUCGAGGGAUCCAUGUCAGGUAUGAAAUAAUUUUAUGAGCGGAAAACACUAUUCAAAUUUUCCUCCAUUCGAUAAUAGGAAUAUGCCUUAGUAUGAUUUGAUUGCCCAUACUCUUACAAAACCAUGAAAUUGGCAUUUAAUGCACCCUUCUUACAUGUGUCAGGCGACAGCGACCUUUCACAGAAACUAGAGGAAAAGAAGAGGUUCAUCAAGAGUUAUACCGCGUAUGAACCGCCAACCCAAUCCGUACACUGGAGACGAAAGGAACAUGCUAAGGAGCGGUCUCGCAGCAGGCAGAACACGUCAAGGAAAGUUGGUGAGACCGUCAGAGGUAUGACGUGGGAAAAAGAUUUGAACCCAAUAAAAUCGGAUCGAGAACCGACCAACCCACCCGACUCGCUAUGCAAGGACAGACCCGGUAUACUAACCCGGGUCAGGUAAAAUCCUAUAAAUACAUUAUCCUUUCCAACAAGGAAGGAGAUCACUUUUAUUUGCUAUCUUAAGGCUCAUAUUAUCUCUCUAGAUACUUGUGAUCUUUGAGCCCUAACAUAUUAUACUUUCCGGUCAUUACUCAGAACAAUGUUUUAGUUCUUCUCCACGGCGGUUCCUAAAUCGUGGAGUAUUUCCACCCACAAACUCUUUCAUUUCUUCUCUUUUAACUAAUUCUUUAUAAGGAACGCUGGGCCCAUCUUUCUUCUCUCGUUUUCCGAACUCUUUCCUCUCUCCAAUUAGUCACUCUGUGAUCUUUCUUCACUGUUUUCUGACUUGAACGUCGGAGAACCUUCCGAAAACACACCAUCAUCGUGUUUUUUGGGCCUUCACGUGCUUUCUGUUUUUGCAAGAGACUUACCCCCACAAAGGAUCAAAAAUCUCUAAAUAGUUUAGCGCUAGAAAGAGGAGGGCAACACUCUUCUAUAGGAAGAACUGAAACCAUACACGACCUUGAAGGUAUGUCAUGACAAGAGAAGACGGAGGUAGCUCACCAGAGAACGACACCUUGGAGGGGAUGGAAGGAGAGAACAUCUGCUGGGUCGACAGACCGACCAAGCUAUUCUCGGGAUGCCCGAUGAUAAGGGGAACAUCUUUGGUUCCCCACGCCGCCGCCAAACGCACACUCAGAACUCGUCCAGAGUGUAGAAGAAAAUGCCCUGUAAAAUUCCUUACAUCCAAAAACCUUAGUGAAAGUGUUGGCAAACUGGUCAUUAUAUAUAACAAAUGAGUUAAAGACUCGUGGGCAAUGCCCAAUAAAGUCUGCCAUGGAUUGGUCCUGUACAACAGUUUUUAUAUCAAUUAAAAAGUGCAGGCCUCGUAGGUUGAUCGAUUGCAGUUUGCGGAUUAAACAAUUGGGAUCUAUACUAGUUUCGGCAAAGAUAAUUGACAAGAACGUCCAAAACCGGCUAAGUGAAAGACAACGUCUUGGAGACCAAAAGUAUGAAAGAAGCCUCAUGUAUUGGUUUGCCACACACAAAAAAAAAACUAUUUGUUUUUAGUUUCCAUUUUAUAAAAAAAAACUAGGUAUUUAGCCCUUUUUUGCAUGGGCAGAGAAGUUUAUUAAAUAAUACUAGGAGAGAAUCCGCGCGUAUGCGCAGAUCUUGUUUUAAUUUAUAUUUUGAAUAAUUUGUAUUGAAUUUUAUGUUUACUAUUAUUGUAUUUUUGUUUAGAAUAUUUAUAAUAAAUUAUUUGUAAUCUCUUCUACACCAGUUGUGUCAAAUAGUCUAAUUUUUUCUUCGAUCUUCAUAUUCUUUUUAUUCUUGUAAAUCUUACUAAUAUAAUAUUUGUUAAUUUUCUUAAUUUUCUAUUUGAAUUUUUUUGGUUAUAUAUAUUUUAUUGAUACCAUCUUUUUAUUAUUAAAAAAAUUAUAUAUGACAUUUUUAUGUGGAUACUUUUUUUUACUAUUAUUUUUUUAAUAACUUUUAUCUUUUUAAUAGUUUAUUAAAUAUGCUUUGUGUUUUAUACUUUUAUUAGUUGAAUUUUUAUAUAAGAUUAUUUGAAACUUUUUAAUUUAGUCAGUCUCAUAAUUUUUUUCACUUGCAUUAAAAUUUAAUUAUAUUUUUAGUUUGUAAAUGAAUUUUAAAACAUUUGAAAAAAGAAAAUAGAACUAUGCAAUUAAAAAGUCUUAUAUUAUAUAAUAGUUAUAAGUUUUUAUAUAUUAAAAUUAAAUUUUAAUUUUAUUCUAAUAUAAAUAUAUGUUAAUAUUUAUUUAUGUUUUUAAUGUGUUUGCUUUAAAUAUGAUUAAUUAAUUAUUUUGUUAAUAUUUGAAGAGGAUAGGUGGUGCUCUCUCCAGUGCUGACGUGUCGCUCAACUGGAGAGAGUUGGCCAAAUUUUAUAUAUAUGACUAGGAGAAUACAUGCACGUAAUAUGCGGGUUUUUUCUUUAAUUAUUUCAAAUUGAUAUAUUUUUGUAUUUUUCUUAAAGAAAUAUAGUCAUCAUUUCUUCUAUGUUACUAUAUAAUUAUAAAUCAAUCAAUUUAAAAUUUAAUAUUAUUAAAAAAUCAAGAGUUUAUACAAAAAAGCUAUCAAUGUUUUAGCAUAAAUUCUUGUUUAAUAUUUAUAUAACUGUUAUUUAAGAAUCAGUUAAUAAAAAAAAACUAUUUUCUUUGAAUGGUUGAGAAUUUAAUACUAAAAUUUAUUAAUCAAUUUUUUUUUGAUAAUUGUAACUUUAAAUUAAAAAUUGACAAAUGUCAUCUCUAUAUUAACUCUAAAAUGCUGAUGUGUCACUCAUAUAUAGAGAGUUAGCCAUCUUUUAUAUAUAAGAUUAUAAGUAAACAAUAUAUUUGGUAGUUUAAUCUUCAUCUCUAAAGUAAUCAUUAUUUGCAUAGAUUAGUUUUAUGCAUUAUUUUAUUCAUUCAACUUUUAGCCUCAAAUUUCUCCUUUUUUGGCUAAAUUGACUAUCCUUACUGAUUUUUAUCUUCUCGUAAGCGUAGACGUGAAACCAUUUUAUCCAGUUGUAUGUAACAAAUCAAUCUUUUUUGCUAGCUUUGAUACCAUAUUUAGUUUCAUCUCUGAAAAUUUCAUUAUAUAUACAUUAAGUUUAAAGAUGAUUUUAGUUCUUCAUUCUCUUGAAAUUUCUCCCUGUUUAACGAAAAUUGUCUCUCUUUGGUUGAUACUUAUCUUUUAUGCAAGCGUGGAUACAAAACUUUAAUAUCAUGUUGAUACCAUGUUAAACUUUUUUAAAAUUAUAGUCAUUAUUUAUAGACAUUAAAUAUAUAGAUUAUUGUAACUAGGUGAAUCUCCGCACGUUACGUGCAAGUUUUUUUUUCUUCAACUAUUUCAAAUUUCAAAUUCCUAAGAAAAAUGCAAUCCUACUUUAUUAUGUGUUAGAAUAUUAUUAUAAAUCGAUCAUUUAAAAUAUAAUAUUAUUAAAAAAUUAAGAUUAUACAAAAAAAAAUCCAUCAAUAUUUUUAAUUAAUUAUAACAUAAAUUCUUGUUUAAUAUUUACAGAAAUAUUAUUUAAGAAUCAAUUAAUAAAAAACUUUUCAUUUUCUUUUAGUGUUUUAAAACUUCAUAUAAAAUUUAUUAAUUAAUUUUCCUUAAAAACUUUUGUAACUUUAAAUUAAGAAAUAUGACACAUAUCAUCCCUAUAUUAACUCUCAAAUGCUGAUGUGGCAUUCGUAUGAAGAGAGUUGGCCUUCUUUUAUAUAUAAAAUUUUUCAUUCUCUCUAGUCGGAAAUUUCUUCCUCUUUUGUCGGAAUUGUCUUUUGUUCUUCUAUGUUUUUAUAUUUCAUGCAAGCGUGUACAUAAAAUUAUUAUAUCAGAGCGUAGGUAAACAAUUCUUUUGUUAGCUUUGAUACCGUGUUAAGUUUCAAAUCUGAAUUAGUCAUUCUUUUAUACAUUAUUUUUUAUGGACGAAUUUAUUUUCAUUCUCCGUAGUUCGAUCUCUCUUCCCACGGAAAGACGAUUAAACUAAUAAUAAGAAAACCGCAGACUUUACAUUGAAACGAGCUGCAGAUAAAAUUUAGAAUAAAAUGGACUUUAAUGAUCCAGUUAGUAUGAACUAUGACACAUCACUUUCAAAACACACAUAGUAUAAAUGAACAAUUUAUUAAAAAGCUAGCUUUAAUACCAUGUUAGAAAAUAAACUAAUCCUUUUUGCUAGCUUUGAUACCAUGUUUAGUUUCAUCUCUGAAUUUUUCAUUAUAAAUAUACAUUAAGUUUAAAGAUAAUUUUGGUUCUUCAUUCUCUAGAACUUUUUCUCUGUUUAACGGAAAUUAUCUCUAUUUGUCAGUACUUAUCUUUUAUGCAAGUACAGCCACAAAAUUUUGAUAUCAAAGCGUAGGUAAUUAAACAAUUUUUUUGGUAAUUUUGAUAUCAUGUUAAUCUUUAUCUUCAAAAUAGUCAUUGUUCAUAUACAUUAAUUUUAUAGAUUAUUUUAAUUCUUCAUUCUCUCUAGCUGGAAAUUUCUUUCUAUUUUGUCAAAAUUGUCCUUUAUUUUUUUGGUUUUCAUCUUUCAUGCAAACAUGGACAGAAAACUAUUAUAUCAGAGCGUAGUUAAACAAUUCCUUUGUUAGUUUUGAUACUGUGUUAAGUUUUGAAUCUGAAUUAAUCAUUAUUUUAUACAUUAUUUUUAUGGAUGAAUUUAUUUUUGUUCUCCGUAGUCUAAUCUCUCUUCCCACAGAAGGACGAUUAAACCAAUAAUAAGAAAACCAUAGAUUUUUUAAUUAAAUAAGACCGCAGAUAAAAAUUAGAAUAAAAUUGACUUUAAUGAUCCAGUUAAAAUGAAGUAUGAUACAUCACUUUUAAAAUACAUGUAGGAUAAAUGAAUGACCUAUUAAAAACAUUAAAAAAGUCAAUAAGUUAGAAAAUAAACUAACCACACAUCAGAUUUUUUGCUUCAGAAAUAUAUCGAUUGAAAAACAAUGUUGCACUUGAUGUACAAAUGGCUUUUGAUUGAAUAACUAUUACAUUCAAUUAAAAAAACAAUAACGCCUAGAGAGACUAGAAGUGCCUUUAACCAAAGUAAUUAACUAACCGUCAACACCAUAGAUGGCGCGAUGCUCUUCGACAGAGGAUCAAGACACAAGCUGCUGUUUUUGAGACUUCAAAGAUAUAGAACAACCACCAAACUGAAUAAUAGAAUCUGUAUAAUAACGUCUUGUUGUUGGGCAUCAUGCCCGGCCGGAACUGCCCCAUGCAAUAAGAGACAGAUGAGUCUUAGCUUUUAAAAGAAAACCAUGUCACAGAUUGCCUUUGACCUUGAGUAAACAUAUAAACCUUGUUGUUGCAUCCCAAUGAGUCUGUUUUGGUUCUUGCAUGAACUAAGCAACAAUGUGGACCAGUGUUAAUCUGCAGGUUCAGGAAUUGUACCUCUUUUAACUAAAGCAAGACGUACGAUGGUUCUUCUCCAGAGGCACAGGUCUCCGAAAUGAUAUUAUGAUGGUCACAAAAUGUGAAAGCAGUUUUAAAAAUGUUUCCUACCUAAAAUCCCAAGCGCAAGGCUGAAAUCGAAGUAGUACUAGGUACAAAUUCACAGGGAGGAAGCAGAGUCGACCCUUGGCCAAUCCAAGAAAGCCUAUACUUCCGGCUGAUUCUUUUAUAAAAAAAUAUUUGGUCCUCAAUUAUUCAAAACUUGUCUUAGUCUGGUCAGACUGAUCGUAAAGUCUUAUGUGGCGCUUUUAGUCCCCAUUCCGUGUUCGAAUCUGCAAAUUGCCUUAGUUGUUGGGUCUAUAUGAAAAACGUUGAGAGUCUUUAGAUUUCUGGUAGUCUAUACUCUUAAGGGAAAAAUAAACUUCCUUGGCAGCCUGUUAUAAUCUUAUUUCUUGGACCCAACAGUACGAACAAUGAAAUCGCACUACACAAAACCAAAGAGAAUAUAAUACAGAGACAACAUAAACAACAAACGAUAUUAUUAUGCAAAGAGCAGACAUUACAACUCGAACACUGAGACAUUACAUUAUGAAACUUUAUUCCCAUAGAUUCUUUUUCUUGAGUUACUUCAUUACAAACUCACCAUGGUUCACUUAUAGUCAUACACACGUAUAACUGUAUUAUAUAGAUGUAGCCAUGCAUGGUGGUUAAUAUAAUAUGAAGUUUUUAGUUACCAGGCUGAGUCUCAACUGCUUCUACUCCGUGCCCUCCUCUUCCUCCGUGUCCACCGCGUCCUCCUCUUCCUCCUUUGUAUCCUCCCCCUCCUCCUCCGUAGUGUCCCCCUCCUCCUCCGUAGUGUCCUCCUCCUCCUCCUCCUCCGUAGUGUCCUCCUCCUCCGUAGUGUCCUCCUCUUCCUCCUCCGUAGUGUCCGCCGCGGCCACCACCAUAUCCAUCAGGUUUCACAGUUUCCUCACUCUCUGACUUCACCCCUGUCCAAAAAAAUAUAGAAAAAUCACAUUAUUUCAAAGAUAUUGUUUAGCACGUGCAAAUGUUCUUUCCUCUCCCCGAUUUCAAAAACGAAAUUUCUCUUAUAAACAUUUUAAAAUAUGUAUCGAAUCUCUUGUUUAGAAUAAAGAAUUAUGAGUUUCAAAAUUAAAUAUACGUUCUAUAUAAAAUUUUCACCAAUAUACGUAAGUGUCUUUUAUUACUAGGACAUCAACAUCGUACUUAAGUGUGUUUUUUGACUUAUAAGUCCAUAUAGUUGACCUUCGUUCAAAUCAACCUUCCGGACUUAACACGGACGAAAUAGACAAAUAGAGACAAUAUUAUCAAAUAUGGUACGUUUGUUUGGGUUCGAUUAGCUUCACGAACAUUUAUUUUGUUUCUAUAAAAUAAUUUUAUUUACCCGAUGAUUGCCUUUCUGCGGCAACUUCUGAGACGACGAGAAGUAAUGCAAAGAGACCCAAAAGAAUCAAAGCUUUGGAAGCCAUUUUCUUCUACUGCUUUUAAGUUUAUAACACUCUUUUGUUUUGUUGGAGAAAGAAGUGAUGAAUAAAAUGUUCGCCUGCAUGCUCUCUAUUUAAAGAAAGGGUAACGAAGAGGAGAAAAGUCAAAUAACUAAUCCGUGGACCGUAGUGCAUUAAAAAUAACGAGGAAUUUUAUUUAUUAAAGAGAUAAGUAAGGGUAUUUGCAUUAUUUGCAGAUAAUGACAAAAAGAGCAAUUCAGUAAAAUAGGAUUGAGACUGUGCUUCGCGCGGAUUGUAAUUUAUGUUCAUGUUUUUAUAUAUUUUAUAUAUUAUUUCUUAAGAAAUAAUUUGUUGAUAAUUUUUUCUUAGUUUAAUAGUUUUAUUUUUAAGUUUACAUUGUAUUAACAAUAUCUGUGUUCUGUUAGUUAUUCUUACUGGUAGAUUAAAAACUCUAUAAAUUAAUAAUAUUAGGACUUUGAUAUUUUAUUAAUUUUUAGAGUUAUUAAUUUAGAGGUUUCAAAUAAAAAACUAUUUCUUAUUAAUUUUAAAAUUAAAAAAAAAUCGUUGAAAUUUAUAAUAUUUUUAAAAAAUUAAAAAAAAUAAAAAUGAGUUCCAAGAAGACUUCAAUUUAAAUUAAACAAAAACAUAGUAGAUUAUCUCACUUAUAUGUUUAUAUCAAAUUUUAUUUAUGGUAAUUAUUAAUUUAUGAUAAUAAUGGGACCAUAGAUUUACAUAAGAGUUUUGUUAAGUUUAUUAUCUUAUUAUCUUAUCGAAUUGUGUCAUAAUUUGAACUGGCUCAACGUAACUCAGAACUAUGAAAAAUUAUUAAUUUAUGUAUUUAUUAAUUUAUCGAGUAUUAAUUUAUAGAGUUUUUAUUGUAUGUCUAUAUAAAAAUAGUUUUUUUAAUUAUAUUAUUAACUUCUGUAAUUUUUUAUUUUGUGUGUUUUUAUAUUUUAUCUGUACUAUUGUGUGACUCUAAUUAUAAUUAUUUAAAUUAUUUUUUUAUUUUUCUUAAUUUAUACUCUCUAAAUUAUUAUUUUUUAAUUCAUACUCCGUACAAAUUUUUAUUUUUAGUCAUCUAUUAUUUUGAAUUGUUGAAUAACUAAUUUAUCAUAUUUUUCUUUUUUUGAAAAAAAAAUUUAUACUCCUUUUCCAUCUUCAUAUUUUUAUAAUUUAUUAGUUUUAUCUUUUUUUUUUUUUUUAUCUUUAACGUUUCUGUUUUUGUAUUUUAUAAAAUUCAUCUUCAUUAGUUUCAUGUUCUUCAUUUUUUUAUUUAUUUUUUUCAUUUUCCAAUGGUUUUUGACUUCUACUUUUCUUCCUCCUGUUUUUUUUUAUUCUUUUUUCAUUGUCUUUUUUUUUAAUUAUCAUCAUUUUUCUAAUUUUUUUCAGUUUAUAUAAUAUAUUAUUUUUAAUAAUAUAUAUAUAUUUAAUCCAGUUAGUAUUACAGUUUUCUUUAAAUAUUAAUAUCUAAUUGCCACUUAUCUUUUUAUUAUACUAAUAUUUAUUUUAUUUAAUUUAAUUUGUACUAAAUAUACUAAUAACAAAUAUAAAUAUAUAUAUAUAUAUGUAUUAAAUGUUUAUUUUAAAUAUGCUUUAAUGUUAAAAUUUAUGAGUUUGUUGAUGUGGACACCCUAGAUGGAGAUAAAAUUCUCUUAUUAUAUUACAGAUUAUAAAAUAUUUGUUCUUUCUCAAGGGAACAAAAAUACUUUUUUAUUUUUUUGUUGAAUGUUUCAUUUGAUUGUUAAGGGAAAAAACAGUUUUUUUGUCCCAUAUCGUGUUACAUUUUUAUAUGGACAGGUAAUUUUUUUUUUUUAGGGCUAAACAAAUUUUAUAUAUUAAGAAUAAGGAUUACAAUCUGCAAAUACAGCAUUAGACAACCAUAAAGGUGGAUACAAUUUUGAUGAAUAAAAAACAGCAUUACACAACCAUAAAAGUGGAUACAAUUUUUAUAUGGACAGGUAAUUUAUUGAUUGGAUUUUUUUAUACAGUUUAUUAAAAUAAUUCGAAUGUUUCUCCUCCACGUAUCAUGCUACUUUCUAUUGAAUGAAACCUUUGUCUCAACUUUAAUUUUAUAUUUGAAGUAUAUAAAUAAUUUAGUGCGUUAAAUAUCGGUUUAUUUAUAUAUUUUUUUCUUGAUGGUUUAUUUGUGUUUGAGAAUUUUUUUUUUUUAACAUUUUCUUAGAUUAAUUAAAGAAAUCCAGCCGGUUAAAGCAGUACAGUGAAGCUGUAAAGAGCUCGUUCUGCUAUCUCAUCAGUUAAAAGAUUGUCUGAUUGAGGAAUGUGUUCGAAAAAGAUGCAAUUGAAACAGAGUGACAGAGAGACUAUAUCGAAAGUAAUCCCCGCGAUCUCUUUGAUUUUUGUCCCUCGAUUGAUUGCUCUGAUCAGAUCCGAAGAGUCCGAUUGGACAUGAAGCUUUGUGAUCCCGAGAUUUGUGGCGUGAGUCAUGGCAGAUCUCAGGGCUAGAGCUUCAGCGAUGAUCGGGGAGGUCACAAAUUCUUCGAUAUCCAUACCCUGGUUCCAUGGUGGCGAAUUUCCUCAACGGAAAACCCAACCCAAUCUGCCGAUCUGAUUCUCUUCCUUCCAGGCCACAUCGGUUUGCACAAUGGUAUGGUCUGUUGGGAUUUCCUUCGGAUCUCAUGUUUGAAGAGUUGAAAUCUCCCUUUCCUGUAGGUCAUGUGCCUGAAUCCAAUCUCUUGCAUUGCAGAUGGCUUUGUUCACCGUUUCUAAUGGUGUGAAUGUUCUGUUCUCGAACAGUCGGUGGUUCCUGGAUAACCAGAUGGCCCAGCAGAUCCAGGGGAAGAGUAGUCCGGCUUCUAUUCCUGUUGGAGGUAGAGUGACCCAUCCCUUCGAUGCUUUGAGCCCUGUUGCAAAAUCCGGAAUGAAAAAGGGAUCUAUGGUGUAUUUGAAGGGCGCCAGUGACCAAACCGCCUUGGCGAAGUGACAGUAGAGGAAAAGGUGGUCAGCUGUUUCUCUUUCUCUGCAUAGACUGCAGGAAGCGUUGUUGGAGAGUCCCCCGGUAAGUAGAUUUGCUCCAGUUGGUAGUGCUUUCUUGAGUAUCUUCCAUAGAAAGACCUUUAGUUUUAGGGAAGUUUUCUUAUGCCAGAUAUCUGAGUUCCAGUUAAUUGUGGUUGUCUGUGCAUGAGAGAGUGGUUACUUCAUUCGCUGAUGUGUCGCUGUGUGGUAUCCUGACUUGGUCGAAUAAUUUCCAUCUCUGUUUGGGGUCCAAAUGUAAGAGUCUUCUCCGCCUCUUUUGCUUGGUUUUAUGCUUAAGAUCACAGAUGAGAGGUGUGGGACAAUAACUUCAAUCUUUCUUGUGUCCCAGGUGGUUGAGUUCUCUUUUAUUAGGUCUGAGACCAGCAGAUCUUUAUUGGCGUUGGUGGGAAGGCCAACUACUCCUAGCAGUGAUGUCGUCGAUAGCCAGGGAUCGGACCAUAGGUUGGUUUUUCGUCCAUUUCCAAUUAUUUUGCUUAUAUUUGAUUGCAGGAUAUCUUUGCCAAUCAUGAUUCCCCUCCACCCGUGGGAAGAGGAAGAUGUUGAUUCAGCUCUGAGGAAGGUUGUGGACCGGUGGUAUCUUCUUUUGAGAACUCGGGCCAGUAGACACUAUGGGUUUAUCAAGAUUCUCCAACUCAGUUUGGCCAGUAAGGUGUCGUUGAAGCACUCAAUGUCACAGAAACCAAGACCACCCUCUUUCUUUGUUCUUGUUAGCUUUGACCAUGCUAGCCAACACAUUUUUCUUUUUUCAGGGUUGGCGUCCCACCAAAAGCGAGUAAGAGCGGAUUGGAUGCGUUUGCAGAGACUUGCAGGGAGCUUGAAGCACGACAUCGUGUACGCUGGGAUGGCUGAGAGAACUGUCUUCAGCAUCGUGAUUUUACCCGCCGAUGAUAGAAAUUUUGUUGACCAACUCGUUGACGUAUCCUGUCCACAAUCUGAGUAAAGAGGUCUUUUUUCCUUCUCCCAAAAUGUUCGGGUAAGCCAAGGUACUUCCCUUUACCUCCCUCUUGACUGAUUCCCAGAUCCUGUUUAACUCUUUCUCGUACAUCAUCAGGAGUUUUGCAUGAGAAUGUAAAGGAUGAUUUUUGUAGAUUGAUCUUCUGUCCCGAGGCUUCUUCAUAUUUCCUGAGAAUUGCCAUGAGUUCUGCGCAGGCUUGGGGGGAUGUUUUACAAAAGAACAUUGUGUCAUCCGCAAAUAGUAAAUGGUUUAUUCUUGGGCUUUCUUUUGCAACUCUAAUGCCUGACAAGCGGCCAUUCUGUUGAGCUUUUUUGCAGAGACCAGAGAGCACUUCACCACAUAUGAUAAAUAUAUAGGGUGAUAGUGGAUCACCUUGUCUGAUGCCGCGUUGAGGGAGGAUUGGAACGUACGCUGGGUCAUUCACCAGAUACGAAUAGGAGACUGAGGUGAUGCACAUCAUUAUCCAAGUAAUCCACUUCUCAUUGAACCCAAGCCUUUUCAGCACCGUUUCAAUGAAGCCCCAUUCCAGGCGAUCAUAUGCCUUACUCAUGUCAGUUUCAACUGCCAUGAAGCAGUGUUUUUUCUCUUUAGAUCGUUUGAGGAAAUGUAGAGUCUCAUGUGUUAUCAUGACAUUGUCUGAUAUGACCCUUCCAGGGACAAAAGCUGAUUGGGAUUCUGAAAUGUUUUUUUUCCAGGAUAGGUUGGAGCUGCUUGGUGAGAAUCUUCGAGAAGAUUUUGUAAAAGACACUACAGAGUGCGAUUGGCCGGUAGUCGGAGACUGUACGUGGAGCAUUGUGUUUUGGUAUCAGCCGAACCAAAGUAUGGUUGAUGGAGCUGGGGAAAGAUCCGGAACUAAAGAAACUUUUGAUCUCUGAAGUUAUUGCAGGGCCUACUGUUGUCCAGUUUGAUCUGAAGAAAGAUGCAGAAAAGCCAUCAACUCCUGGAGCUUUAUCCAGAUAGAUGGAGAAGAGAACAUCGUUUGAGAAUAUCAAAUAAAUAUAUUUUAAAAGUUUUUAAAAAAUUAACUGCUACAGUUUCUACUUAUAUUUUUAUUAAUGCAUUUUAAAAACUUAAACCAGUUCAAAAAUUGAAACCAAAUAGUAUUAAAUUUGUAUACUAUAUAAAAAAAAAAAAUACACACUACUACCGAUAAAGUAAGCUACUAGUUAAGCUCAUUGCUUAGUCUUGUUGUACUUCUAGUUUGAUUUACAAUGGAAAUAGAAAAGAUGUUUUACGCCAUAUCAUAUAGUAUUAGCAAAGACUAGUCCCAAGAGAAGAGAAGUUGUAAGAAGGAUUAAGAUCAUGAAAAAAUACACACUCUAUAUUAAUCAUAUAUUUACCAUAAUAUUUUUUCAGUUUUCAUCAAUUCUAACAGUUUAUUUACAAAAACUAUGUAUCCGUGUAAUCUCCUUGGUUUAGUGAUUGACCAUAGAUUUAAUUUGAUUCCAAAACGAUGCUAGUUAAUGGAAUGCAAUUUUAUAGAAGGUUUAGCAUGGUGCAAAUAGAGCUGUUCGUCAUAAUUCAUCAGUCAAAGUAAAACUGCCCAUCACAAACAUGGUACAUGUAGAACCAUUUAUCGUGGAUUCUUGUAAAUAGAUAAAGAAAAUCAUUGUAUAGAAGCAUUUGUAUAAUUGUUUUCAUAAUUUAUAAUCCUUUAUACAGUAUUAAUCAAUUAGGGUUGAUAAAAAACAGUAGUUUCACAUUUAAUUUACAAAUAAGUCAUCUGAUGUGUCAUCGCCAUAAAACUUCUCCAAAAAAAAGUUAACUUACUAGAAUAAUUACAUUCAUGUCAUUUAGAUUACAUUCAUGUCAUUCACAUUUAAUUUACAAAUAAGUCAUCUGAUGUGUCAUCACCAUAAAAGUUCUUCAAAAAAAAGUUAACUUAUUAGAAUAAUUACAUUCAUGUCAUUUAGAUUUAAUACAUGCAUAUAUAUAUAUAUAUAUAUAUUAUAAUGAGAUUUAUGUAGAAUAUUAAAUUAAUAUUAUUUUUAAGUUUAUUCAUUUCUAUAAAAAAAAAUUAAUUUUUAUUUUUUGUCUCCAAAUUAUAUUACUUUGAUUCAAAGGGUUAUGAUUUUAUUUUCAAAAUUUCUUUUUUAUUGUGACAAUACAAGUUCAAUAUUUAUUUGCUCAAUAUAAUUUUUUAUUACAAAAUCUCUUAUUUUUCAUAUUUAAAUUCAAAUUUAUAUAAUGGAAGAUCUAACCUUCAUAUUAUUUUUAUGAUUAUUCAAAUGUAAAGCAUGUAAUAUAAUUCGCACACGUUUACUAAUGAUUAUUGAGAUAUAAAAAUAUAAUAGUGUUUAAUGCUAAAGGUCUCAUCAAACUAUAUUCUGAUUUGAUUAUAUCGUUUGAUGCUAAUAUAGUUUUAUGCUAUUGGUCUUAUCCAGGGGUGGAUUCAGAAAAAAAUUUAGUAGAUAGCAUAAUUUUAUAAAUAGGGAAAAACAAUUUUUUAUAUGAAAACAUAGUAUUAACAUAUAAUUUUAAUGAAAUUAAGUUAACAAUUGGAUUGUUUCAGCUUUUACAACUACUUUUAUAUUCAAAUAAGCUUUAAAGAUUGAAUUUUUUUUUCUUUUACUUUUUUUAUUAACAUGAGCAACAUAAUUUUAAACUAUAGGGAUUUUUUCCUUUUUAUCACUAAAUUAAGAACAUUUAAAUUUAAUUUACCAAAACUAUUUAGGAAAAAUAAAAACGGUAAGGGAAACAUGACCCGAUAUGGUCUUUACUAUGUCCGCCUCUGAUCUUAUCAAUCACACACGUACAAAGAGAUAUUCACGUGACGAGUUGCAUAUUUUAAUUUAAAAUUGAAUAAAUUUUUUUACAGAAUACUAUUUAUUUUACAUAUUCGAAUUCAAAUCAGAAUAUUUUUUAUUCAAAUAUAAUUGUAUUAAAUUUUAUAUUUAAAUUCAAAUCAAAUCAAAUAAAGCUUUUAUUUCUAAUCAUAAGAAAGUGUAUAGUUAAAUCAAAUUUUAAUAAAUUUGCAACUAACAUAUAUCUGCAGGGAUUAUUCAAUUAGAACAAGGUUUAUAUAGAAUAAAUAGAUUUUUCAUGGUAAGAGUAAUUUUCACUAUUGGUACUCCUUAUGGAAAGAUAAAUUGUUGCUAUUAAAUAAUUAGAUAUUAAAUACAAAAUUACGUUUUCUGAUUGAAGAGACAUUUGAUUUCGAAUUCACAUUCAAAUCUUCUUAAUAUGUGGGAAACCCUUGAUUUCCAGCACUAUUUAAUCGAUAUCGAUUAGCACCCUUUCUUAUGAUUAAACAAAUACAUACUAAUAUAAUUUUUAAAUAUUUCAUUUGCAAGACCGAGAUUACUACCUACAAGAUAACUACUUAGGCUAUUAAAAAGCUGACAAAAAGGCUAUUAAUAAAAAUAAAACUAUCAUUCUUAGGGAUUUACCAUAUGCUUCAUACAGUGUUUCCUUAAGAGUUACACUUCUAUUUGUCCAUUUACCGGUGAUAUUUUCCUAUUUUUAUUAACUCUAGCAAUUGUCAAUUACUUAAAAUAGGUUAUUACCAGCGCAGAAUAAAUAUUAAUCAUAAUUUUUUAUUUAAAUAUGUAAAUAUAAUGUAUAUAAGUACAACUAUAAAAAUGUUAGCUGAUAUUUUUAAUUACAACUAUAUAUGCUGAUUAUGCAAUCAUAAAUAAUAAUUAAAAUUACAUUUAUUUUGUAAUACAAAUACAUAAAUGCUAAAUAAUUAUUAGUUUUAUAAUUAAUUUUAAUAAUAUUUUUUAUAUGACUGAACUUACACAUUAAAUAUACUAAAUUAGAUUAAUAUGUUCUAUCUAACAGGUCUAACAUCAAACUAAAAUACUUUGCUUUUGAUAUAAAAAAUUGAAUUAUAAUAUGUAUGAAAAUAUUUAGAUUAUUUUAUUAUUAAAUAGAUAAUGUAAUUAUUGUUUUUUAAAGAAAAGUAAGAUCAAAUAAAAGACAAAAUACAAAAUAUAAUGUUUAGAAACAUAAUUAAUGUUAUGUAUUAAAAUUUUAUAAAUGUGAUAAGAAAUAGAAAUAGAAAGAAUAUCUUUACAAAUUAAAUGUUUGAGUAUUAAAUAUAUAAUUGACAUAAAUUAAUUUCUAACCAAAUUAAUGUUAGUGGCAUAUGAUAUACUUAAUCUAGUAAGUUUCUUUUUUUUUGAACAUUUAUUAAUCUAGUAAGUUGACCAUACUUUUUAAAAAUCUAUAAAAAACUCUCUGAAAUUAACACCUCAAUAUGACACUUAUGUAAAUAAUACAUAAGAUAAAUGUUUUUUUUAAAGCAUUUUUAUCAAUUAAUAAUAUAUAACUUUUCAUUUCAUCCCGUGAUUUACCCAGUCCGUCCUAAAAUUAAAGUGGUAAGAUGAUGAUAAGUAUAUGUCUACGUUGCAUCGGUCCCCUUAUGGUGGGUUGUUGGAUCCAUCAGUGAAUAAUUUGAAAGUCUAUAAAUGGCGAACCCCACCAGUGUUUUAGACUGUUUCUUAUUAAUGUCUUUUUUUUUUUGGCAGUCUUAUUAAUGUCUUAAACACAGCACAAUCACACACGUAUAGAACUAUAGAUAUCUAGAAAUUCCAUUAUUGGAUUAUAAUUGAUUUUAUUAUGACGGAUUCUUUUGGACACAAAAGCUAGCCGACGUCUUCUUUGAAAAUUCUCACAACCGACAGAUUUUAAACAGCCGUAUAGAGACAAAGGCAGUGAGAGUAAAGCAUAGAGUGACAACACGUAGUAACUACAAAGAAUUGACUUUUUAAAGGGUGCAAAAUUUUGCCUGGCUAUAUUUAAUCGUUAUACUUCUUUUUAUGGAUAAUUGCUUGGCUAUAGUUAAUUUAUGCCGACUGCUACCAAAAUAUCGAUCAAAGUCACCUAAGCGUAGAGAAAGCUUGAGAUUUACGUAAUUAUAAUUCAUUUUUUUCAAAUCUAAAUAUUCAAAAAAUUGAUUAUAAUAUGUAUGAAAAUAUUUAGUUUUUUUUCAAAUCUAAAUAUUUAGUUUUUUUUCAAAUCUAAAUAUUAAAUAUACUAAAUUAGAUUAAUACGUUAUAUCUAACUAAUCUAACAUCAGAUAAUUUGUUUUUAAUAUAAAAAAUUUGAAUUAUAAUAUGUAUAAAAAUUGUAGUUUUCAAAUGAGCGUAGAUAUAUAGUUUUCAAAUUAAGCAUGUUUAUUUCAUAUAUCAGAUUGGAUAGUAUUUGAUUGAGAUACAGGUUGUCAUGUAGUUUUCAAAUUAAGUAUGUUCAUUCCAUGUAUUGGAUUGGGUAGUAUCGGAUUGGGAUACGGGUUGUCAAGCCCAGACCCGAACCUCAAAACUUUUGGGUUAAGAACGAGAAUAAAAAUUAUGGGUUAUAAAUUUGGGAUACGGAUUGUCAAGCCCAGAUCCGAACCUCAAAACUUUUGGGUUAGGAACGAAAACAAAAAUUAUGGGUUAUAAAUUAGUUAUUCUAAAAAAGAAAAAAAUGUUAAUAAAAAGGUUAGAAUGAUCGAACUUCUCACCUUGAAUAUGUUAUUUUCAAACAAUAACUAGUUCCACUACUGAAGAUUAUAGUAAAAACCGGUCAGAAAAUACAUACUUUAUAUAUGGUUGGCAACACAUGCUUCCUUACCUUCUAUCCAAAAUCCAAUUUUAUACCAGUAUUUGGGGAAGAUCCAAUUAAGCAUGUUCAUUCCAUGUAUCAGACUGGGUAGUGAGAAGAUCAAGAGAUUGUUGAACAGUUCUUAUGUUGUAUAAUUGUAAAAGAACCGAUUACAAUAUAUAUAUAGAAGCUUUAGCUUAAUCCUCAAGUUAAAGAUAAACACAAAUAAGGAAUAUUUAAGAUUUUCUAAAUAUUUUCUCAUACUCUCCCUCAAGAUGGCGAGUGGAGAUCCCGAACUUCCAUCUUGCCAAAAAUAUAAGAAAAUUGAAUUCGUCCAAGUGCUUUAGUAAACAAGCCUGCAAGCUGUUCAUGUGUGCGAAUAUAAGCCGGUGCGAACUCCUGCUUGGAAGGCAUCACAAAUAGUGUGACAGUUGUUCUCUAUGGAUUCUGCAGAAUGUCUAGUGCUGCCUUGUUAUCACAGUAAAAAGAAACUGGUUCUGGAUGCUUGAUAUCGAACACAGAAAGAAGCUGGAGAAACCAUUGUAUCUCAGAGAAUGUGUAAGACAUUGCGCGAUAUUCCGCUUCUGGAGAAGAACGAGAGACAACUCUGUUUUUUUUUUUUUUUGUCUUCCAAGAGACAAGGGAAUCACCAAAUAAGAUGGCAUAACCAGUGAGGGACUGCCAAGUUAUCAGACAAGAAGACCAGUCCAAAUCACAAUAAGCAAACAUGUGAAGAUCGGGUUUGGAGUUAAGGAAUAUACCUUGCCCAUGCGUACCCUUAAGAUAUCGUACUACUCGAGUCUCUGAAUCUCAAUGCUUCUUCCGUGGUUUAGUGAGGAACUGAGCGAGUAAAUGGACCGCAUAGCUGAGAUCAGGCCGAGUUACAGAUAAGUAUACUAAGCGUCCAACAAGCCAACGGUAUCUGGAUGGAUUGUCAAAAUAUUUUCCAUCGUCUCCAGCUAGUGUAUGGUUUAGCGUAACCCUCAAGUUAUCCAAUACAUAUUCUGAUAAGCCGCAUUCAGAAACGAUAUCCAAUGAAAUAUUUCUUUUGGAAAUAUGGAUCCCUUUCUUUUCACAAAAUAUUUCCAAACCGAGGAAGUAUUUUAACACGCCAAGAUCCUUUAUAUGAAAACUCUUACUCAUGUAAGCCUUGCAUUUGGAGAUAAGAGUUGUGUCGUUGCCCCCUCUAACCAAGUCAUAUACAUAAACAAGAACAUAGAUGCAAGAAGAGCCACGAUGAUAUGAGAAGAGAGAGUAAUCCUUCUUGUUUUGUACAAAACUAAACCGCAACAACGACGCUAAAAGCUUAGCAAACCAACAACAUGGAGCUUAUUUGAGACCGCAGAGAGACUUUUGUAGUCUACACACUUUGUUUUAAUCGGAUGAAGAGAAACCCGGCGGAAGCUGAUGUGGUGUAUGCGGGGGUAUCAAAUUUUACCCUAAAAGAAAUAAAAGAAAGCCGCAAGUGCACAGCUAAUCAGUUGUAAUACUUAGAGAUCGAAUCCAUAGAGAUUUGCCAAAUAUUUUUCUACGGUCUCGUAGCUUGUUGGCCGUCUUCAAAUGUCUUCGGGGAAAAUGGAAUAUCUUGAGAUCCAACCGUUGGAAUGUCUCCAAAGUAAGUGCAUUUGAAAGCUGGUUGAGUCUUCUAUUAAGUAUCCAAUUUUGGGGAUGAUCAGACGGUGAAAAGCUCUUCAUCUCUCCUUGAGAGUUCUGACGGUCUGAAUUUAUCCAAAAUAGUCUUUUUGUUCCAAUUUUCACCUCUUUCUUCCAAAUUACCUGAAAAGUCUUUAAAAAUCCGAAAACAUAAAAAUCAUUUGAAAACCUUUGAAAAUGGAGUAAAAACACCUGCAAAAUAUAUUACACUGAUCCAUAAAAAUGGUCAAGGUGUUAUAAACUCCCCCAGGCUUAGACUUUUAUUUGUCCUCAAACAAAACAAAGAUCAAAUCUCGGUGAGAGGUUUGAAAACGCAGGAACUAACAAAAUCUCAGAGACCAUACUUCUAGACUAAAAUCAAUCAUUAUGCAUUAACCGGGGAUAACCUAGAAAAUUCUCACUAAAAUACAUGCAUAACUAAUCCGUUGAUCUGUCAUGCGAAAGUAUAUACACUUAGAUCUAACUUCCACUCAACUAGCUCUUAACAUUUAUUAAAAAUCUAUGUGGUUCUCAUCAAAAUAAGUAUAAGCAAGGCGAUUUGGGCUAGGUGUCAAAAAGGCUCUUUUCGGGGUGAGGUUUUAAAGUGUUUUGGGUUACCUUGAUUUUUAGAGAAGUAGGGUAUUAUGCAAAACAGCAAGAGAUAAUGGAGCUGUUGAUAUCUACAGUUUCCAGUCACAUUCUUCUUGCUUUAGAAUCUUUUAUAUUUCUCAGGUUCUCCUUUUAGUUCCCCCAGACUUAGAUUCUUGUCUGGGUUGUAACCGUAACUCCAACAGAUGCAUACUAAUCGCCUUUUGCCUCAAAUAAUUUUGGCCAUCUAAGACUCUUUAGGCUUUUGUUUCUUUUCUUUUCAUUCUUUUUCUUCUCUCUUUUUUCUCUUUUUUUUAGAAGAGGGAAAACACCUUUAGAUAUAGAGUCUUAGAGGACACAAAAAUUUAGCAUUAAGAGCAACCUUUUCGAAGUGUCUUAACAUUGCCGAUGUACCUCCCUUCCAACUCCCAUUUAGUUCUUCUCUUUGGAUGACUGAAAACUGUGCCGUUCCUCCCUCUCCAGCGUUUUUGCUCAUAUCUGCUGAUAUAAGCUAAAGAGAGGAUAUGUGAGGUAUGAAAAAAAAAGGAUUGGGUAAAGGUAUGGUACCAGCUAAAGAUGAACUAGCCAUCUAAGACAACAAAGAGUGGUAAAAAUGAGGGAAAAGGUGUUCUAGAUGUAUAUCUUGAUGCUUGCCUAAAAUCAAUGAUGAGAAACUUAGAUAUCAAUAUUAAGGUGAUGUGGCCAUCAACCCAGCUCAACAUCACAAAGAGACCCCAAUGAUCUUAGACAAACCAGACGGCCCAUCCGAAGCCGAGAGAUGCCUUAUAGAAGCUGAACCGGAGAAAAUGAGCAUAAAGGCGAGCCCAACAGAAACAGAAGUGAAAACUUGGAGUUUCACCAACCAAAUGUCAUCAAUGGAGUCUGUGAUCGAGCCAAAACACUUUUCAGUUGAUCCAGAAAUGAAGUUACCCAAGAAUCAACUCAAACUCUUGGCCAAAGCAUGUUCAAGCAACACAAGAAGACCCAUGCACCUUAUUCAGCACUGAUGAAGUCAGAGAUCAGCUGGUACAGCUCGGCCAACACUUUUAUUACAUUUCUAUCUCAUCCAGUGAACGCCUAGAAGUGGAAUCAGCCCAAUUAGAUCUCAGAGAAAUGAGUUAUUCAGCUUACAAAUCAGGUGAUGCACAACUUCUACGAUUUGAACAUACGUGCCUUAUUUGGAGGUUUCCGACCGAACCAGAAGGAUAUAAGCUGUGAACCGACUUGUUCCCAAUUCUUGAUUCAUCAUAGAAUCGGAGACAGUUGGAAUCAAACCAAUACCGGUUAUGGUUAGAAAUUUAUUCACUUUACAAGUUGGAAGAUCUGUUUCAGACCCAAUUGCGCAGUUAGGCUGAAGAUCUUACUCUACAGCCCAACUCAUCCACGUUCUCAGCCCAAAAUUACUUGGAGAAUAUUUUUUGGUCUUUCUUGGAUCCAACAAGCUCAAGAUCCGAAGAAUUUCUCAUUGGAACUUCAAGUUACACCCAAUAUCCCAAAACGGGUUGACUUGGUUCCAUUUAUGGCAGGUCUGAGCUCUGACUGGUAUAGAUCGCUAUCUACAAGAGUUUGGCGCCCAGGAGAGACUCUAAGGCAACUAAGGAAGCUUAGAAACACCUUACCAUGCACCAGCACCCACAGGAUCAGGCGGAUCGUUUUGCAAGCUUACUUUCCUUAUGUGGCCGCAUUCACACUCGGUGCUAUUAAUCACCAAUAGCUCUUUUCCUUUGAAUGCUACGACUUGGACCCUAAAAACGUCUAGAUACAAAGGCAUCAUCACAUUUUCAUAUUUGGUCGAGAUCCUCUUAUUUAGAGCCUAUCGGCUAGUUUUUGAUUAGCUUUGAUUUGUUUCUUUGUUUUUAGCAUUUUAGAACGUGUAAGAGCAUUAUAUAAGCUCAUAUUAGUCCAUUUGUAAAAACUCAUCUUUCAAUCAAAUUAAUACAGAAGUUUCUUAUUUUCUUUCAAAGUGUGUUCUUUGGAAAAUUGUCUUUUCUUUUGAAUAAAUGUGUGAGAUUCACUUCUAUUCUCUAGAAGCCACGAAUUUAGUUGUUUGUGUUACUCAAAUAACUUGUUCGUUCAUCGAUUGAGAGAGUCAAUCAAACCACCACCUUCCAUCUCAAUAUCACGUACGCCCACUUUCGCAAACAAACUUGUAAACUCUUGAUUAUCUUGUGAACAUAAGAUUUGGUGGAUUCCAAUCUUAUAUCAUUUGGUAUCAGAGCACAAGUUCCUAUCAAAGUGCUUAUGUUCUUUAUCUUUCCCUUUUGUUAUUUUAAUUCAGUCUUUUUUCAUUUUAAAUCAUAAAAAGAAAAAAAAAUUAUUGUUUUGAAAUAUUCUAUGUUUUCUUUAAUUCUAAAAAAUCAGAAAAUAGAAAUAAGAAUUUUCCCUUUUGUUAAUUGCAUUUUCGAAUUUUGUAUCCAAAAAUAUAUAAAUAUAUUUAUCGGUUUUUCUUUUAUUUUUGGUUUUGCUUUAAUUCCAUUUAAAAAUCAGAAAACCAAAUAAAAAUAUCUUCUAUUGUUUUCUUAAAUUUUAUAACUCAGAAAAACAGAAUUUUCUUUUAUUAUUUAAGAUUGUCGAAUUUGUUUAGUUUUUUAAAAAAUCCCUUAUUUUUGAAAUAUUUUGUUGUUUGCUUUAAUUUCAUUAACCAGAAAAAAAAAGAAUUUUUAUUAUUAUUAGAAUUUUGAAUUUGUUAAACAAAAAAAAAAAGAAGAAGAAGAAACCAUUGUUUUAUUUACAUUCUCUUUCUUUCCUUUCUUGCUUAAGCCAAACUUUGAUACGCUUCUUCUUUAUCUCUGCGAGGUACAACCCUAAGGAGCAGCCACCAUGACUGAAUCAGAAGAAGAUCAGUACCAAUUUGAUGGAGACCAAUGGUGUCAAGGAGAAGAGAGUUUAGCUUUUUCCGAUGAGGAGGCUGACUAUGAGUCUCCACCGUGACUAGGAGAUGGCUACACCAGCUCUGGAAUUGGAGAUGAAUCAGACUGUGAAGAGUACGAUCCAGAGCCACCAUAUUACAGCAGAGUCAACACUAAUCAAUCAGCUUAGUCUAGAGAUAAAGAGACAGGCCGAGAAAAAGGUGUAGAAGGUGACCAUGAAGGAGAUCCUUGGCAGGACGAAACUGAGUCUUAAUAUCACGAAGGAAACUACAACACUGAACCAGAAGACAGAGAUGACUCAGAGCAUUGAGAUUUUGACCAUGGAGAACAAGGCCGAUCUUUAGAACCUUACCAAAGGCCAAGGUGCGAAGUAACUGAUUCUGAAAUCAGUUCAAUAGAUGCUGACAAUACUGAUGGUGAGUCUUGGAGCCACGAGACAGAGCUAAAAAAAAGCAUGGUUGAUGGACCAGAGCUUGACGAGGAGGAACAAGAGCCAAAUGGAGACAACAUCAACUACACUGAACAAGACUAGCCAGAUGGUGCAACAACAGAUGAUGAGGUAGAUGAUGAGCCACACCACAUCUAUUUUUCAGGUCAUGAACAAGGACCAGAAGCUUACCUAUAGUGGGAGAGCGAAAUAGAGUACAUGAUGAAGUCACAAAACAUUCCUAAGGAUCAGAGACUUUCAUAUGCACUUGACUCGUUUGUUGGAGAAGCUACUACAUGGUGGGAACAAGAGGAAGUUGUGGCCAACUAUAAUAAUUCUGCCAUCACUUGGGGUAAUCUCAUGCAGCGUAUGUACAAAGAGUUUGUACAGAAGUCCCAAAACCGCAGCUACAUUCCCAAGAGGCUAAUGUUCAAAACAGCUACAAAGAGGUGGAUGUCUACGCCAAAAUCGCAGCCUGUUUCUAAGUCAAAGAAAGCUUGCUAUUCUGAGCUAAAGAAAGUGUCUCAAAGCACUUUGGAAAAGAAGAUAGAGGUUAAGAAUCCAGUGGGAGCAACAGGAGUUAAACCAGCCUCCAAACAGCCUGAUCACUACAAGAAAAACACCGUUUUACAACGGCCAAAACCUUCGUAAGUUCAUUGUAAAAGUCUUAUUACGACGAACAAGCGACGGUUUGGAAAUUUUCGUAAACUUAUCGUCGUAAAUGACAUUUCGUCGUAAAAGCGUCGUACAAUCUAGGACGGUUAUAAAUCGUCGUAACAUCGACGUAAACUAAACGUCGUAAAAGCGUCGUAAUGGUUACGAUGACUUUACAUCGAUUUGUCUCAAUUUGGUUUUCAGCGUAACCGUCGUAAAGUCGUCGUUACCGACGUAGGUUCGUCGUAUAAUAUACGAUGUAUAUAUCAUCGUAAUUCGAUCAUAUUAAUUUUUUUCUUUUCGACAUAAAACCGUCGUAAAACACUGACGUAUAUGUGUCGUACAAUACGUCGUAUAUUAUACGACGAAUAUUUGGUUGUAAUUGGAUCGUAUGGUUAUAUAUAAUCUUACGACGAUUUUACGACGAUUUAUUAAAUAAAUAAUAAAUAUAUUACGACGAUUAUACGAUAUUUUUUAUAAAUAAAAUUAAAAAAACAUUUAAUUCGAAUUAAAAUUUUAAUUAAAAAAGAAAUAAAUUUAAAUUUAAAUUUAAUUAAAAUUUAAAAUAAAAAAAUUUAUAUUAAUUAUAAAAUAACUUAUCAAAGAUCUAACUCUAAAAUAAUGUCGUCUAUCACCGCAUCGAUCCGCUCCGGAUCCCCAUCUUGCUCCACAGGUUUCUUGCCGGCUCUUCGGUUGGAGGUAUCCGGCACCUGAUCCCCGGCUCUAGGAGGAUCAACCCCGAGAGACCGGAACAUCUCCUCGUCUGUCUGCACUGGUGGUUGCCUCCUAGAGGAUGAAGACGAUGUCCCGACGACUCUAGCUGCCCGCAACCUAUCCAACUGCGUCUGGGGCAACGGGUUGUCGGCCCCCAUAAUCUCGAAGAGACCGUACAACUGGUCGAUCUUCGUCUCGUACAGCGUCCGCAUCUGAUGGAUCUCCUGGCGGAUAACGACUGGAUCCCAUGCCUGGACAUGUCCAGUCGCUGUAGCGAUUGGGGUAUCACGGAUGGAUCCCAUCCCUAAAACCUGGCCCUUCUUCCGAGGGGCAACCUUAAAAAAUGUAGAAAACUUAUGUAAAACAGUACAAUAUAUAGUUAAAUUUAAACUAAAUAGAAAAAAUAAAGUAAAUUAAACUUACCUCUUCGAAGAUCUGGUCCAUCUCCGCCACCGUCAAUAUCGGGGUGGACUGGACCGAGCUACUUCCGGGAGAUGUCGGAGGUGCCUGCUGGGUGAGCUGUGUAUGCUGCUCCUCAAUCCUCGCACAUGCGGCGUUGUAGAUCUCUUCCGCUCGAGGAUCCGUGAAUUCGCCGUUCUUCUUCUUAUGGGUCUCGGCGAAAACCUUCGUCAUCGGAGGAAGUUCUCCCCCGUUUUCUUCGACCUACAAAAUCAAUUUGAAAUUAUUAAUAAGAUAAAUAAGGUUUAUUAAAAAAAAACUUAUUAAUAAAAACUUACCAUCAUAAGUCGUCUCUCGGCGAAAGGAACCUGGCCGGAAGUGUGUGGGACGUUCUUUAGAUUUCCCACAACGUCAGCAACGUUCCUGAAAAUGAAAUAUUUAGUAAUUAGAUUUGUAAUUAAAAAUAUAAUAUUAUAAAUUAAACACAUUUUAAUUUAAUUUACAAAUAUACCUGGAUGUGGAACACUUGGCGGCAAUAGUCUGGUUGUUCGGGGUCAACCAAUGAUGCACCUCCCAGACGGUAUCGGCCAUUGGCGUGGCUUCUCCUUGUUGCCGUCGACCUCCCACUUCCGCUUCCAGUCAGAAACGGUGUUGUUGAGCCGGAACUUGACCUUUUCAUUGAAGGCCGUCUUCACACGUUCGUGUGCGGAAGUUUUCCAAGGCCAGUUUUGCUACAAAAAAAAAAGAGUUAGUAAUUAUUGUAAAAAAAAAAUAAAAAAUAAUAUAAACCAUAAUUUUAAAUAACUUACCGCGAAACACUUGAACCAAGUGUCAAUAGUUUCCUGAUCCAGCUUCUUCCAGCUGGUAUGGGGUUGUACGAAUAACCCCUUGAUGAUGUCGGAAACGUUACGACCGACUGCGUUAUCGGUCGUAAACCUAGUCAUUAAAAAAAAUUUGGUUAGAUAUUUAAAUUAAUUAUAAAUAUAAAUCUUUUAAUGAAAAAUUUGUAAAAAAAAAACCAAAAAUCGUACCAAAACAUCCCCGGAGCUCGAUCCGGAUAGAGUUUCUUCAUACUCCCACGACCCGGUUGCCGUAGAAGAUCCUCAACCGUAUAUUGGACAUACGGUUCAGGCGGUAUCGGGGCUGCGGCUGGUGCAGGUGCUGCUGGUUCGGCUUGUAGUGGUGGAGGCGGUGCAGGCUGUGGUACAACAAUUGGUUGUGAAACUGUACGUUGAGGAUGGCGGACCCCGUAGCUAAGGUGGACGGAGCGGUAGCGUCUGGAUCAACCAUCUCCCGAUAGUGGAACCUCUUGGUCCGGAGAGCUAUCUAAAUAAUCUACAAAAUUAAAUUAAAUAUAAUUACUAAUUAAUCUAUUUAUUUCUAAAUUCCAGAAAUUCCGAAUCUUACUAAUUCCCCUAAUUAUAUCUAUAUAAGGAUUAAAAUUUGAACAGGAAUAUAAAUUAUAAUGAAAAAACUAAAAAAAACUUACAAAUUAAGACUGGAGAGGAGGGAGAGCAAGAGAGAGAGAGUCUUUGUAGAGAGAGAGAGGGAAGUGAGGAAUGAGAGAUGAUGGAGGAAAACUCACGUCCCUUAUAUAGAUUUUGUGAUCGUUGUAAAAUCGUCGUAACGUUACGACGGUUUUACGACGAUUUGGUUGUAUAAUCAUCGUACCAGUGCAUGACACGACACGUGUCAUGCUCACAUCGUUUGAGUAUUACGACAAUUUUACGAUGAUUGUUCAUCAAACUAUCGUAAAACCGUUGUAAUAGGCCAACAUAUAUACCCUCGUACCUCGGAUCUGGAGCCAAUCCGGCGGCUGUCAGAUGUAUGAUCGUCAUUAAUGUUACGACGGUUUAAUGAACAUUCGUCGUAAAAACAUUGUAAUUUUACGACGUUUGUACGAUGGUUUUAUGAUGGUGUUUAAAAAAGUUAUCAAACCCUAAAUCUCUCAAAAGACUUAUUGCAUUAAGGACAACCCAAAGCUGAUUUUAAACUAACAUAUUACAAUAGGUUCAUCACUUUACAUGUAUGACUGAUUUAGUACAUGAGAUAACAAAUAUAUCAACCAUCUUAUCUAAUAUAUAACUUUUUACUUAACAUUUACAAAAACAUGCAUGAACUAGUAAAUAUGUAUGAUUUUUUUUUCAAAUUUCUGAUUUUGAUCAGAUUGAAUACUUUUCAUAUCAAAUAAGAUAACCUAUCAAAAACAUUUGUGAAACAUGUUGGAAAUUCAUCCGGAUCAUUCGGGUCCACCUAAUCAGAAAAAAUCUUGCUUUAAUUUCUUAAUUUUGCAAAUAUGCAUGCAACCAUAUAUGUUGGAUAUCAAAGUCUUUUAAUUUAUAUUUUAUACGUAAUUGCGUUUUUAACCACUAGGCAUAAUGUUUUUGAUCUUUACGAUCAUUGAUUUCAAUUUCAGAAACCCCAUAGAUGCAUUCUUUAACCUCAUCAACGAAUGUCCUGAAAAAAUAACUAAUAAUUAAUUAAGACUGACAGUAGGAUAUACGUAUGUGCACUGAGAUAAUCUUUUUCAUUGGACCCCCAAACUUCCUUCAGUUUUCCACUAAGACGUCCGAUCGGCGAGAAUAUGUCAAGUACACCCUUAACUGUAUAUGUAUGGCCUCUUCAAUCAUCAUAUCGACGAGUAGCUCUUUUUCGUGUUCGUACUUUUGGUGCAAAAUAGUACGGAUACAUUCACCUGUAUUGAACCGGUCCACCGAGCUCUGCUUCGUGAGGGAGAUGAACAGGAAGAUGUUCCAUAACAUCAAAAAAUGAUGGCGGGAAGAUCUUUUCCAAAUCGCACAAUAAUAUUGGAAUAUUCGAUGCCAGUUGUGCUAUUACAUCAGCUGAUAAUGUUCGUGUACUAAGAUCCUGGAAAAGUUCACCAAUGCCUCCAACAGCUUCAUAGACAUUUUUGGGCAAGAGUUCAGCAAAUGCAAAUGGAAAUAAUCGUUGCAUAAACACGUGGCAGUCAUGACUUUUUAUCCCUGCAAAUUUACCCUUUUAUCAACAGAUUUAAAAGAUUAGAAACAUACCCAUCAGGAAACUUAACGUAAGAUAAAACCCAUUUGAACAAUGCUGACUUUUGAUCUGCACUCAACCGAAAUACAGAAACUGGUGCUUUCCCGUUUCUCAGUAUAUGAAACUCACUUCUGUUGCAUAAAUCAGGCAAGUCCAUUCUUCACUUACCAUUGUCUUUUGUUCUUCCCGUUACGUUCAUAACUGUAUGCACGAUGUUAAAAAAUUUUCUCAAUGUGCAUGACAUCGAGAUUGUGUCUGAGCAGAUGAUCUUUCCAAUAGGGCAGUUGCCAAAAGAUACUUUUCUUGUGCCAAUUAUGAUGAAAUCCAUAACCUUCAGACAUAUUUGCACGAGUGUGCCAGUUUCCCCCACGCGUUACUGUUUCCUCUGCCCCCCAAUGCUCGAUUUGCGCAAUCAGCUCCUGUUAAAUUUACAGGUGGAGAGAUAUGUACACUUUUGUUCUUCCUAAAUAACCUCUUGUUCCUCCGAUAUGGAUGGUUAUCCGGUAAAAUCCUCCGAUGACAAUCAAACCAACAGGUUUUUCUACCAUGUUUUAGCUGUAACGCAUCAUUUCGAUGAAGACAAUAACAACAAGAUAACCUCCCAUGUGUAUUCCAUCCUGAUAGCAUACCAUAAGCAGGGAAAUCGCUUAUUGUCCAAAUAAGCAUAGCCCGCAUAGUAAAAUUUUUCCCUGUUGAACAAUCAUAUGUGUGAACGCCGGUAUACCAUAACUGAUUCAACUCAUGUAUGAGUGGCUGCAGAAAUACAUCGAGAGCUCGCUUCAGAUGAUUGGGACCUGGAACCAAAAUACUAAGGAAAAGAAAUUCCCUUUGCAUGCACAUAUCUGGAGGAAGGUUAUAAGAGGUUAGGAUUACUAGCCAUAAUCAAUAUUGUCUACCAGACAUACCAAAUGGAGUAAAACCAUCAAUGCACAGACCAAGAUAGACAUUCCGUUUGAACUUAGCAAAAUCUGGGUAUACCGUAUUGAAGUGUUUCCCUUUGCUUCUGAUGGAUGCACAACUUCUUCAUCUACUUGUGUAUGUUCUGCAUGUCAUCUCAUUGAUGCAGCUGUCCUUUCAGAUUGAUAAAGCCGCUUCAACCUAUCAGUUAUAGGGAGAUACCACAUACGUUGGUACGGUAUCCUUUUAUGCCCACCAGUUUGCGGCCUGUAUCUUGGUUUUUGGCAAAAUCGACAUUCCUCCGGCUGAUCAUCAUCUUUCCAAAAAAUCAUACAAUUGUCAACACAUACAUCUAUCAUCUCAGAAGGUAGACCAAGACUAAAAAUCAACUUAUAUAUUUCAUAGUAUGUUGCCGCUGCCAAGUUAUCCUCCGGUAGAUACUCUUUCAGAAGAUCAGCCCAAUCAUCCAUGCAAACCUCAACCAGGUUAUGAUCUGUUUUAAUUGACAUCAUCCUAGCUGCCAAAGAUAAUUUAGACAGAUCUUCUCUACAUCCUUCGUAGAUUGGCUGAUUAGCAUUGUCUAACAAAUCAUAAAAUUGUUUGGCAUCUACAUUAGGUUCCUCAACAUCAUUACCAGUAUGCGUUUCAUGAAAUGCAUCAGUCACCAUCUCAUGCAUCCUAUCAUGAUCUAGACCUUGAUCAGAUUGAUACUGAUUAGGCUGAUGACCAUAAUUUGAUUCAUCAAAAUCAACAUGACUUUGAUAAUUACUACUACUACCAGCAUUCCCAUGAGUAUUACUAUCAUAUCCUUCUCCAUGUAGAUACCAAACAAAAUAUUGCAGCAUAAACCCUCUAUUUAAUAAAUGCGUCCACACGGUUUUGGUUAGUGUAUACCUUGUAUUCUUGUAUUUCAAACAAGGACAAAACAUCUUUGUGGCCUGAUACAUGAAUAUUUCUAACCCGUUCUUGAACUCUUCUGUCAACGCCCCAUCUGAAUCUUUACGCAUAUACAUCCAGCUUCUUAGCUCGUAUAUAGACAUCUUGAAAAUAACUCAAAAAAACUAUCUCUCUCUAUUGUUUAGACAAUAUAAGAGACGGUCUCUUGUGUCACGUGUAGCCGCGUGAAUGGAGAAACCUUUCAAUAUUGUUACUUCUUUUUUCAAAGAAAUUACUACUAAUUCGGGUUUCCAGCAAUGGACAACCCAAUAUAUCAGGUUUUACAACAAUAUAAUAAGGUUUAAGAGACCAAAAAUGGGUCUCCAGGAUGCUGAUGCUCUUUUGUUUGAAUGAUGAUGUGUUGUGAAUGAAAGAAGAAAUGAAGAUGUAUUUAUAACCAAAUUUUGGACUUUACGACGCUUUUACGACAAUUUUUUACAUCCAACCUUCAUAUUACGAUGAUUUUACGUCGAUUGUGCGAUAAAAUAUUUCAUCGACAUUAGUUAGGUAAACAUGUUUUAAAUGUUCUUCACCUACCUUCUUUGCCGACGUAAAAUCGUCGUAACUGUACAUCGGAUUAGGAUCGUCGUAUAUUCAUCGUAAUGUUACAUCCAAAUUACGACGAUUUUGCAAUAAAUAUCAAAUCUCUCUUUAUCGAUGUAUAAUCGUCAUAAAGUAUCAUAAAUUGUACGUCGAAGUUACGACGAUUUUUUUUACGACGUUUUAUUUUUCCAUCGUAAAAUCAUUGUAACAUCGUUGUAUAUUUGUGACGACUUAUAAACUGUCGUAACAGACCGUUGGAAAACGAUUGUUUACUUGUAGUGGAUGCAGCUCAUACGCAGAGCACAAAACCAAAGUAUGGGCCACAUGUCAACACAGAGCAAGGUAAGCCAUCUAAACUCUCUAAAACAAUCUGUUAUAGGUGUCAUCAGAGAAGUCAUUUUGCUAAGACUUACCCAAAUACAAAAUCAGAGGAUACUUCAUCAAUUGAACCAGAAAAAUAUGAAGCUAGAGAAGUAGAAAAAGAUGAGUUAUAUUGUGAAAUUUCCAAUUCAGAUCUAAUGUGCUUGUCUUUGCCAAAGGUUAUUGAUGCAUGUUUAAAUCAUGGAGAGCAUCACUAUUAAGAGAUCAAGACGUGCCAACCUGCCACUGAAAAAUAUGAAGUUGUCACUAUCUUCACUCCAAUCCAAGAGGAGCCACCAGAUCUUACACUGAAUCCAAAUGUCGUGGCAACAAAGAAAACAGAACUAAUCAACAGUUCUGAUCAGGUAAGUAUUUCUUUAGCACCAUUGAAUUCCAACACUUCAAAUUCUGUGCUGUUACACUCAUUAAAUCCAGAAGAAGUUGAAUUAAAAGAAGUCUUGGUAGAAUGCAUAUCAUAUAUCGAACCAGACAUGAAAAAGAGAUAAGAACAAGUGUUCCAAACAAAAAUCAUGUUCCAUUGCUCGUAAAAAUAUUUUGACCGCGAUAACACACUUGUUUCUUGUCCAAAAAGAAAUGGUAAUUGCAGGAACUGACGAGGAUCCACAAGAAAUCCAACAGAAAGAAAUCAGUAUAGAUGCCAUUUGUAAAAUGGAGGAUUUUACAACGACAAAAAACUUGCUGCCCAAAGAAUUUAUCAACAGACAUGAGAGAGAGGUCACUGCUUCCUUAGUGAUAAAAGAAGAACCACCAGAUGCCCAAAAUAAACCAAACCCAAGCCACAAGCAAACCAUGACCCAAGGUAACUCUCUAAACCCUCAGGAAAAGCAUGAUCCUAACUUGCUCUAUCUUUGUGCAGGUCAAAGAGUUUCGAGGACGAAACUUUUCCAAGGAGGAGGGUAUGAUGUGGUCAUCGACCCAGCUCACCAUCACAAAGAGACCCCAAUUAUCUGUAGCCGAGAGAUGCCUUAUAGGAGCUGAAACGGAGAAAACAAUGGAACAUAAAGGCGAGCCCAACAGAAGCAGAAGUGAAAAUUUGGAGUUCACCAACCAAAUUUCAUCUGGAGGAUAUGAUCGAGCCAAAACACUUUUGGGUCGAUCCAGAAAUGAAGUUACCCAAGAAUCAACUCAAACUCUUGGCCAAAGCAUGUUCAAGCCACACAAGGAGACCCAUGCACCAUAUUCAGCACUGAUGAAGUCCGAGAUCAACUAGUACAGCUCGACCAACACUUGUAUUACAUUUCUAUCUCAUCCAGUGAACGCCUCGAAGUGGAAUCAGCCCAAUUGGAUCCCAGAGAAAGGAGUUAUUCAGCUUAUAAAUUAGGUGAUGCACAACUUCUACGAUUUGAACAUACGUUCCUUAUUUGGAGGUUUCCGACAGAACCAGAAGGAUUUAAGCUGUGAGCCAACUUGUUCCCGAUUUGUGAUUCAUCAUAGAAUCGGAGGCAAUUGGAAUCAAACCAAUACCGGUUAUGGUUAGAAAUUUAUUCACUUUUUAAGUUGGAAGAUCUGUUUCAGACCCAAUUGCACAGCGAGGUUGAAGAUCGUACUCUACAGCCCAACUCAUCCACGUUCUCAGCCCAAAAUUACUUGGAGAAUAUUUUUUGGUCUUUCCUGGAUCCAACAAGCUCAAGAUCCGAAGAAUUUCCCAUUGAAACUUCAAGUUACACCCAAAUUCUCAAAACGGAUUGACUUGGUUCUAUUUAUGGCAGGUCCGAGCUCUGACUGGUUUAGAUCGCUAUCUACAAGAGUUUGGCGCCCAGGAGAGACUCUAAGGCAACUAAAGAAGCUUAGAAACACCUUACCAUGCACUAGCAUCUACAGGAUCAGGCGGAUCGUCUUGCAAGCUUACUUUUCUUAUGUGGCCGCAUUCACACUCGGUGCCAUUAAUCACCAACGGCUCUUUUCCUUUGAAUGCUACGACUUGGACGUGUUAUAAUCGUCAUAAAGCAUCGUAAAAUACACUAUUUACAAGUUAUUUUGUGUACACAUUUAUUUCAUUCCCCCAAAAAUACAUCAUUUAUAAGUAACUUUUUUACGUAUAUCCUUUUUCUCUUUAAAAGAAAAUUUUCAUUAAAAAAACUUCAAAAUUUCAGUAGUUCCCAACUUAAAUCUCCGACUUUUUGGGUUCCAGCUUUAAAAUUUCAAGUUAAUUAUUUUUCCAAAACAAACCUUCAAGUUGCAUAAAAGUGUGCACAAUCGAGAGUUUACUAAGAGUCAAUGCUGUUGUUUAACGGUCAAUGUUAGAAAAUAAUAGUUUUAAAUAAUAAAUUUAUUUAUUUUUUAUGAAAAAAAAUCAAAAUAAAAAAAUAACAAAAGUAUUUUUUCAUUAUUUUUUUUUCAACACUUAACGGUUAAUAUAUUAUAUUGUUAAACUAAUAACUUUAAUUGUAUUAAUUUAUUUAUUAAAAAAUUAAAAAUCUUCUCAGUUGCAAAUCUUUUCAAGUGUGACCAAAUAAUCCAUUGGUCGAUCUUAUGUAUUCACCAUUAGGGUUGAGAAAGGAUCAAAGUUUUCUUAAUGAGAACGAGAAGUAAAAGGUAAACUCAUUAGAAGUUGUGUCUCUAGGUACCGGAGUUGAACCGGUUUUUUAUAGAAAGAUUUCUCAAGCGUGAAAAUCAUAACGGAGAGGUCAUAGGCGAGAGAAUUGUUUUUUUGUAUUUUUUGUUUUUAUUUUGAUUUUUUGGUUUUUGGUUUUUAUGUAAAAAAAUAAAUAAUUUAUUAUAUAAAAAUUAUUAUUUUAACGUUGAGCGUUAGACAACAAUGUAAAUUGUUAGUCAACCCUUGAUUGUGCACACUUUAAUGCAACUUGAAGGUUUAUUUUGGAAAAAUAACUAACUUGAAGGUUUAUAGUAAAAAACCCAAAAAAGUAGAGGUUUAAGUUGGGAACCGCUGAACAUUUGAGAGUUUUUCUGGUAAUUUCUGUUUUUUUUUAAAGAACAAUAGAACAAAAAUAUUCUUUACUAAAUUCAAAGAAACCCAAUAAGAAAAAAAUAUUCUUAUCAUUUAUUCCUUUAGUGGUCACACUAGUUUGAGCCUUAAGAAAAUCUGUUUCUUUAGUUUUUUGGAAAUCAUAAAAUAAUUGAACAAAAAUAGCUUUUGGGUGAGUUCUAGCUAAUGGUCUUUGUACGCUUAGUUGGCCCAGCUCCUAUCAGCUCACUAAAGCCCAUACGUAGAUUUACCUAAGAGACUUUGAGUUACUUUAGUCAGAAUGUCAGAUCUUCUAUCACCUUCCGGCCAAAUCAAUUUUGUAAAGACUAGUUUCGUACCAUUUCAUUGAAGCUAUUUCCAAUAAGUACAAAAAAAGGCGACAGAAGCUUGUAUAGAAACAACAAUACUUCUAGUAAUACAAACAAGAUACAACAAUCAAAAUACAACAAGAAACCCACAGCCAAUCGAGUCACAAAACACGUAAAAAGAAAGCAAUCCCUCUGAAAAGUUACUUACUAUAUUACCAAAUUUACUUGGAAGUAUCUAAAACUUUCAUGGAGAUGCACCACUGCUUCUGGAACGAUACAUAGUGGCAAAAUCCAAACUUAAACGCCGGUCCCUUUCGUCUCCCCAG
rnacentral:lncRNA from 1 species